rnacentral:lncRNA from 1 species
AUGCUCGUCAAACCUCAUUCGUGUACACUCGUAAGGAGUGGUUCUGAGCUUAUUGUGAAUGCUCAGUACCAAGAAGUAGAAGAGAGAAUGCAUAAGAGAGAAUUAACUUGGCUAAAGAAUUAGGAAACAAAUGAGGGAUUUUUUAAGAAAUUAAUUCUCCAACUGCCACUUUUGGAAAUUUUCUAUCAACAACUAGCUACCAAAACACUAGCACAUAGUAAGAAAUUGGGAUAAUUUCAGAAACCUCGCUUGAGGCUUUUAAUAAUCUCAAGAAGCUCCCCUCAAAAUUUUAAAAUUACACGUACCAUUCCUAUUGGUGCAAAAGUACUCUACUACCCCUAAUAGGAUACUCAAAAGACUUUUUUAUGGGAAAAAAGAAGGCCAGAAAUCCAAGCGAAAACAAAAAAAAAUCAAUUUCUUUUCUCUUUUAGCCUUUUACGCUUGUGCCUUCUACCUUUGCUCACUUUCCCAUGCCAAUCUUCCUAUAACCACUUUCCUAAUCCCUUUUCCCCAACUUUUCUUCUCUACUUCAAGACCAAUUUUUGUCCAUCAACCUUGGCUUGUGCUUUGUUCCAUUCCCUUCCCUUCUCCUUCUUUGAUUUCCCUUACAUCUCCCUUUCUCUUUGCAAAAGUGACUAGGCUCAUCUCUCUCCUUUUUUUCCCCAUAUUUUAAGUGUAGUGGGUUUGAUUAUUUUGCCUCUAUUUUAUUUGAUUUUGGUGGAUUAUGGGUGAUAAAACUUGGUGAUGUCACAUAUUAAAAGUUUGAUAGAUGGAUAUUGGGCUUUAGACAAUGAUUUGCUGAAAAAAAAUGGCCGCAAUGAGAGGAAGAGGCAAGGGGAUUUGAGUGUGGGGGUUGAUUGUUGAUGAAUUGUUGUUUUGGACAAAAUUUGAGGUUGAGUUUUAUCAAAUUUGGUAGCAAGUGGCGAGAUUUGUUUAGGUUGCGGGAAAUAAAUUGGAUUGUGGUUUCUUGGGCAUCCACAGUCGUUGGAAUUGGUUUUGAUUCAAAUUAGGGUGGUUACUUGAUUUUCCUAAUAGUGUUGCUUAAAAGCACACGAUCAUCAAAAUUCCUUAUUUUUAUCUUUUAUUUUUUUUGUGGAAAAGAUUUCAUGACUUUCGUGAUAGUCUAAUUUGGAAGAAGGCAAUCAAGGGAUGCAAUCAACAUUUAGCAAAAGCUUUUGUUGUUUUCUUUGUAAUUUUUAGGGUAAAAAGGGUAGUUUAGGUUAUUUGAAGGAAAUGAUAGUCUAUUGGAUCUAUUUUGAAGCAUAAAUAGUGAACAUAAGGGAGGUUGGUGUUAUUUCUAAAAUCUAAGGGGAAUUGUCUGAAAUUGUCCGAGACCUCGGAGGAGGUUUUCAAAAUUAUCCGUAAGAAAUCAAAUGCGAAACUUGAUUAGUACACGCACACACGACACCGCACCACGCCACGCGUGUGUUGAGGACUGAUGUCCGUAACCAACGACAAGCAGGUUUUCAAUUUUUUUUUCCUUUCCUAGAUUCAAAGAUGGUGUCAGCUUCUAUUAUUGGUGAGCAGGAGGAAAUCCACAAUAUACAUUACACAUCACCCAUAUUCUUUUUAAUUGAACAAUGUAUGAAAUUAUGGUGAUUCGAAAUUAAAUUAUAUGUUUAUUGGGCAACGAAUCCAAAAUAAGAGUUGGAAAUGUAUUGUGACAACAAUUGUUAACUUUGGCCACAAAUGAUCAAAAUAAAUAUUUAAGGUUUAAUAUGACAUUAUGGGUUCAAAAUAUAGUUACUUGUUAUGAAACAACUAAAAGUGCGGAUGCCCAUUUGUAUUCUCAAAAGGAUCAAUUCACAAUUCAUUGCUCCCAAGAGGAUUAAUUCAUAAUUCAUUGCUAUAUUAUGUAAAGGAAUUACAUUGGAUGAACGGUUUCAAUCCAUAAGAGCUAUUCAUGUAUUGGAUGAACCAUUUCAUAUGGCUAUUUAUAUUCUUGUAGUAAUGAGUGUUUAAUAGAAUUGUUGUACCUCUAAUUUUGUAGUACCUAUAUAUAGAGGUACCUUAGCACCUCUUGGGUGUACUUUUUGAUUAGUUGGAAUAAUAAGAAAAUCAUUCUCUAUUUUUGUACUUCUUUCUCUAAUAUUUCAAUUCCUAUUAUAGUAGUUCAUUUUUUUUUUAGUUUUACAACACGUUAUCAGUACAAGUCUCUACUUUUGAACAAAAAGGUGAAAACGGAGUCUCUACCUUAAAAAAAAGUGAAACACGAGAUUCUGCCGAAAUUCUGCCCGUAUUUUUCCAGUAACUUCUGUCUACUUAUUGAGAAACGGAUGCCAAAUAUUUGGGAUUAAAUAAUGGUGAUGAUGACAUUUGUCUCAUUGAUAGUGCUACUACGCACACUAUAUUGAAAAAUAAGAAAAUUUUCUUGUAUGAAAAUGAGAGAGACAAAUGUUAAUACCAUAAGUGGUAGUGCAAAAUUGAUUGAAAGAUUCGAAAGAGCCACUCUAUUUCUUACUGAAGGGACUAAAAUUGUCGUAAAUAAUGCACUACUGUCUCCCAAGUCUCGGAGAAAUUUAUUGAGUUUUAAAGAUAUCCACGAAAACAGAUAUCAUAUCGGGACAAUAACUGAGACAAAUAAAGAAUUUUUAUUAAUCAAAAGUAUCAUUUCUAGGCAGAAAUACGUAGUAGAAAAAUUACCUUCUUUUUCUUUUGGCUUAUAUUAUGCACAAAUUAGUGCAAUUGAAAUUUAUCACCUAGUAGACCAGAAGUCUACUCAUCCCAAUAAUUUUAUCAUUUGACAUGAUCAUUUCAGAAAUCUUGAAUCUAUAAUGAUGAGACGAAUAAUCGAGAAUUCACAUGGUCACUCAUUGAAAAAUCAAAAGAUAUUAAAAGCAAAUGAAUUUUCCUGUGUUGCUUGUUCCCACGGAAAAUUAAUUAGACCAUCACCCGCUAAAGUUGGGACUGAAUCCCCUACAUUUCUAGAACGAAUUUAUGGUGAUAUAUGUGGAUCAUUUCGAUAAUUUAUGGUGCUAAUUGAUGUAUCAACUGGAUGGUCACAUGUAUGUUUAUUAUCUACUCCCAACCUAGUGUUUGCGAGAUUGCUUGCUCAAAUAAUUAAAUUGCGAGCACAAUUUUCAGACUAUCCAAUAAAGAAAAUUCAUCUAGAUAAUGCUGGUGAAUAUUCAUCACAUACUUUUGACGAUUAUUGCAUGCCCAUUGGAAUAACUGUUGAACAUCUUGUAACUUAUGUUCACACAUAAAAUGGUCUAGCCGAAUCAUUUAUUAAACGGGUACAAUUAAUUGUUAAACCAUUGUUGAUGAGGUCUAAACUACUUUCAUCUGCUUGCGAACAUGCUAUAUUACAUGCAGCAACACUUGUGAGAAUUAGACCGACAAGUUAUCAUACUUAUUUUCCCCUACAAUUAACUUUUGGUGAUAAAUCCAAUAUUUUUUAUUUACGAAUAUUUGGUUGUUCGGUUUAUGUUCUAGUUGCACUGCCCCAACGUCGUAAAUUGGGCUCGCAAAAAAGAUUGAAAAUAUAUGUCGGGUAUGAAUCACCUUUAAUUAUUAAGUAUAUGGAACCAUUGAUAGGUGAUUUAUUUACUGCGAGAUUUAUAGAUUGUUAUUUUGAUGAAUCACAUUUUUCAACAUUAAGGGGAGAUAAAAAUCGACCAAAAAAGGAAAUCACUUUAAAAAUAUCAUUGAAUUUCUCGAUUCUCGUACCGAAGUAUGUGAACUAGAAGUUCAAAAGAUUACACAUUUGCAAAAAAUUACAAAUCAAUUACUGGAUGCAUUUAAUGAUUCCAGAAGAGUUACUAAAUCACAUAUUCCUAUUGAAAAUGCUCCAAUUAAAAUUAAUGUCCUUGAAAGACAAAUUACAAGUGCUAAUGAGUCUAAAGUGCACCUGAAGUGUGGGAGAUCUCUUGGUUCCAAAGAUAAAAAUUCUCGAAAGAAAAGAGGAGCAUAUGAAUCAACAAUUAGUGACAAAAUUCAACCUCUUGAAGAGAUCGCUCCUAAAGAACCAAUUCUUGAGAAGAAUGAAAUCAUAGAAAAUUCAAUAAAUUUUAUCACUUCAGGAAAAAGUUGGAACCGAAAAGAAAUAAUUAUUAAUAGUAUUUUUGCAUAUAAUGUAGCACUUGAUAUUAUGGUAGAGAAUGAGGAUCACGAGCCUAAAUCGAUUGAUGAAUGUCGACGUAGAAAUGAUUGGCUAAAAUGAAAAGAUGCGAUCCAAUCUGAAUUGAACUCACUGGUUAAAAGAAAAGUUUUUGGACCUAUAGUCCAAACACCUGAAGGUGUAAAGCCAGUAGGAUAUAAGUGGGUAUUUGUGAGAAAAAUGAAAUCGUAAGGUAUAAAGUAAUACUUGUAGCCUAAGGAUUUUCACAAAGGCCUGGAUUUGAUUAUGAUUACACUUAUUCACCUGUAGUAGAUGCUAUCACAUUGAUAUUUUGUGAGUUUUGCAGUACAUGAAAAAUCAGAUAUGCAUCUAAUGGACAUCGUUACUGCAUAUUUAUAUGAAAAUCUUGAAAAUGAUAUUUAUAUGAGAAUUCUCGAAGGAUUCAAUAUGCCUGAAGCAUGCAAAUCAAAUCCUAAAAAUAUUUAUUUCAUUAAAUUACAAAGGUCUUUGUAUGAAUUCAAACAAUGUAAACGCAUGUGGUACCACCUCAAUGAAUGUUUAACUAAAGAAGGCUAUACCAAUGAUCCAAUAUGUCCAUGUGUCUUUAUAAAAAAAAUGGAUCAAAUUUUGUGAUAAUUGUUGUAUAUGUUGAUGAUCUAAAUAUGAUUGGAACUCCUGAAGAGAUUCAAAACAGUGUUGAAUAUUUGAAAAAAAAUUUGAGAUCAAAGAUUUUGGAAAAAUAAAAUUUUGCUUUAGUUUACAAAUUGAGCAUUUGAAAAGUGAAAUUUUUGUCCACCAAACUGCUUAUACCUGGAAGGUAUUAAAGCGAUUUUAUAUGGAUAAGUCACAUACAUUAAGUAUUCCAAUGGUCAGAUCAUUAGAUCCUAAUAAGGAUCCUUUAGACCGUGAGAGGAAGAUGAAGAGAUACUUGGUCCUAAAGUACCAUAUCUCAGUGCAAUUGGUGCACUACUGUAUCUUGCUAAUUGUACAAGACCUGAUAUAUCAUUUGCAAUAAAUUUAUUAGCAAGAUUUAGUUCCUCGCCCACAAGACGACAUUGGAAUGAUAUUAAACAUAUUUUUCGUUAUCUUUAAGGAACAAUUGAUCUUGCGUUAUUUUAUUCAAAUAAAUCUAAACUUGAAUUGCUUGGUUAUGCUGAUGUUGGAUAUUUAACUACUCUGCAUAAAACAAAAUCUCAGACUGGUUAUCUAUUUACAUAUGGAGGUACAACCAUUUCUUGGCGAUCUACAAAGCAAUUAUUAGCCACCACCUCAUCGAAUCAUGCUAAAAUAAUAGCAAUUCAUGAGGCUAGUCGAGAAUGUGUUUGAUUAAGAUCAAUGACCUACUAUAUCCGGAAGAGUUGUGGAUUAUCCUCUGAAAAAGAAAAUCCUCCAACUAUAUUUUAUGAAGAUAAUGCAGCUUGUAUAGCUCAAUUGAAAGGAGAAUAUAUUAAAGGAGAUAGAACGAAACAUAUUUCACCAAAUUCUUUUUUACUCAUAAUUUACAAAAGAAUAGUGAAAUUGAUGUGCAACAAAUCCGAUCAGAUAAUGAUUUAAUAGAUUUAUUUACUAAUGCAUUGCUGACUGCAAUAUUUGAGAAAUUGGUAAAGAAUAUUGGAAUGCGAUGACUAUAAGAUCUCAAAUGAUAUUUGCAUCAGGGGAAGAAAUCAAUACACAAGAAUAGUGUACUCUUUUUUCUUCACUAGAACUUUUGUCCCGUUGGAUUUUUUUCUAGUAAGAUUUUAAUAAGACAUAUUCUUUGUGUAAUGAAUAUUCAAUGGGGAGUGUUAUGAAACAACUAAAACUGUGGAUGUCCAUUUGUAUUCUCAAGAAGAUAAAUUCAUAAUUCAUUGCUUUCGAGAGAAUUAAUUCAUAAUUUAUUGCUACAUUAUGUAAAGGAAUUACAUUGGAUGAACGGUUUCAAUCCAUAAGAGCUAUUCAUGUAUUGGAUGAACCAUUUCAUAUGGCUAUUCAUGUUCUUCUAGUAACGAGUGUUUAAUAGAAUUGGUGUACCUUUAAUUUUGUAGUACCUAUAUAUAGAAGUACCUGGCACCUCUUGGGUGUACUUUUUGAUUAGUUGGAAUCAUAAAAAAAUCAUUUUCCAUUUCUGUACUUCUUUCUCUAAUAUUUCAAUUCCUAUUAUAGCAGUUUUUUUUUUUAGUUUUACAACAUUACUCAAAUAAGAGAGUUAUUGGACUACAUGUUUAUUGACCUCUACUAACUUAUUUAAGGUCAUUUUAUAUCACUAUCCAAAGAAGAAUUAAGGUCAUUUUAUAUCACUAUCCAAAGAAAAAUUCUUGGGCGUUAGCAUUUUUCUUACAUGCGAAGACUAUUAAUGAAAGUUGACCCAAAUCUCUCUGUCUCUCUCUCUCUCUCAAUUCUUAGGACUGAUGCCAAUUCUUACCAUUUAGAAAGAAAAAUUAGAUUGUUUAUAUAUAUGAUGAGUUCCCUCUAAGUCAUGGUUAAGAAAAAUUCUUAGUUAAACGUAGUUUUAUGAAAUGUGAAUUUCCUUUUCGUUGUCUUUAUUCAUUAGUAUUAUUGGGAUUAUUGUAUUCUAAUUGCAAUGCACAGAUACAUGGAUUUUUGACAUUUUUUCUUUUUAAUUGACUCUGACUAUGUCUCAAACUCGAGACAUCAAACCUGGAGACGACUUUUGUCCAAAAUGCUUGUAAAAAUUCAGAAGAAUAAUUUUGGACCUUAUUAUUUAAUAAUGGUAGAAUUAUGAGAGUCAUUCCUAGUUAAUUAUCAAACUUGGAACUUGAAAAAAAUGUCGACAUCAUGUCAUUAUUAUUUGUUUGUUUCAUAGAAAAAUAAAGCAUUCUCCGACUCCACAUUAUCAUAUUAUUUUCAAUUGGCAGCUUAAGUGAGAAAGACAGGUGAAAAUUUUGUGCAUUACUAAUUUAUUUAGGCCUCACGCGUCGCGCGAAUGUGCCCACAUCAUCUUCGCUGUAUUGGAGAAAUUUGAGCGCUUUGAUCAUAAGAAAUUCACAAUCACAACUGGCCACAAAGAAAGCACUAACUGGUUUAAACAAAGCAUGCAAAUUUCUUAAACAAUAGAUACCUAAACCAACCAUUUUACCGUCCUGCCAAAAAAAGGGCAUUAAAGUAAAAACAACCUAUGCCUAACACAGCUAACAAACUUCAGCACCUUCACUUCACUGCCACGUCAUCAACAACAUUUGCAAAUUUCCAAGGAAGUCCACGCACUAAAGGUGCCCAUGCCCCAUAGGUAGGGCUGUCAACGGUCCGGGUCUGGACCCGAACCCGACCCGGACCCGCCAAUAUUUGUCGGGUACGAGUAGGCAUAUAGUUCCGGGACCCGGACCCGGACCCGGAACCGUUUAACCUAAUAGAUUUGCGGGUAGAAUACGGAAUAUGCCGUUCCGACCCGUAUAGGACCCGACCCCGUUUUUUAAUUAAUUAAUAAUUAAAAAUAUAUACCCAAUUUUGUUCAACCCUAAAUCCCUAAUAGUCUAAUACCCACGUAACCCACCGCCGCCGCACUCUCUUUUCCUUUGCUCCUUACCCAGCCCCAGCGACCAUUUUUCUCCUCUGCCUCCCAACUCCUGAGUCGCGCCUCCACCACCACCACUCACCACUCACCAGAUCUGCAAUUUUUCAGGAAAUUGACUGAAGUUUGAGUCUGACCGAAAAGGACUAAACGUCUAAACCGAACGUCUUCAGUCUUCCUGGAGUUUCUGCUCGGCUGCCGCCGACUGCUUUUGCCGACUGCAUGUCGCAGCUAACGUGGCACACUACAAGAAAGUGAGAAGACUGCAGUUCGUGGACGCGAUUCCUAAAUCUCCUUCAGGAAAGAUAAUGAGAAGGCUCAUCAAGGAGAAGAUGGCAGAAAUUUAAAUAAGAAGAUGCGACCAGUGGGCGUUUUUGCUCAGAACCAACACGGGUUCUGUAGGAAUAAUCAAUUCCCUCCUCUUAGUCUUCGGUAACAUAUGGGCUGCUAUUCCAUUCUCACCUUUACUAUUGUGAUUGUAAUAAGCUAAUGCGAAAUUCACUUGGGUCGGUCCCAUGGAGAUAUUUUAAAUACUAGUACUAUGUCUGGCUUAAAGCAGUAAAGGCCUCAAAUAGUCACAACCACAGCACACCAGCAGUACUGCCUUUCACACGCCACGAGGUUAUCUCAUCUCGAAGAUCAACAUAGGUAAUUAAGUAGAGCUCCCAAAGUUUGCCACAGGUUUUAACGGGUCUGAUUGCCGGGUAGACCCGGCCCGGAUUCGGGACCCGUCGGAUACGGGUCCGAUGACCGAUUAAAAGAUCCGUCGGGUAUUCGGGCCGAAUCCGGAACUAAUCUAGUAUAACGGGUCCGGAUUCGGAUAUAUGCAUUCCGGCCCGGACCCGGCCCGUUGACAGGCCUACCCAUAGGGGACCUCAGGUUAGUCUUCUUAACAUCAACUCCUGUCUUUCUAUUCUUAGGAAAUAUUGAAAUUAAACGUUAUAACUAAUCCUGAUUUCCUUGUGCCAUAUUUGUACACAAUUUGGCAACAAGGGUAAAAAAAAAAUAAAAAUAAAAAGGUUUAUCUGCAAACUGUAGUUCGGCCUGGCUCUUUUUUUUUUUUUUUUUGGGGAUAAGAUCAUCUCAGCACCCGCAGACCCCGUCAUGUAUCAAUAUUUCUGUACUUAGCAUUGGCUUCUUCCGCCUGAAGAACACACGAACCACCGAAAUAGAUGGUGAAUGAAAGUGCACUUAACCCUUUUAAUUUUUCAAAACAAUUGCUUUUAGAAAAAAUAAUAAAAACUUUUUUGAAUUUAAUUUUAGAGAAGAAGAAUUUUAAACCUUUUUGAAUUUAAUCUUGGAGAAGAAGAAGUUUAAAACGUACUUUAAUUUUCACAACUGAUGAUGAAAAUAGCAAAAUGUUCACGGAGAGUGACAAAAGUGACAUCUUAUCUUUUUGCUGACUGCUCCGCUUUCCAAUGAGAGGGUCCAGAAGGGACCACGGGGAGCAGUUGCAGGUCCAAUCGUUUCUAGUGAUUUUGUGUAUUUUACACAUCAUGUAACUUUAUUUGUAUACGACGUAAUUUUAUUUGUACAACAUGUAAUUUUAAAAUAAAUUUUUGUGAACCCUACACACGUUAUUAAAAAUGAGGUACAAAAAGUAAUUUGGAUUGCAAAAAUUUUUUGAACCAAAUCUUGGCCGUGAACAGCUCAGGAACGAUCCAUCUAAUGAACGCUUCUGCCUCUUAUCCAUCCAGAAGGGGGUGCCUCUGCUUCAUAUUUUAUCCAUAUUGAUAUUUUUUUUUCCUGUGCCUCUAAGUAUUAAAUGUGAAAGGUUGCCCACCAUAUUUGACGAAACCGUUUAUCCUAAUUGAUUAUUAUCAACAGGGCAUAACUUUAAUAUUCUUCGUCCAACCCUUUCUGGUGAUUCCUGCAACUCCAGCCGUCCGUCAAUGACCAUAAAGCACCAUUAACCGACAACUAACUAACCACUACUAAUCUAUUCUCAAAUUUUAAUGAAAUUGCACAAUUAGUUUUCAUUUCUCACUUUUAUUUCAAAUUUGGUCUCAAUUUAAUGUGAACCCCAACAAAUAAGAUCGGAGUUGAAAUCAAAGAAGGUAUUUCAAUCACCAUCAGAUAAAUUCGUCAUAUCUAGUUUUGUUUUUGAGAUGCAUAGAAAAUGUAAGCUGAUUUUUCAAUCUACGAGAAAAACGAAAGUCUAAGAGAAUAAUUUUGUCAAAAUUUGACAAUGGAAUAACAGUUGUGAACGGGUGGCCACUGGUUGGCAGCUAGAAGUUAUAGCAGUUUUAAAACAUAAUUGGAGAAAGUAAAAGAUUAAAACUACGUUGUCUACUAUUAACGACUUACAUUGACAAAAUGGCUAAAGUUAGGGUUGAAAAAUAAAUUAAACUACGCGACAUUCGAAUCAACUUCGAUUGGUAAGAGUUUAUUUCAAUUUGGUUUGUUAACUAGUCAAAUCAAAUUUCAACAACAUUUUAUAGUCGAUAACUUUGAAACUUGAUAAAAAAGUCCGUUUAAACUCGAUUUAGUAAAUAAACAAAUCAAGUUUGAACAAUAUUUUAAACUCAUUAAAAUAAUUAAAUAUGUUUGAAUACUAGGGUAUUCGAUUUAAUUAGAUACGUUUGUACCCCUAAUUAAAGCAUGCACUUUUAUAAGUUUAGGAAUCAACAUUAUACAUUUAAUAGCUAGCUAGAGGGUCAAACAGUUAAUUGCCUUAAAUUCUUUUAGCAGCCAUAAGGUAUAGUUGGAGGGAUUCCCUUGAAAUUGGUUAGAUUCUUCUAUGUGACUAAAGAAUUUCGGGUGCGACGCAUUACUAGUCCUACCCUAAAAAAAAUGGUAUUACUAGUCCUUUUUUUCUUUUUUGGCGUGCCCCCGCCGUGGGAUGUGGGGAGGGGAGUCUGUGCGAGAAUUCUAGGUGGGGUACAAGGAGCCAAAGUUCACCUUAUUCAAAGUAAACAACCGUCCAUCUCAGUUGUCGACUUUCCUGUCGAUUGCGUAUAUAUAUUACUAUCUUUUACCAUGACUCUAGAGGAUAGCUAAUUUUGCUUGCUAUUAAAUAAUAAUUUCGGUAGUCUAUAAAUACUCUUGUUCCUCACCGCUCCUAGCACCACAUAAUUCCUUCAAGAACAGCCAAAACCUUCUUGAAAUCCCUCUUUUUCCUUCUAGUUCAUUUCCAAGAAACAAAUGGCCCCUGUCACUUCCAGUUAUGAGGUCACCUCCUCAAUCCCUCCUGCAAGGUUGUUCAAGGCCACCAUCCUUGAAGAGAAGCAUCUUCACAAGAUCUUGCCACAGGGUGUUAAGAGUGUCGAAAUCCUUGAAGGAGAUGGUGGAGUUGGCACAAUUAAGUUGACCACAUUUGUUGAUGGUAAGAUAAUCAAUACAAAGUGAUUAUUUUCACACAUUUGAAGUCUUCAAAUUGCUCCUUUUAUUUGGGAAAAACUAAUGACUUUUUUUUUUGGUUGCGUUAAAUAUUUAGGUGGCGAGCAUAAGACUGCCAAACAGAGAGUUGAUGGAAUUGACAAAGAAAAAUUUACAUACAGCUAUACUGUACUUGAAGCUGAUGGAUUUAACGAUGUAAUCGAGAAAAUCUGUUGUGUCAUCAAAUUUGAACCCUCUGCUGAUGGAGGUUCAAUCUGCAAAACCACUAACACAUACUACCCCAAAGGUGGUGCUCAGAUCGGUGAGGAACACCUCAAGGGAGGAAAAGAGAUGGGUUUGGGAAUGGUUAAGGCUGUUGAGGCUUACCUCCAUGCAAAUCCUACUGCCUACAACUAAUUAUAAUGAAUGCUACUGAAGGACUCUUCGACAUAUUUUCUUCAAGAUUGAAGUACACACUGAGGGUGUGUUUCCUUUUUUGCUUGGUUUGCUUUAAGCUGUUUGGUUAAGUUAAAAACAAAAUUGAAUCAUAGAGAGAACAAAAAAAAUAUAGUGUUUCUUAUGGAGAAAAAAAUGGAGCUGAUGCCUAAAAUCUCACAUGGAUCCAACAAGGAUAUGCUCAAAGUUGGAAAAAUGUGCUAUAAUUAUGAUUACUCCUUUAUGAAAUAAAGCUGAAAGCAGCUCAAUUUCUUUUUGUUUUCCAUAUUAUUCAAUUUCGUUGUCGAUUUUUGAUAGUUGUAUUUUUUUUAUUGCUUUAAUAAGGGCUAUGAUUGGAUAUCCUGUUAUGCCAUUGGCUGUCGAUGCUAAACCUGAUAAAUUAGAUGGAUCAUCCAAAUAAAGACAAAAUUGGCUAUGUAAACAUUGGUGAGGGACUAUUUCAGCUUAAGAAAAAUAGUUGAGGGACUAAAUUGGCUUAUAAUAAAAUUAGGGACUACUUCAGCUUUGUAAAAAUAGUUGAGAGACUAAAUUGACUCAUAAAAAGUUUAGGGACUAUUUUGACAUUAACGAAAUAGUUUUGAGACUAUAAACAUUAGGUCACAAUGUUGAAAUAUCAAAACCCAUGUUUGGGACCAAAACUCAUAGAACUUCUUCACGUCGCUAGCGAAAUUUGAUUCUGAAGUAAUGCUAAUUUUAUUUAUUAUUUGUUUCCUUGCUGGUCUUCUGUCUUUUUGGUUACAAUAUUAAAAUGUAUCCAUAAUUUUCAAUUCCAAAAGUGUUGAAUAUUUAAACGAAUUCUAGAAAGGGCACUGAGAGUCAAAAUCUUAUUCAAACAGCCAGCCAUCUCAGAGUACAUAUUUUUUUAUUAUCAGGUUCAAAAUGUAUCUAUUGCAAUUUUUGAAUGAUCAGCCAUGACUAAGAGAAUAAAAUAAUUCACUUGCUGUUUUUAGAUGUGAAUUCAUGACUGUCAGUAGUCUAUAAAUACACUUAUUGCUCACCACUCUUUGCACCGCAAAAUCUUUUCAAGAUCUAUCAAACCCUCCUGUUCUUGAUCUUUGUCCAUUUGUGAAAAAGCAAAUUAAAGCAUCAUGGCCUCUAUCACUUGUAGUGCUGAGAUGACCUCCCCAAUCCCUCCUGCAAGGUUGUUCAAGGCCGCCAUCCUUGAUGACCACCUUCUUCCCAAGAUCAUGCCACAGGCUAUUAAGAGUGGAAAUCCUUGAAGGAGAUGGUGGAGUUUGAACCAUUAAGUUGAGCACAUUUGGUGAAGGUUAGCAGUUAUAUUAAAUGUAGAACCCAAAUUUUAAGGAUCUAAUAAUAAUCAAUGCGUGCAGGGUUACAGAAUUGGAGGGAUAAAAUAAAUACUCAAAAUAUACGUGGAAGAAAAGAAAAUAAUAAAUUCAACUCAUAAUAUUAUUGAAAUUUCAAACAAUGAAGAAAAUCAUACCACAAUAAAUUCAGCUGGUUCUAAUAAUAAUCAAAGCAUACAAGGUUGCAGAAUUAAAAGGAUAAAACAAACACUCAAAAUAUAUGUGGGAGAGAAGAAAAUAAUAAAUUCAACACACAAUAUUACUGAAAUCUCAAACAAUGAAAAAAGUCACACCAUAAUAGAAAACCUUGCUAAUUCUUCUAGAUUCUUUCUCUUGAGAAACCAACCUAAAUAAUGUCCUAUUUAUAAUCUACCAAACUUGUUAGGAAAGAAACCACUUGCAUAAGAAAUUACCAAAUAAAACAGAAAUUCCUAAAUCACACAACUACUAAAAACAUAACUCAAAUAAAACUAAAAAUAAAUAAAUAUUUCUUGGCUUAGUUUAAUUUGUCAACAUUGCCUCCCUUAAACCAAACUAUCCAUUGAGAUAGGUUCAACACCAUCUCGAGCAAUAAUUUCUAUGUUGUAGUACACUUGACAUGAAACUCUAACUUGUUACCAGUUAUUAAUUUCAUUUUUACAUGUAACAAUGGACGCACUAUGUAUUUUGUAAAAAAUUUCUCAGCAAUUUCUUCUUGAUCAAAGUACUCACUUAUACAAACACAUUCAUCACCAGAAUCACCAUAUUUACCACCAAUGUAAGUGCCUAAAAAUACAAAAUCAUAGAUUGCUUUCUGGCUAAAAUUAUCAUCACCAAAUAAUUCAAAAUAACCACUACUACAAUCAUCCAAAAUUUUCAUACUGUCAGUCAACUCUUUUGGAGUAAAGUAUUUUUCAACUCCGAUGACAUCCAUAUCUAUCAAAUCAAACAUUCUCCCAUGACUUUGAAGAGAGUCCGCAACCAACGAAUUUUUCAACAACAAUUUCAUGUUCUCUUCUCUUAUCAAAUCAAAAUUUUCUUCUUCUUUUGUCAAAUUACCAUUUUAUUUUUUUCAACAAAUUCAUUACUUCUAAUUUCUCCAAACAAGGUACGCAAAUCAAAACUAUCAAUUGAUUCAAAAUUUUCAAUAUCACCCAUAUUAUCAACAAAUCUAUCAUUUUUAAAAUCCACAAACUAAUUCCAACAACUAGACUUCGGUUUGAAAGCAUAAUUUCUCUCAAUCGUGUGCAAAACAUAGUAAAUAUUCUUCCAAAAUCUCUAAAGUAUUUUAGUACAACCAAUAAAGGUUUUAUAAAUACUUUUUGCCAUUAAUUUAUGCAUCACUUGAAAGAAUAAUUGUGCCUUUUUCUUAAAAACAUGUUUUGCCAACUUACUUGCGUCAACCCAACAAAGAAUAUCAUCCAAAUUACAUUGUUUGACAUAUUUUUCCACUGUUAAAAUCCAACCAAAUAUGUAUGUAUAUUUGUGCUUAUAGGAGUCAAUAUGAAAAAUUUUUCACCGUCAAUCAGAUCUUUAUAAUAUUCCAUUAUUUAACAAUUUGUAUACCUGAAUAAAUUUUUUUCCUCCAUCCUGUCAUGUUUUCUUGGCCUCCCUGGUUGACUAACCAAAUUAUUGUUGUAUGUAUACCCAUGCUCGUCAAACCUCAUUCGUGUACACUCGUAAGGAGUGGUUCUGAGCUUAUUGUGAAUGCUCAGUACCAAGAAGUAGAAGAGAGAAUGCAUAAGAGAGAAUUAACUUGGCUAAAGAAUUAGGAAACAAUUGAGGGAUUUUUUAAGAAAUUAAUUCUCCAACUGCCACUUUUGGAAAUUUUCUAUCAACAACUAGUUACCAAAACACUAGCACAUAGUAAGAAAUCUGGAUAAUUUCAGAAACCUCCCUUGAGGCUUUUAAUAAUCUCGAGAAGCUCCCCUCAAUUUUUAAAAUUGCACGUACCAUCCCUAUUGGUGCAAAAGUACUCUACUACCCCUAAUAGGAUACUCAAAAGACUUUUUUUAUGGGAAAAAAGAAGGCCAGAAAUCCAAGCGAAAACAAAAAAAAUCAAUUUAUUUUCUCUUUUAGCCUUUUACGCUUUUGCCUUCUACCUUUGCUCACUUUCCCAUGCCAAUCUUCCUAUAACCACUUUCCCAAUCCCCUUUCCCCAACUUUUCUUCUCUACUUCAAGACCAAUUUUUGUCCAUCAAUCCUGGCUUGUGCUUUGUUCCAUUCCCUUCCCUUCUCCUUCUUUGAUUUCCCCUAUAUCUCCCCUUCUCUUUGCAAAAGUGACUAGGCUCAUCUCUCUCCUUUUUUUCCCCAUAUUUUAAGUGUAGUGGGUUUGAUUAUUUUGCAUCUAUUUUAUUUGAUUUUGGUUGAUUAUGGGUGAUAAAACUUGGUGAUGUCACAUAUUAAAAGUUUGAUAGAUGGAUAUUGGGCUUUAGACAAUGAUUUGCUGAAAAAAAUGGCCGCAAUGAGAGGAAGAGGCAAAGGGAUUUGAGUGUGGGGUUGAUUGUUGAUGAAUUGUUGUUUUGGAAAAAAUUUGAGGUUGAGUUUUAUCAAAUUUGGUAGCAAGUGGCGAGAUUUGUUCAGGUUGCGGGAAAUAAAUUGGUUUGUGGUUUCUUGGGCACCCACAGUCGUUGGAAUUGGUUUUGAUUCAAAUUAGGGUGGUUACUUGAUUUUCCUAAUAGUGUUGCUUAAAAGCACACGAUCAUCAAAAUUCCUUAUUUUUAUCUUUUAUUUUUUUUUUGUAGAAAAGAUUUCAUGACUUUCGUGAUAGUCUAAUUUGGAAGAAGGCAAUCAAGGGAUGCAAUCAACAUUUAGCAAAAGCUCUUGUUCUUUUCUUUGUAAUUUUUAGGGUAAAAAGGGUUGUUUAGGGUAUUUGAAGGAAAUGAUAGUCUAUUGGGUCUAUUUUGAAGCAUAAAUAGUGAACGUAAGGGAGGUUGGUGUUAUUUCUGAAACCUAAGGGAAUUGUCUGAAAUUGUCCGAGACCUCGGAGGAGGUUUUCAAAAUUAUCCGUAAGAAAUCAAAUGCGAAACUUGAUUCGUACACGCACACACGACACCACACCACGUCACGCGUGUGUUGAGGACUGAUGUCCGUAGCCAACGACAAGCAGGUUUUCAAUUUUUUUUUCCUUUCCUGGAUUCAGAGAUGGUGUCAGCUUCUAUUAUUGGUGAGCAGGAGGAAAUCCACAAUAUACAGUACACAUCACCCAUAUUCUUUUUAAUUGAACAAUGUAUGAAAUUAUGGUGAUUCGAAAUUAAAUUAUAUGUUUAUUGGACAACGAAUCCAAAAUAAGAGUUGGAAAUGUAUUGUGACAACAAUUGUUAACUUUGGCCACAAAUGAUCAAAAUAAAUAUUUAAGGUUUAAUAUGACAUUAUGGGUUCAAAAUAUAGUUACUUGUUAUGAAACAACUAAAAGUGCGGAUGCCCAUUUGUAUUCUCAAAAGGAUCAAUUCAUAAUUCAUUGCUCCCAAGAUGAUUAAUUCAUAAUUCAUUGCUACAUUAUGUAAAGAAAUUACAUUGGAUGAAUGGUUUCAAUCCAUAAGAGCUAUUCAUGUAUUGGAUGAACCGUUUCAUAUGGCUAUUCAUGUUCUUGUAGUAAUGAGUGUUUAAUAGAAUUGAUGUACCUUUAAUUUUAUAGUACCUAUACAUAGAGGUACCUGGCACCUCUUCGGUGUACUUUUUGAUUAGUUGGAAUAAUAAGAAAAUCAUUCUCCAUUUCUGUACUCUUUCACUAAUAUUUCAAUUCCUAUUAUAGUAGUUCAUUUUUUUUUAGUUUUACAACACGUUAUCAGUACGAGUCUCUCCUUUUAAACAAAAAGGUGAAAACGGAGCCUCUACCUUAAAAAAAAAGUGAAACACGAGAUUUUGCCGAAAUUCUGCCGUAUUUUUCCAGUAACUUCUGUCUACUUAUUGAGAAAUGGAUGCCAAAUAUUUGGGAUUAAAUGAUGGUGAUGAUGACAUUUGUCUCAUUGAUAGUGCUACUACGCGCACUAUAUUGAAAAAUAAAAAAAUUUUCUUGUAUGAAAAUGGGAGAGACAAAUGUUAAUAUCAUAAGUGGUAGUGCAAAAUUGAUUGAAAGAUUCGGAAGAGCCACUCUAUUUCUUCCUAAAGGGACUAAAAUUGUCGUAAAUAAUGCACUAUUGUCUCCCAAGUCUCGGAGAAAUUUAUUGAGUUUUAAAGAUAUCCGCAAAAACGGAUAUCAUAUUGGGACAAUGAUUGAGACAAAUGGAAAAUUUUUAUUAAUCACAAGUAUCAUUUCUAGACAGAAAUACGUAGUAGAAAAAUUACCUUCUUUUUCUUUUGGCUUAUAUUAUGCACAAAUUAGUGCAAUUGAAAUUUAUCACCUAGUAAACCAAAAGUCUAUUCAUCCCAAUAAUUUUAUCAUUUGGCAUGAUCAUUUCAGAAAUCUUGAAUCUAUAAUGAUGAGACAAAUAAUCGAGAAUUCACAUGGUCACUCAUUGAAAAAUCAAAAGAUAUUAAAAGCAAAUGAAUUCUCCUGUGUUGCUUGUUCCCACGGAAAAUUUAUUAGACCAUCACCAGCUAAAGUUGGGACUGAAUCCCCUACAUUUCUAGAACGAAUUCAUGGUGAUAUAUGUGGAUUAUUUCGAUAAUUUAUGGUGCUAAUUGAUGCAUCAUCUAGAUGGUCACAUGUAUGUUUAUUAUCUACUCCCAACCUGGCGUUUGCGAGUUUGCUUGCUCAAAUAAUUAAAUUGCGAGCACAAUUUUCAGACUAUCCAAUAAAGAAAAUUCAUCUAGAUAAUGCUGGUGAAUAUUCAUCACAUACUUUUGACGAUUAUUGCAUGUCCAUUGGAAUAACUGUUGAACAUCUUGUAACUUAUGUUCACACACAAAAUGGUCUAGCCGAAUCAUUUAUUAAACGGCUACAAUUAAUUGCUAAACCAUUGUUGAUGAGGUUUAAACUACUUUCAUCUGCUUGCGAACAUGCUAUAUUACAUGCAGCAACACUUGUGAGAAUUAGACCGACAAGUUAUCAUACUUAUUUUUCCCUACAAUUAACUUUUGGUUAUGAAUCCAAUAUUUUUCAUUUAAGAAUAUUUGGUUAUUCAGUUUGUGUUCUAAUUGCACCGCCCCGACGUUGUAAAUUGGGCUCGCAAAGAAGAUUGAAAAUAUAUGUCGGGUAUGAAUCACCUCUAAUUAUUAAGUAUAUGGAACCAUUGACAGAUGAUUUAUUUAUUGCGAGAUUUGUAGAUUGUCAUUUUGAUGAAUCAGAUUUUUCAACAUUAGGGGGGAGAUAAAAAUCAACCGAAAAAGGAAAUCACUUUAAAAAUAUCAUUGAAUUUUCUCGAUUCUCGUACAAAAGAAUGUGAACUAGAAAUUCAAAAGAUUAUACAUUUGCAAAAAAUUACAAAUCAAUUACCGGAUGCAUUUAAUGACUCCAGAAGAGUUACUAAAUCACAUAUUCCUAUUGAAAAUGCUCUGAUUAAAAUUAAUAUCCUUGAAGGACAAAUUACAAGUGCUAAUGAGUCUAAAGUGCGCCUGAAGCGUGGGAGAUUUCUUGGUUCCAAAGAUAAAAAUUUUCGAAAGAAAAGAGGAGUACAUGAAUCAACAAUUAAUGACAAAAUUUAACCUCCUGAAGAGAUCGCUCCUAAAGAGCCAAUUCUUGAAGAGAAUAAAAUCAUAGAAAAUUCAAUAAAUUUUGUCACUUCAGGGAAAAGUUGGAACCGAAAAGAAAUAAUUAUUGAUAGUAUUUUUGUAUAUAAUGUAGCACUUGAUAUUAUGGUAGAGAAUGGGGAUUACGAGCCUAAAUCGAUUGAUGAAUGUCGACGUAGAAAUGAUUGGCCAAAAUGAAAAGAUGCGAUCCAAUUUGAAUUGGACUCACUGGUUAAAAGAAAAGUUUUUGGACCUGUAGUCCAAACACCUGAAGGUGUGAAGCCAGUAGGAUAUAAAUGGGUAUUUGUGAAAAAAAAAUGAGAAAAAUGAAAUCGUGAGGUAUAAAUUAAUACUUGUAGCCAAAGGAAUUUCACAAAGGCCUGGAUUUGAUUAUGAUUACACGUAUUCACUUGUAGUGGAUGCUAUCACAUUUAGAUAUCUUGUGAGUUUUGCAGUACAUGAAAAAUCAGAUAUGCAUCUAAUGGACGUCGUUACUGCAUAUUUAUAUGAAAAUCUUGAAAAUGAUAUUUAUAUGAGAAUUCCCGAAGGAUUCAAUAUGCCUGAAACAUGCAAAUCAAAUCUUAAAAAUAUUUAUUUAAUUAAAUUACAAAAGUCUUUGUAUGGAUUCAAACAAUCUGAACGUAUGUGGUACCGCCUUAAUGAAUGUUUAACUAAAGAAGGCUAUACCAAUGAUCCAAUAUGUCCAUGUGUCUUUAUCAAGAAAAAUGGAUCAAAUUUUGUGAUAAUUGUUGUAUAUGUUGAUGAUCUAAAUAUGAUUGGAACACCUGAAAAGAUUCAAAAUAGUGUUGAAUAUUUGAAAAAAAAUUUGAGAUCAAAGAUUUUGGAAAAAUAAAAUUUUUCCUUGGUUUACAAAUUGAGCAUUUGAAAAGUGGAAUUUUGUCCACCAAACUGCUUAUACCCGGAAGGUAUUAAAGCGAUUUUAUAUGGAUAAGUCACAUACAUUAAGUAUUCCAAUGGUCAGAUCAUUAGAUCCUAAUAAGGACCCUUUUAGACCGCGAGAGGAAGAUGAAGAGAUACUUGGUCCUAAAGUACCAUAUCUCAGUGCAAUUGGUGCACUACUGUAUCUUGCUAAUUGUACAAGACUUGAUAUAUCAUUUACAAUAAAUUUAUUAGCAAGAUUUAUUUCCUCGCCCACAAGACGACAUUGGAAUGGUAUUAAACAUAUUUUUCGUUAUCUUUAAGGAACAAAUUGAUCUUGGCUUAUUUUAUUCAAAUAAAUCUAAACUUGAAUUGCUUGGUUAUGUUGAUGUUGGAUAUUUAUCUGAUUUGCAUAAAGCAAGAUCUCAGACUGGUUAUCUAUUUACAUAUGGAGGUACAACCAUUUCUUGGCGAUCUAGAAAGCAAUUAUUAGCCGCCACUUCAUCGAAUCAUGCUAAAAUAAUAGCAAUUCAUGAGGCUAGUCGAGAAUGUGUUUCGUUAAGAUCAAUGACCUACUAUAUCCGGAAGAGUUGUGGGUUAUCCUCUGAAAAAGAAAAUCCUCCGACUAUAUUUUAUGAAGAUAAUGCAGCUUGUAUAGCUCAAUUGAAAGGAGAAUAUAUUAAAGGAGAUAGAACGAAAUAUAUUUCACCAAAAUUCUUUUUUACUCAUGAUUUACAAAAGAAUGGUGAAAUUGUUGUGCAACAAAUCCGAUCAGAUAAUAAUUUGAUAGAUUUAUUUACUAAUGUAUUGCCGACUGCAAUAUUUGAGAAAUUGGUGAAGAAUAUUGGAAUGCGACGACUAUAAAAUCUCAAAUGAUAUUUGCAUCAGGGGGAGAAAUCAAUACACAAGAAUAGUGUACUCUUUUUUUUUCACUAGAGUUUUUGUCCCGUUGGAUUUUUUCCUAGUAAGGUUUUAAUAAGACAUAUUCUUUGUGUAAUUAAUAUCCAAUGGGGAGUGUUAUGAAAUAACUAAAAGUGUGGAUGUCCAUUUGUAUUCUCAAGAAGAUCAAUUCAUAAUUCAUUGCUCCCAAGAGAAUUAAUUCAUAAUUUAUUGCUACAUUAUGUAAAGGAAUUACAUUGGAUGAUCGGUUUCAAUCCAUAAGAGCUAUUCAUGUAUUGGAUGAACCAUUUCAUAUGGCUAUUCAUGUUCUUGUAGUAACGAGUGUUUAAUAGAAUUGAUGUACCUUUAAUUUUGUAGUACCUAUAUAUAGAUGUACCUUAGCUGAUAGGUUGCAAUUUUAUCAUUUAUUUUAUAAUUAAUUUCUCCUAUUACCUGACUUGAUGUGGAUUAAUUGCGGGAUUCUACUCACUUUUAGUAUUUUGCAUUUAUUUCAGGGAGUAGAGCGAAAAUAUAAUAACAGGUGCUAAUUUGACAAAAAAAGAGUCCAAGGCACAGAGCUUAUCCCGGGGGCAUUAUUGGCAAAGGAAGACUUUUGCCCAUUUUGGUAAUUUCAAAAGAAGAGAGCAGGGCAGAGGCCUCUAUUUUACUGGAGGCUGGAGCGCCGCACAAAGGGAGCUUCUUCUUCCUUCGGAGGCUCCGUCCUCUCCGCAAGGGGGCUGCCGCACACAGCAGCCAUUAGAAUAGGAGCAAUUGAUAUAUGACAGAGAAUGAGCACUAGCACCAGGGAGUUGCCUUUGUUGACUUUUCUUCCCUUUUAGUUCUUAGUAGUUGUUUUACCUUCCUCGUACGUAGGACCUUUAGCAUAGUUUCCUUUUGACUUUCCCUUGAGUCUUGGGUGGAUGUCUCCUGCGCAUGUCAGGAGCAAUUGAAGGUCUCGGUCACUUUCUGUAUUCUUCCAUCAACUGAGCGAACUGAGCUCCCUUGGUCAAGGGCAAUGGCUGCGGCUUCCUCUCCAACUUUGUGUGGGAUUCGUUCACCAGGAAUGAACUAAUUUUUCUUUUCUAGUCAAGGAACAACGGAGGUCUUGGUUGGCCUAAAUUUGUGAGAUCGAAUUAGUUUUUAUUUAUUUCCAUUAUUCACUGGUAUUUGUCUAUCUUCUGCUUUAUGUUCAUAUGGUUGUUUUAUUAUUCGAUUAUCCAGGGCCCGGAUACUAGAUUAAUUCAAUAACCUGAAGCCAAUUAGGAUAGUUAAAUCCGUAAUUGUUUAAUUAUUCUAAACUGCUGGCAACUGGCAUGAUUGGGUUUGUGUCAGGGGGAUAAACAUGCUAACUUAAAGAGACCCUCGUAGCGUGUUGAUUGGUUAGAAUUAGGCUCUUCUAAUUAUUCAUGCAAUUAGGGAAUUGAACUUCUAUGGUCGUACCUAGGGUUAUUUCCUGAUUAGAGAAAUAGUCAACGGUCGUACCUUGGCUAUCGACAAAUUGAGGAAGAGUUGGUUGUUUAUCGCGUGUAUGGCAACUAUAACUAAUUUAUCAGAUAGUAACUGGAAUAAUCCUUGCAUCUGUGAUCGAAUUAAGUGAACCAUCUCCGAAGUUGUCUCUUGGCUAGAGUUCGUCAAUUAUUAUUUUUAUUGUGAUAAUUAGUUAUUUGAGUUGUAGUUAUUUUAUUUUAUUUAUUCCAAGUAAUUUAGUUACUCUCAUUUUCAAAAACCCCCCAUAUCUGGAACUUGAGAAGAAAUUAAAUUAUCCCCAGUCCCUGUGGAUUCGACCCUGCUCACCGCUAUAUACAGAAUUUGUAUUUUAUUUGAGCAGGUAUUUAUUAUUGCACAGGUUCGGCACCUGUCAAUUUUUUGCUACAUUAUGUAAAGGAAUUACAUUGGAUGAUCGGUUUCAAUCCAUAAGAGCUAUUCAUGUAUUGGAUGAACCAUUUCAUAUGGCUAUUCAUGUUCUUGUAGUAACGAGUGUUUAAUAGAAUUGAUGUACCUUUAAUUUUGUAGUACCUAUAUAUAGAUGUACCUUAGCACCUCUUGGGUGUACUUUUUGAUUAGUUGGAAUAAUAAAAAAAUCAUUCUCCAUUUCUGUACUUCUUUCUCUAAUAUUUCAAUUCCUAUCACAGUAGUUAUUUUUUUUUAGCUUUACAACAUUACUUAAAUAAGAGAGUUAUUGGACUAUAUGUUUAUUGACCUCUACUAACUUAUUUAAGGUCAUUUCAUAUCACUAUCCAAAGAAGAAUUAAGGUCAUUUCAUAUCACUAUCCAAAGAACAAUUCUUGGGCGCUAACAUUUUUCUUACAUGACUAUUAAUGAAAGUUGACCCAAAUCUCUCUGUCUCUCUCUUUCUUUCAAUUCUUAGGACUGAUGCCAAUUCUUACCAUUUAGAAAGAAAAAUUAGAUUGUUUAUAUAUAUGAUGAGUUCCCUCUAAGUCAUGGUUAAGAAAAAUUCUUAGUUAAACGCAGUUUUAUGAAAUGUGAAUUUCCUUUUCUUUGUCUUUAUUCAUUAGUAUUAUUGGGGUUAUUGUAUUAUGAUUGCAAUGCACAGAUACAUGGAUUUUUGACAUUUUUUCUUUUUAAUUGACUCUGACUAUGCCUCAAACUCGAGACAUCAAACCUGGACACGACUUUUGUCCAAAAUGCUUGUAAAAAUUCAGAAGAAUAAUUUUGGACCUUAUUAUUUGAUAAUGGUACAAUUAUGAGAGUCAUUCCAGGUUAAUUAUCAAACUUGGAACUUGAAAAUAAUGUCGACAUCAUGUCAUUAUUAUUUUUUAGUUUCAUAGAAAAAUGAAGUAUUCUCCAACUCGACAUUAUCAUAGUAUUUUCAAUUGGCAGCUCAUGUGAGAAAGACAAGAAAUUCACAAUCAACUGGCCAAGAGAGUGCCAACAAAGAAAGCACUAAAUGGCUUAAACAAUGCAUGCAAAUUUGCUUGGCACUUAAACAAUAGACACCUAAAUCAACCAUGUCACUGUCUUGCCAAAAAAGGGCAUUAAAGUAAAAACAACUCAUGCCUACCACAGGUAACAAACUUCAGCACCUUCACUUCACUACCAUGUCAGCAACAACAUUUGCAAAUUUCCAAGGAAGUCCACGCACUAAAGGUGCCCAUGCCCUUAGGGGACCUCAGGUUAGUGUUCUUAACCUCAACUCCUGUCUUUCUGUUCUUAGGAAAUAUUGAAAUUAAACGUUAUAACUAAUCCUGAUUUCCUUGUGCUAUAUUUGUACACAAUUUGGCAACAAGGGUAAAAAAAAAUAAAAAUAAAAAGGUUUAUCUGCAAACUGUAGUUCGGCCUGGCUCUUUUUUUUUUUUUUUUUUUUGGGGAUAAGAUCAUCUCAGCACCCGCAGACCCCGUCAUGUAUCAAUAUUUCUGUACUUAGCAUUGGCUUCUUCUCGCCUGAAGAACACACGAACCACCGAAAUAGAUGGUGCAUGAAAGUGCACUUAACCCUUUUAAUUUUUCAAAACAAUCUUUUAGAAAAAAUAAUAAAAACUUUUUGAAUUUAAUUUUAGAGAAGAAGAAUUUUAAAAUUUUUUGAAUUUAAUCUUAGAGAAGAAGAAGUUUAAAAUGUACUUUAAUUUUCACAACUGAUGAUGAAAAUAGCAAAAUGUACACGGAUAGUGACAAAAGUGGGAUCACGGGCAGGAAAUCCUGAAGGUUGCGUGCAUUUUACACACGGCAUAAUUCUGUUUGUAUAUAGUGUAAUUUACUUUUUACAACGUGUAAUUUUAAAACAAAAUUUUGUAAGUCUCACACAUUUUAUUAAAAAUAAGGUACAAGAUGAAAUUUGGACCAUAUAAUUUUUUUUAAUCAAAUCUUGACCGUGAACUGCUCAGAAACGGUUUACCUGAUGACCGUCCCUGGUCCAAACCCGACAAAGGUGCCAUCUUAUCCUUUUACUGACUGGCCCGUUUUCCAAUGAGAGGGCCCAGAAGGGGUGCCUCUGCUUCAUAGUUUAUCCAUAUUGAUAUUUCUUUUCUGUCCCCCUAACUAUUAAAUGUGAAAGGUUGCCCACCAAAUUUGACGAAACCGUUUAUCCUAAUUGAUUAUUAUCAAUAGGGCAUAACUUUAAUAUUCUUCUUCCAACCCUUUCUGGUGAUUCCUGCAACUCCAGCCGUCCGUCAAUGACCAUAAAGCACCAUUAACCGACAACUAACUAACCACUAUUAAUCUAUUCUCAAAUUUUAAUGAAAUUGCACAAUCUAUUCUCAAAUCAAAUUUGAACAACAUUUUAUAGUCGAUAACUUUGAAACUUGAUAAAAAAGUCUGUUUAAACUCGGUUUAGUAAAUAAACAAAUCAAGUUUGAACAAAAUUUUAAACUCAUUAAAAUAAUUAAACACGUUUGAAUAUUAGGGUAUUCGAUUUAAUUAGACACGUUUGUAUCCCUAAUUAAAGCAUGCACUUUUAUAAGUUUAGGAAUCAACAUUAUACAUUUAAUAGCUAGCUAGAGGGUCAAAAAGUUAAUUGCCUUAAAUUCUUUUAGCAGCCAUAAGGUACAGUUGGAGGGAUUCCCUUGAAAUUGGUUAGAUUCUUCUAUGUGACUAAAGAAUUUCGGGUGUGACGCAUUACUAGUCCUACCCUAAAAAAAAAUGGUAUUACUAGUCCUUUUUUUCUUUUUUGGCGUGCCCCCGUCGUGGGAUGUGGGGAGGGGAGUCUGUGCGAGAAUUCUAGGUCGGGGUACAAGGAGCCAAAGUUCACCUUAUUCAAAGUAAACAACCGUCCAUCUCAGUUGUCGACUUUCCUGUCGAUUGCGUAUAUAUAUAUAUUACUAUCUUUUACCAUGACUUUAGAGGAUAGCUAAUUUUGCUUGCUAUUAAAUAAUAAUUUCGGUAGUCUAUAAAUACUCUUGUUCCUCACCGCUCCUAGCACCACAUAAUUCCUUCAAGAACAGCCAAAACCUUCUUGAAAUCCCUCUUUUUCCUUCUAGUUCAUUUCCAAGAAACAAAUGGCCCCUGUCACUUCCAGUUAUGAGGUCACCUCCUCAAUCCCUCCUGCAAGGUUGUUCAAGGCCACCAUCCUCGAAGAGAAGCAUCUUCACAAGAUCUUGCCACAGGGCGUUAAGAGUGUCGAAAUCCUUGAAGGAGAUGGUGGAGUUGGCACAAUUAAGUUGACCACAUUUGUUGACGGUAAGAUAAUCAAUACAAAGUGAUUAUUUUCACACAUUUGAAGUCUUCAAAUUUUUCUCUUUUUUUCCCUUUUAUUUGGGAAAAACUAAUGACUUUUUUUUUUUGGUUGGGUUAAAUAUUUAGGUGGCGAGCAUAAGACUGCCAAACAGAGAGUUGAUGGAAUUGACAAAGAAAAAUUUACAUACAGCUAUACUGUACUUGAAGCUGAUGGAUUUAACGAUGUAAUCGAGAAAAUCUGUUGUGUCAUCAAAUUUGAACCCUCUGCUGAUGGAGGUUCAAUCUGCAAAACCACUAACACAUACUACCCCAAAGGUGGUGCUCAGAUCAGUGAGGAACACCUCAAGGGAGGAAAAGAGAUGGGUUUGGGAAUGGUUAAGGCUGUUGAGGCAUACCUCCAUGCAAAUCCUACUGCCUACAACUAAUUAUAAUGAAUGCUACUGCAAGGACUCUUCGACAUAUUUUCUUCAAGAUUGAAGUAUAAACUGAGGGUGUCUGUUUCCUUUUUUGCUUGGUUUGCUUAAGCUGUUUGGUUAAGUUAUUCGCAGCAAGAGAAUAAAAUAAUUCAUUUGCUGUUUUUAGAUAUGAAUUCAUGACUGUCAGUAGUCUAUAAAUACACUUAUUGCUCACCACUCUUUGCACCGCAAAAUCUUUUCAAGAUCCAUCAAACCCUCCUGUUCUUGAUCUUUCUCCAUUUGUGAAAAAACAAAUUAAAGCAUCAUGGCCCCUAUCACUUGUAGUGCUGAGAUGACCUCCCCAAUGCCUCCUGCAAGGUUGUUCAAGGCCGCCAUCCUUGAUGACCACCUUCUUCCCAAGAUCAUGCCACAGGCUAUUAAAAGUGGAAAUUCUUGAAGGAGAUGGUGGAGUUUGAACCAUUAAGUUGAGCACAUUUGGUGACGGUUAGAUGUUAUAUUAAAUGUAGAACCCAAAUUUUAAGGAUCUAAUAAUAAUCAAUUAAUAAUAAUCAAUGCGUGCAGGGUUACAGAAUUGGAGGGAUAAAACAAAUACUCAAAUAAAUGUGGAAGAAAAGAAAAUAAUAAAUUCAACUCACAAAAUUAUUGAAAUUUCAAACAAUGAAAAAAAUCAUACCUUAAUAAAUUCAGUUGGUUUUAAUAAUAAUCAAAGCAUACAAGGUUAAAGAAUUAAAAGGAUAAAACAAACACUCAAAAUAUAUGUGGGAGAGAAGAAAAUAAUAAAUUCAACACACAAUAUUAUUGAAAUCUCAAACAAUGAAAAAAGUCACACCAUAAUAGAAAAUCUUGCAAAUUCUUCUAGAUUCUUUCUCUUGAGAAACCAACCUAAAUAAUGUUCUAUUUAUAAUCUACCAAACUUGUUAGGAAAGAAACCACUUGCAUAAGAAAUUACCAAAUAAAACAGAAAUUCCUAAAUCACACAACUACUAAAAACAUAACUCAAAUAAAACUAAAAAAUAAAUAAAUUUUUCUUGGCUUAGUUUAAUUUGUUAACAUUGCCUCCCUUAAACCAAACUAUCCAUUGAGAUAUGUUCAACACCAUCUCGAGUAACAAUUUCUAUGCAAAUCUAUGUUGUAGUAUACUUGACAUGAAACUCUAACUUGUUACCAGUUAUUAAUUUCAUCUUUACACGUAACAGUGGACGUACUAUGUAUUUUGUAAAAAAUUUCUCAACAAUUUCUUCUUGAUCAAAGUACUCAUUUAUACAAACCCAUUCAUCACCAGAAUCAUCAUAUUUACCACCAAUGUAAGUUCCUAAAAAUACAAAAUCAUUGCUUGCUUUCUCGCUAAAAUUAUCAUAACCAAAUAAUUUAAAAUAGCCACUACUACAAUCAUCCAAAAUUUUCAUACUGUCAGUCAACUCUUUUGGAGUAAAAUAUUUUUCAACUAUAAUGACAUCCAUAUCUAUCAAAUCAAGCAUUCUCCCAUCACUUUGAAGAAAGUCCGAACCAACGAAUUUUUCAACAACAAUUUCAUGAUCUCUUCUCUUAUCAAGUCAAAAUUUUCUUCUUCUUUUGUCAAAUUACCAUAUUAUUGUUUCAACAAAUUCAUUACUUCUAAUUUCUCCAAACAAGGUACGCAAAUCAAAACUAUCAAUUGAUUCAAAAUUUUCGAUAUCACCCAUAUUAUCAACAAAUCUAUCAUUUUUAAAAUCCACAAACCAAUACCAACAACUAGACUUCGGUUUGAAAGCAUAAUUUCUCUCAAUCGUGUGCAAAACAAAGUAAAUAUCCUUCCAAAAUCUCUAAAGUAUUUUAGUAUGACCAAUAAAGGUUUUAUAAAUACUUUCUGCCAUUAUUUUACACAUCACUUGAAAGAAUAAUUGUGCUUUUUUUCUUAAAAACAUGUUUUGCCAACUUACUUGCAUCAACCCAACAAAGAAUAUCAUCCAAAUUACAUUGUUUGAGAUAUUUUUCCACUGUUAAAAUUCAGCCAAAAUAUGUAUGUCUAUUUGUGUUUAUAGGAGUCAAUAUGGAAAAUUUUUCACCAUCAAUCAGAUCUUUAUAAUAUUCCAUUAUUUAACAAUUUGUAUACCUGAAUAAAUUUUUUUCCUCCAUCCUGUCAUGUUUUCUUGGCCUCCUUGGUUGACUGACCAAAUUAUUGUUGUAUGUAUACCCAUGCUUGUCAAACCUCAUUCGUGUACACUCGUAAGGAGUGGUUUUGAGCUUACUGUGAAUGCUUAAUACCAAGAAGUAGAAGAGAGAAUGCAUAAGAGAGAAUUAACUUGGCUAAAGAAUUGGGAAGCAAUUUAGGGAUUUUUUAAGAAAUUAAUUCUCCAACCGCCACUUUUGGAAAUUUCUAUCAACAACUAGUUACCAAAACACUAGGACAGCGAUCCGUCUCUAUUUUACUCUUCAAGUCUUCGCCGGGGAAGCAACCCGGCCUUGCGAGACUAUAAUGAAUAGGCACUUGCCUUCUGUUUUUACUUUUUUUUUGUUCAAAGACUAUAAUGCCCUUAUUAUUUGACUGCGCAUCUCGCAAGAUAAUGCUUUCCAUCAAAAUUAACUGUUGGGUUUGACAGAAGCGCCACGAAUAUUCUAUUUUAUUAGAUCCAGAGUCAAAAUUUUACCGUUAAUUGUUAGAGGGUUAAAACUUUAUCUGGAAAGGAGUUGGAGGGCCAUUGGAACUCUUUUUCCAAAAAAAAAAAAAAGUCACUUUUGUCAUUUGUCCAAGAACAGUUCUGGGGCCAUCUCGACAGUAUAUAUUUUUCUUACAUGCCAAGACAAUUAAUGAAAAUUGACCAAUAACACACGCACACACACACACACACACACACACUCUCUCUCUCUCUCUCUCUCUCUCUCGGUUGCUGCCAAGUCUUUCCAUUGAAAAAGGAAAAUUCAUAUUGUUUACAUAGAUAAAUUACCUCCAGUCCGUGGAAUGUCUUGAUGUUAGGUGAGUUCUAAUAUUUUGGUAUCAUCUAGAGGUGGCAAAUCAACCCACUUAACUAAAUUUACCCAUAUCCGCCCAUGAAUAGAUGGGUAUGGAUAUCUUAAAUUUUUGUAUAUGAGUAUAAAUGGGUUACCCAAUAAUACCCAUUUAAAUGGGUAACCCAUCAAACCCAAUUAACCCAUUUAGAAUUCUCUUCCCCUCAAGUCUCUUCUUUUCCCCCACCUUUUUUUUUUUCAAAUUUUUCAUUUUGUCAUGAUGUUAACUACUUUUGUUUUAUUAUUAUUAUUUGUUGGUUUUAUCUUAUUAUUUUAUUUUCUCUUAGUUUGUUAACUUACUCAUUUUUUACCAUUACCAAUUUAUGAUAAAUUUUAGCCUAUUUUCUUAUCUUUAUAAAAUGAAAUUUUAAAUUUAUAUAUGAAAAAAAUGUUAGGGGUUCAAAAAUUUUGGAUUAAGUUUUUAUAUUAAUUUUUAUAGUACUUAGUUCAAAAUUUUAUAUUCUUAUUAUUCAAUUAUUAAAUAAUAGGUAAUUUUGUGACAUAGAGUAUAAAUGAAAAAAAAUUGGUAAUUAAGUUUAUUGAACAUUAUAAGUAAAUAUUUAAAACUAAUGAUGGGUAUAAAGAGUGAUAUAAAUUGAUAACUUAGUUUGCAAAAAUGAAUUUAAAUGAGUUUGCAAAAAGUUAAAAUAAAUGGGUUAUAAAUGGGUAAUUGGGUUACCCAAUUCAUUUUUUGACUUGCCUAUUUAUACCCAUAUAAUUAAAUGGGUAUAAAUGAGUUGACUCACUUAUACCCAUUACCCAUUUUACCCAACUCAAACCCGCCCAAGUCACCCAUUUUGACACCUUUAGUAUCAUCUAAUGUUCAUUUGUGAAAGAUUGAGAAAUGAUAAAGAGCAAAACACCAAUUUAUUCCAUAAAUUAUUUUGCUAAAAUCAAAAUAGUCCAUAAAUUUUCUUUUGGCCAAAUUUUUGUCAUGAACUUUCAGAAACGGUUGCAGGGGAUUUCAUCCGGAUUGCUUGUGCAGUUGAGUAACUAUACAGAAAUUCUUUUUGGGAUGCUGAGUAUCUUAGGAUGGGUACAAUGAUCGCUUAGAUCAGUAGAGAUGAUUGAUGAUGUAGUAGGGGAAGAUUCCCUUUAUAAAGCUGAUUUUCUCAUGAUUAAUAAGAAUAUAAAUGUUACCAAAUUUUCUUUUCAAAUGUGUAACGAAAAUAUUGGCCAUGAUCAGCAAGACCUCCUUAAUUAUAAAAGUUUCUUGAAUGUCAUCAUCCAAUUUGUUUAAGCGAGGAUUUUUAAAUGCUAUCUUUAAGCAAAUUGAUUUUUGUAUUAUAGAUACUUACUACUAUUACUUCAUACCUAGCUACAAACCUCAUGUAUGUUUUAGUUUUAAUCCAGAACAAAUCAGGGCCACGGGCCACCUUGCACAUAGCGAGAGUGGAAAAAUAAAACUACACAAUUGCUUUUUUGAAGCCAGUGACUCAACUGAUUUUGCGCUCGGCAAUUCAUCCGAUUUUCAUUAAAAGGGCCCUAAGAGGCCAUUGGCGUUUUGGGCCUGUGAAAAUUUGGAUGAUUUGGUGUGUCCAAUGCAUGUGUAAGCACAAAUUUUGUUGUCUAAAAUAAAAGACAAGAAAACUUACAUAAAUAUCAAAUUUAUUAAAUUAAAUAACAAGAGGGUUACAAUAUUUGAAAAUUUUUGAAUCAAAGAAAUUAAUCUCCUAAUUUUUAUCUUCAAAAGGCUUUAAUCGGAAGGCCAAAAAGGCUUGUUCUCCGAUCAAGAGGGUGUUUUCUAUGAUUUCUAUGUAAAAAACGGCUGCUUUGAUGAUGACGUUAAUAUUUGAAUCUUUAAAUCUUCAACGCCGAUGGAAGGAGGAUUUAUUUAACUUAAUUUGGAUUUGGAUUUGAAUUUGAGGGAAAAAGCUCUCAAGAGAAUUUGACAAAGUUACUUUGAAAUUUAGGAAUUUUAAUGUAUUUUUGCCUUGAGGGAAGACCUUUAUUUAGAGUCAACAUAUGCAAGCUAUGUCUUCAAGAGAAUCCUUCAAAACCAUCUUGCGUUUGGGUAACUUGUACCUUAAGAAACCCAUUUAACUUGGAGUUAAAUAGUCGGCCGACCCAAAUAGUCAAUUGUGAAUUAACAAAUCAAUUAAAUCACUUUAAUUUAAAUGGGCAUCACAUUUUUUAUUUGAUUUAAUAGCUCAUAUAACAUUGGCUCAAUUUGUCAAUCCAAAACAUAAUGAACUUCUAUAAUUUAAUUUAAUUUAAUAAAAAUCAAUUUAAUUUACUUAAUCUUGCCUAAAAAUAAAUUAAAUAAAUUUUCGUUGUCUAUGUCCCCACUUCAAAACUUGGCAAGGCAUUGCAUGUUUAUUUGAAUUAACUUAAAACUUCUUAAUACGAUUCAUCUAAGCACCUUUAUAUAUAUAUAUAUAUAUAUAUAUAUAUAUAUAUAUAUAUUUAUUUAUUUAUUUAUAUAUAGAGGUACAGAAGACAUGUCUUUGUCUUGAAACUGUGACAAACAGGACACUUAAGACAAGGGCGUGUGAAGACUAUCGCACUAUUUGAGCGAAAAAAACCUGUUUUGCACGUAUAUUUUGAAGGUAAUCAUCUUUAUUGUCUUUUGACAACUUCAUGUUGGUCGAGUAUCAGAUAUUCACCAAAUUUUGUUGAAAUUUGUCAAAACUUGAUUUGUUUCCAAUUUGGAGAAAAAAAAAGAUUUUUUUCUUCGUUUCUGCAAUUUUCCAGGUCACUCUUUCCUAUCAACAUGUUACGAUUCAGAAAUUGAGACAAAUCUUGUACAUAGGAAUCUUUUUUAACAGCUGAUGGUUGGAAUUUAGCAGACACCUUGAAGUCAAAGAAGGCAAAUAGCAUUCCAAUAGCAUUAUUUGGUUGCAUGCCAUAUCCAAGAUUUUCACUAGUAAGCCACCAUUUUCUUGCUUUUGAUUGUUAUUCAUUCUCUGUUGCGCAAUUUUAUUUUCGCACAAUCUAUUUUUUUCGUUGAAUUUUCUCUUUUGCAAAACAGCGACCACCAAGGAAAGACAGAAAGAUUUUUUUGUUUUUGUUUUUGUUUUUGUUUUUGUUUUUUUUUUUAUGGUUGCACCUUGUGUUGGCACCCCUUAUUUGAAGCAAGUUGAUGUUCCAGUUGUGUUGGGGAUUUUAGGGCCAUAGCUCUUAGAACUCAAAAUACUAAUGUAAUUUCCGCACUCCAUGACAUUUACUUCUUGUCAAUGCCAAACUCUCCUCUUUUUUUUUGUGAUAUGAAAGGAAGAUCUCUCGUUGCAACAUAUAUGGUGGACACUCAAUUUGAAAGAAGGUGCAACCACCAACUUGCACGAGAGCCAUAUCAUGGUUUGAGGAGUAUAAUGAAAAUGAUGCAACUGCAAACUCUUAUGAGAGCCAUAUCAUGGUUGAGAAGUACAAUGAAGAUAGUGCAAUCAAAAAUUUGAAAAAGGUGCAAUCGCAAACUCCCAUGAGAGCCUAUCAUGGAUUGAGGAGUACAACGAAGAAUGUGCCACAAAAAGUUGAAAAAUGUGCAAUCGCAAACUCGCACGAGAGCCUAUCAUGGUUUGAGGAGUACAAUGAAGAAGGUGCAACUACCCACUUCAAUGAGAGCUUACCAAAACUCGAGAAGCCCUUUCAUUUAACUUCACAUUGACUAUUUAUUACUUCUCUCACUGUCUUCGAUCACACCAUUGUAAUCAAAUUUUUUUCUCUUGCUUUUGGUCCUAACGAAAUGGUGAUGGUCAAGGAAGUUACAUCUUCAAACAAAAGGCACCUCCUUAUCACUAAUAGCCAUGAUGACUCUGCUGACAAAGGAACGAAAUUAUUGGUGCAUCCCUCUAUACAAGAAAUUUACUCUGGUGAUUGGUUUUCUCACAAGUAUUCCGAAUUAAAGGAUUGGUCACUAAAAUUUUCUCAAGAUGAUGGUACGAAAGUUCACUCCUUGAAAUUCCUUAUCAUAAUAAGGAGCCAAGGACAAUUGGCAGGCGAAUCCUAGAUGAGACUAAGGGUGCAAACGAGGCAAGUCGAAUCGAGUUUUGAAGUUAUUGAGUCGAGUUACACUUAUUUAUAUGCGAGCUCGAGUUCGAGGUCGAAAAAUAGAGCUCGAACUCGGCUCGAUGUAGGAAAAGGAAAACUCGAGAUCGACUCGCUUAUGGCUCGCGAGUUUAGCUCGAAUUCUGGCUCGCGAGCAGCUCGAGUUUUGCUAGAUUUUCUGGCUCGCAUGAAGCUCGAAGUCAGCUCGAUUCUAGCUCGUUAGGAGCUCCAGUUCGAACUCGAAAACAGCUCGAUUUUCUGGAAAUUUAUGCAAGAAAACAGAAUUUUUGUCCGCAUAUUUUUGAUAAAAUUUGAGCAUGAUAACAAUAAGUUUUCACAUAUUCUUGAUCUUGAGGCCUACAAAUUAUGCACUAAUACAAUCAUAAAUGUCCAAAUGUCCACUAAUACAAAUUAUCCAAAUGUCCACAAAUGUCCACUAAUACAAAUUAUCCAAAUGUCCACAAGAAGUCUGAAGAAUACCAGCUUGUUGUCCACAAAAACCAAGGCAUGACAUGAAGCGAGAAUUUCCUGACUGCGUCCUGGAACUUUACUCAUUUCUGUCUCUAAUUCCUCAUGAUCAGUUAGUCCACCAACAUUGAACAAUAUGGAUCAGGAAUGGGGAAAAAUCACUUUCUAACACUCAAGAUCACAUACAACUCAUAUCCAACAAAUAUCCUGAAGUUUCAUGAGUAUAAUCACAUUAAAAGAGAAAAGGAUACUGACAAGCAUGCUAAUCAAACUCAAGCAGAAAAGGUACUUUCUCCUUGCCGUCUCCGACAUCCCAGCCAGCAAAUGGCUGGGGUUCGUGACAGCUGUUUGGGUCCAAUCCAUCUCCGGCAACAACUAUACCUUCUCCAAUUACUCCGACGCCCUCAAAUCACUCAUGGCCCUCACUCAGCUCCAACUCAACAACCUCUCCGUCGCCAAUUGAUGUCAUUAAAGCAGAAAAUCGGCCUGAUGGCCUCCACCAGCUGCCAUCCCUAAUCCAAGAAGGUCGAGUGUAGUAUGCUUAGGACCAAAUACAGAUGGAGUUCCCAACAUCAGUUCCUUCAAGCUAGACCCACCAUCACACGGCAGCCCUAGUCCUAGGCCUACUACCAAUGAUGCACUAUCAGACUCAAUUGCCCUCCCACUCUUCGCCCGGAAAGACAGUGGUGAAAAGAGGUAAGGAGGUGGCGGCAAAGAGCGACGGGUUAGCCAAAGUUAGAAGAUCCUCUUUUUCUAGAUUUGCAAGUUUCCUACUCUAGAGACAAAAAUGUCCUUGAUAUUUGGUCGUGCAUCUUACAAGAUAAUGCUUUCCGUCAAUUUUAACCGUUGGAUUUGACGGAAGGGCCAUGAAUAUGCUAUUUUAUUAGAUCGAGAGCCAAAAUUUUACCGUUAAUUGUUGGAGGGUUAAAACUUUAUCUGGAAAAGAGUUGGAGGGCCAUUGGAACUCUUUUUCCAAAAAAAAAAAGUCACUUUUGUCAUUUGUCCGAGAACAGUUCAGGGGCCAUCUCGACAGUAUAUAUUUUUCUUACAUGCCAAGACAAUUAAUGAAAAUUGACCAAUAACACACGCACACACACGCGCACGCACACACACACACACUCUCUCUCUCUCGGUUGCUGCCAAGUCUUUCCACUGAAAAGGAAAAUUCAUAUUGUUUACAUAGAUAAAUUACCUCCAGUCCGUGGAAUGUCUUGAUGUUAGGUGAGUUCCAAUAUUUUGGUAUCAUCUAAUGUUCAUUUGUGAAAGAUUGAGAAAUGAUAAAGAGCAAAACACCAAUUUAUUCCAUAAAUUAUUUUGCUAAAAUCAAAAUAGUCCAUAAAUUUUCUUUUGGCCAAAUUUUUGUCAUGAACUUUCAGAAACGGUUGCUUCCUGCAACCGUUGGUGAGGGAUUUCAUCCGGAUUGCUUGUGCAGUUGAGUAACUAUACAGAAAUUCUUUUUGGGAUGCUGAGUAUCUUAGGGUGGGUACAAUGAUCGCUUAGAUCAGUAGAGAUGAUUGAUGAUGUAGUAGGGGAAGAUUCCCUUUAUAAAGCUGAUUUUCUCAUGAUUAAUAAGAAUAUAAAUGUUACCAAAUUUUCUUUUCAAAUGUGUAACGAAAAUAUUGGCCAUGAUCAGCAAGACCUCCUUAAUUAUAAAAGUUUCUUGAAUGUCAUCAUCCAAUUUGUUUAAGCGAGGAUUUUUAAAUGCUAUCUUUAAGCAAAUUGAUUUUUGUAUUAUAGAUACUUACUACUAUUACUUCAUACCUAGCUACAAACCUCAUGUAUGUUUUAAUCCAGAACAAAUCAGGGCCAUGGGCCACCUUGCACAUAGCGAGAGUGGAAAAAUAAAACUACACAAUUGCUUUUUUGAAGCCAGUGACUCAACUGAUUUUGCGCUCGGCAAUUCAUCCGAUUUUCAUUAAAAGGGCCCUAAGAGGCCAUUGGCGUUUUGGGCCUGUGAAAAUUUGGAUGAUUUGGUGUGUCCAAUGCAUGUGUAAGCACAAAUUUUGUUGUCUAAAAUAAAAGACAAGAAAACUUACAUAAAUAUCAAAUUUAUUAAAUUAAAUAACAAGAGGGUUACAAUAUUUGAAAAUUUUUGAAUCAAAGAAAUUAAUCUCCUAAUUUUUAUCUUCAAAAGGCUUUAAUCGGAAGGCCAAAAAGGCUUGUUCUCCGAUCAAGAGGGUGUUUUCUAUGAUUUCUAUGUAAAAAACGGCUGCUUUGAUGAUGACGUUAAUAUUUGAAUCUUUAAAUCUUCAACGCCGAUGGAAGGAGGAUUUAUUUAACUUAAUUUGGAUUUGGAUUUGAAUUUGAGGGAUAAAGCUCUCGACAGAAUUUGACAAAGUUACUUUGAAAUUUAGGAAUUUUAAUGUAUUUUUGCCUUGAGGGAAGACCUUUAUUUAGAGUCAACUUAUGCAAGCUAUGUCUUCAAGAGAAUCCUUCAAAACCAUCUUGCGUUUGGGUAACUUGUACCUUAAGAAACCCAUUUAACUUGGAGUUAAAUAGUGGUCCGACCCAAAUAGUCAAUUGUGAAUUAACAAAUCAAUUAAAUCACUUUAAUUUAAAUGGGCAUCAUAUUUUUUAUUUGAUUAAAUAGCUCAUAUAACAUUGGCUCAAUUUGUCAAUCCAAAACAUAAUGAACUUCUAUAAUUUAAUUCAAUUUAACUAAGAUCAAUUUAAUUUACUUAAUCUUGACUAAAAAUAAAUUAAAUAAAUUUUCGUUGUCUAUGUCCCCACUUCAAAACUUGGCGAGGCAUUGCAUGUUAAUUGCUGGAGGCAAGACUUGAAGUAUUAAUUUUACUGCUGACCUAAAGUCAAACUAAAUUAAAGACUUCAAGCGUUCGGCAUACGGGUGAUCCACUUUUUUUUUUUUUUUUUUUUUUUCCUUUUUCUUUGGGAAGAGAAUGGUCCACAUCAAUUGUAGAAUUGCACCUCAAAGUCCAAUUGAAUAGGCAACGGUCACGGGUCUUCACUUUCACCUACUACUUGAAUAAAGCCUUGAAGCUCUUGAAUUUUCCAACUCUUAAUUUAGUCGUCAAUGGAAGUGCAGCCCCACAAUAUUAGACCGCAACUUUGACCCGUAGAAUUAGAAACCCCCGUUUGAUUAUGCGAUGUGGGCUCCUGCGCAGAAACUCCCAUAUGCUGAAAUUUGGAGUUUGCUCGUACGUUUCUGACCACCAAAUCUUGUUUUGGCACUUGGCAAUAUGGAAUUUGCUGAGUUUCAACGCUUCCUAAACGGAACUUUAAUGUAUUUCCAAAACCAAUGUUUGCAACUUCUGAAUAAGAAUAUGCCAAAUUUUAAGAGCUUCCCAAAUUGACUUCCAGCCAUUGAAAUUAUUCUUGGGAACCAAAUUCAAAUGAUUUCCAAAAAGUUAAACGAUAAUCACUGAAUUUAGUAUCUGUCCAAAACUUAAAACUUCUUAAUAUGAUUCAUCUAAGCACCUUUAUAUAUAUAUAUAUAUAUAUAUAUAUAUAUAUAUAUAUAGGUACAGAAGACAUGUCUUUGUCUUGAAACUGUGACAAACAGGACAUUUAUGACAAGGGCGUGUGAAGACUACCACGCUAUUUGAGGGAAAAAAAACCUGUUUGACACGUAUAUCUUGAAGGUAAUCAUCUUUAUUGUCUUUUGACAACUUCAUGUUGGUCGAGUAUCAGAUAUUCACCAAAUUUUGUUGAAAUCUGUCAAAACUUGAUUUGUUUCUAAUUUGGAGAAAAAAAAAGAUUUUUUUCUUCGUUUCUGCAAUUUUCCAGGUCACUCUUUCCUCUCAACAUGUUACGAUUCAGAAAUUGAGACAAAUCUUGUACAUAGGAAUCUUUUUUAACAGCUGAUGGUUGGAAUUUAGCAGACACCUUGAAGUCAAAGAAGGCAACUAGCAUUCCAAUAGCAUUAUUUGGUUGCAUGCCAUAUCCAAGAUUUUCACUAGUAAGCCACCAUUUUCUUGCUUUUGAUUGUUAUUCUUUCUCUGUUGCACAAUUUUAUUUUCGCACAAUCCAUUUUUUUUCUUUGAAUUUUCUCUUUUGCAAAACAGAGACCACCAAGGAAAGACAGAAAGAUUUUUUGUUUUUGUUUUUGUUUUUGUUUUUGUUUUUGUUUUUUUUUUUUAUGGUUGCACCUUGUGUUGGCACCCCUUAUUUGAAGCAAGUUGAUGUUCCAGUUGUGUUGGGGAUUUUAGGGCCAUAGCUCUUAGAACUCAAAAUACUAAUGUAAUUUCCGCACUCCAUGACAUUUACUUCUUGUCAAUGCCAAACUCUCCUCUUUUUUUUUGUGAUAUGAAAGGAAGAUCUCUCGUUGCAACAUAUAUGGUGGACACUCAAUUUGAAAGAAGGUGCAACCACCAACUUGCACGAGAGCCAUAUCAUGGUUUGAGGAGUAUAAUGAAAAUGAUGCAACUGCAAACUCUUAUGAGAGCCAUAUCAUGGUUGAGAAGUACAAUGAAGAUAGUGCAAUCAAAAAUUUGAAAAAGGUGCAAUCGCAAACUCCCAUGAGAGCCUAUCAUGGAUUGAGGAGUACAACGAAGAAGGUGCCACAAAAUGUCGAAAAAUGUGCAAUCGCAAACUUGCACGAGAGCCUAUCAUGGUUUGAGGAGUACAAUGAAGAAAGUGCAACUACCCACUUCAAUGAGAGCUUACCAAAACUCGAGAAGCCCUUUCAUUUAACUUCACAUUGACUAUUUAUUACUUCUCUCACUGUCUUCGAUCACACCAUUGUAAUCAAAUUUUUUUCUCUUGCUUUUAUUGCAAGUUGGUCCUAACGAAAUGGUGAUGGUCAAGGAAGUUACAUCUUCAAACAAAAGGUACCUCCUUAUCACUAAUAGCCAUGAUGACUCUGCUGACAAAGGAAUGAAAUUAUUGGUGCAUCCCUCUAUACAAGAAACUUACUCUGGUGAUUGGUUUUCUCACAAAUAUUCCGAAUUAAAGGAUUGGUCACUAAAAUUUUCUCAAGAUGAUGGUACAAAAGUUCACUCCUUGAAAUUCCUUAUCAUAAUAAGGAGCCAAGGACAAUUGGCAGGCGAAUCAUAGAUGAAGACACACACUGGGGUGCUUCCUUGAGAUUUAGUGAUGAAUUUGGUUAUAUCGAGAAUUAUUAGGAGCGGUUGGAAGAUAUUUUUGGAAAAAACAAACAAGUGUUUCGUGAAAAUUACUUGUUCGAUGUCUUAUAUGCUUCGCUUCUCAUAUAUAACAAAAAUUCUCAUGUGUUUAGAGCAUUUUGCGAGACAUGGUGCCUAAACACUAAUACCUUGCAUAUGUCAAUUGGAGAAUUAUCUCUCUCACUUUGGGAUCUGUGUAAAUUAGAAGGACUUCCAAUCAUCGGAUACAUCUAUGAAGAGGCGAUCCCAUGUGUAGAGGAACUAACUGGAGUUAAUGAAAAGAAGUUGAUGCAUAUUCCGCAAAAUUGUGAGUAUUUGUUCGCGGCUCUGCACUACCUUCAACAUGGAGAAUACUACAAUUAUGGAGUUUCUGCUAGCCAAUAGAUUAACUUUUGGUUUAAAGGCAACGUGAGGUAUUCAAAACCAAAACAGAGAAGGAUAAAGAGAGCAUCUAGUGCUUAAGCAACCCAAAAUCCAGAUGGAAAGAUUGGACAACCACGUAAUUUUUAAUUCAAGACAAUGGCAUAUAUGAUACCAUUGGAGACAAGUCUCACUUACGAGAAGAGACUUAUCUUGUAGCAUUUAUAUCUUGUUGACUCUACGUUUUUACUCUACCAGAUGAGGACGUCUAUUAUAUUAGACUAUCUACCUUCAAAAUGGCUAGCAUGAUGGCUGUCGGAUAUAAAACUUGCCUUGCUGUUCCUGUCUUGCUGAGUAUCUAUCACGGAUUCAAUAAAAUUUCAAAUUCAUCUACUCCAAGGUGUGCGCGUGCAUUUUUUUCAAUGCACUACGUGUAUGCUUAACUGGCGAGUUAUUUCUCUACCCAUUAUUCAACUCCGAAUAUCAUGCCUGGACCAACAAUUAUCAAUUAUUCUGGAAAGGGUGUGCACAAUAUUUUGAUGAAAAUAGUGCUUGCGACCUCAUUCAUCAAGGAGACAAAGUAACUUGGGGGACAACUUCUCUUGUGAAGAAUUAAAAUGAAUUUUUUGUUGAUGAUGGCAAGUUAGCGAACCCAGAACUGAUUUAUUUCGUAAGUGCUUGCUCAAAUUAUUUAGUCUUACAUGCUGAAGGAGAUUUUCUUGUUGAGCCAUACAGGUUUGCAAGGCAAUUCGAAUUUUAUCAAAACACCCCACAAGAACUGGGAGCAGAUGUUCAUUCUACAAAUUAUGACUUGAGUCAAAUACUUUGACACAUUGCUAUUCAUAAUAAGACAGAGUCGAAGGUAUUUUUUUCUAGUUACCCCUUGAAUGCUAACAAGCAUAUAUCUCCAGAUUUUCAAACAUGAUGUUUUGAUUAAGAGUGUCCAACCAAAUUUGAAACAGAAGAAAUCGAAAGGAAAGAAACUUGCAAAUUUGAAUAAUCCUGUCAAGGUUGGCAGUAAUCUUGAGGCGAAACAGAAAAUCACCAAGACUGUGAGGAUUGAGGAGAAAGCAUUGCAGAGCUCCAGCAACUCGUGAAAUUCUAAUUUUCAAUGAAGAAUUUUCGAAUGGUAAUUCAUUUUGUCUUCCUUCAAUAAUUGUAAAAGCCACCAAUCAUGAGUCUCGCAAUUCCAAUGAAAAGAAGAGGAGCAACUCUUUUGAUGAGAAGGAUGAGCAAUCUACUAGUACAGACUAGCACUAGAAGCAUAAGAAAUUCAAGGUAAUGACUUUCUCUUUGGAUGAUAUUGUUUUAGACCCUAAAGAAAUGUUUAAGGACAUUCUGGACAAAUAUGUGCUUGGUAUAAGUCAUGCCAAUAUUAUAAGAACAUUCUCUUGCCUUCUUUAGUUUGGCAUUUGAAAUUUACUUAUCAAUUUCAUAUUCAUGAUAUGUCUCAUAACAUUUUCCAUGUAGUUGAAUGAUCAAAACUUGAUUUUUAUUAAUGAUGGGAAAUCAAGCUAAGAAUUCGUUGAAGGACCCACUAUAUUUUAACUUUUAACAAAACAAGUGGUCAAUUCUACUCAAUAAAAGGGCAUCAUUGAAAAUUUCAAAAAGGCAGUGCAUGAUGAAAAUUCAGUUCAACAAAUCAUGCUACAGAAGAAAGAACAUGUGACUUCACCGGAGAAAAAAAAGUUCAAAAUUUUUGAUCCACAACCGUAGCCAAGGGCACCUCAAGUGUCUGAAUUUUGCCCCCAAACUAUGAUCUUAACAUGUCAUCGAGAUUACAUUCAAAUGCUCUGAAAUAAUUUGAAGGUGCUGAUAUCCGAAACAAUCCUGGAACGCAUUUCUGCUCUUAAGAUGAAAGCAAAUGAAAUCAUGGAGGAAAUGCAAAGUUUCAAUGCUAUGAAUAUUUCAAACUUGUAAGGCCUUUUAAAGCCUUUCUUUACAAAACCAAUUCGUUCUGUCGUAAUAAAGUCUUCUUUCUCAAAUAAAAUUUCAAUUGAAUCAUAUAAUGAGUUGUUUUCUAUAGCUACCCAACAUCUUAGAGAUGCUCAGAGUAAGGAGAAAUAAUAACUUAAAAAGUUCUCAACGUACAUGUUAAAAUUUAAAGAGAUUGACCAUGAGAAAAUAGAGCUAAGGAAAUGACUUGAAUCUAUGGGUACUCAUAGGAUGGAAAUACUUUCACUGCUACGAAAGAAACAAGACGAGCUUACCUAAAUGCAAGGCAAGAUGAUCAACUUAUGAAAUGAAAUUCAAAAGAUUGAAGAUUCCCUAUCUUUACUUGUUGAGGAGAGCCAAACAUUGAACAAAAUGCAAGCACUACUUGAAAGCAACUGCAAAAAACUGUCAUCAUUUGAACUUUAGAAUUAGUUACAAUCUUUUACUUUUUUCAAAUUUUAUUUAUUGUCACUUGCCUAUAUUAUAUAGCCACAGGCAUAAUUAAUUUUUUAUUUCACCAUGAAUCAUGAUUUUUUUUAUUUCAUGAUACUCUUGUGGAUAUUUCUUACUUUCCUUUGUUGCUUUCAUUAACCACCAUUUUAGACUAUCGAUUGCAAAAUAAACAAUUCAACAUUUGCAUAAUUUUAAUCACAUUUGAAGAGGUAAUUGUCUACAUAAUUUGAUAAUUUGAACAAUAUACUUUCAGGUGUAUGUUGCAAAGUAAUUUGAAUUGCCCUAAAGAGAAAAACUUUUUAUCUUUUAUUGCAUGACAUCUUUAUGGGGUUGUAACUGAAUUUCGAAGUUACCAUCUAAACUGUUUGCAUAUCCCAAAAGGGAAUAAAUUCACGUGUAGUUCCUACCAUCCACAGUUUAAUUUCUUGCAGGUCAGGAGUAUCUAUUUGCUUAUCACUUUAAACUUGGUGGAGUGUUUUAGUAGUUUAACCAUAUACUACACUAUUGGUGAUUGCCGUCCACAGUUUUAACUCAUAUGGACCAAGAGCAACAUGCAGUUUAGACUCAUGUGUCAUGAAACAACAUGCAGUUUAGGGUCAUGCGUCAUGUUGUCCUUUAUUUUUUUUAUGGCGUGUAUAAUCUUAAGAAAUUUUCAUUUAUGGGUCAACAUUUACACCAUUUUGUCAACUACCUUGUACGCGUUAUUUGUAUAAACAUUUCGGAUAAUAUAUGGUCCAUCCUAUUCGGAGACAAAUUUAUCUUUAGCAUGAUGAGUCAUAACUAUUGAUUUUCGAACGGCGAACACUAUGUCACCAAUUUGAAAGGAAUGAUGAUGAUAGCUUUAGAAAGGUAAGCCUGGUAGCAUUCAAGAUUUUGUUGAGUUUCCAAUUCCUUUUCAUCUAAAGUUUCUAAUUCUUUAAGAAGCAAGCAAAUAUUUUCUUUCUCCAUGAGCCCUUAUUGGAUGGCAAUUCUCAGAGAAAGAAUUUGUUGUUCAAGAAGCAAGACAACUUCUACACCAUAAACUAAGGCAUCAGGGGUGGCUUGCAUUGGAAUUCGAUAUGUGGUGCGAUAAACGCAGAGAGUUUCACCUAUCAUUUCAUGCCAAUCCUUCUUUGAUCUGGCCAUCACUUUUUUCAACAAGUUGCAUAGAGUUUUAUUGAAUGCCUAAACAAUACUGUUGGCAGGGACAUUAUACAUAAAGGACUUGCGAUGUUUGAAUUUAAAUUUCUCACACAACCUAUCCAUUAAACAGUUGAAGAAGGGUUUCCAUUAUCAGUGAUAAUGUGUUAGAGAAUUUCAUAACGAUAAAUAAUAUUUACACGAAUGAAAUUCACCAUAUCUUCUUUUCUCACUUGAGUGGUAUAGUUUCAUCCCAUUUAGAGAAGUAGUUGGUUGUAACCAAUAUAUAUAGAUGUUGUCCGAACGACUUAGGCAAUGGUCCAACAACAUUAAGGUCCCAGGCAUCAAAAGGCUAAGAAGUAAUAGUCAAAUGUAAUAGUUCGGGUAAUUGAUGAAUGUAAUUUGCAUAGAAUUGACAAGUUUGACACCUUUGAGCGUAUUCCAUACAAUCUUUGACCAUAGUAAGGCAAUAAUAGCCCAUCAUUUUAAUCCAAAAAUGCAACUUGGGACCGAAUUGGUGAGUUUGACAUAUUUCAAAAUGUGCCUCUUGCAUAGCUUGAUAUUCAUUAUCUUCAUUCAGACAGCGCAAGAAUACACUUUCAAAUGAUUUUUGAUAUAGCGUAUCUUUGUAUAAGAUGAAACGGGGGCACGACAAUAGAUAUCAAAUCUUUUAUGUUGCUCCUUAGGUACCUUUUGAUACUUGAUAUAAUUGAUAACAGGUUGUCUCCAAUCUUCUUUAUCAACUUCAUAAGUUGAGACGACAUAAGCAUCACCUUCCUCAAUAUUUUCAUUAUCAAAUAAUGGUGAAACUAUCCACUUUUGAUACACACGAACUUGUAUUUCAUAAUUUGACAUAGUCAGAGAAGAAGCAAGCAUAGCUAAUGCAUGAGUUUGCUUAUUUUCUCUUUUAGGGACAUGUUCAAUACUUGUACCUUCAAGUUACCUUAUAAGUUGCGUUGCAUUCUUGUGAUAUGGAAUUAAUUUAAAUUUUUUAACAUCAUAAUUUCCCAAGGGUUGACUAACGACUAAUUGUGAGUUGCCAUAGAUUUGAAACUCAAAUUAUUUCAUGUCAAUAGUUAUUUCAAGUCCGAAUAUGAGGGUUUGAUACUUAACGACAUUAUUUGAACAACGUUGAUUUAGAAUAAAGGAGUAUGGCAAAACUUCUUCAUCAGAUGUUGUAAAUACAAUUUUGACUCCAACUCCAUGACGAUGAGUAGCAGAUUUCAAUAAGGAGUACAUUUUUAUUUGGUAGAUCAUCACUUAACUCCCAUUCAACAAGUAUCGGGUGAUCAAUAAGAAAAUCUACUAGUACUUAACCCUUCACGGCCUUUUGGAAUACAUAAAUAAUUUUAAAUUAUUGUAACUAGGUACCAUUUAGCUAGACAGUUGGAUAGUGUUGGUCUACUUAUCACGUAUUUUAUGAAGUUUGCCUUGAAGAUGAGUCUCACACUGUGUGCUUGAAAGUAGUGUUUUAACUUCUAUAUUAUAAAAAUAAGAGUUAAACACAACUUUUCAAUCGGUGAGUAGUUUAAUUUAUUAGAGAUCAUCAUAAAUAAUAAAGGGCAGUUUCUUUCACUUCAUUAUUUUCUUGUGCAACCAAUACCUCCACUAAACGUUCUUGGGUAACAAUGUAAAGAAUUAAUGGCUUUCUAUAAAUAGGUUCAAUCAAGACAGAUGCCUUCAUGAGAUAAGAUUUAAUGCUAUUGAAUGUAUUGCUGUACGCUUCAUUCCAUUGGAAUGGUACACCUUUCUUCAUAAGGUGAUUAAAUGGUUGACACCUUUCAAUUAAAUUUGAGAUAAACCUCCACAGAUAGGUUAAUCGCUCUUGAAGGCUUUUUAUUUCUGAAUAUUGCGAGAUUCAGGCAUUCUCAAUAUAGCAUCAAUGUUGACUCGAUCAAUUUUAAUACCUCGAUGACAGACCACAAAAUCAAGAAACUUUCCUGAUGUAACUCUAAAUGCACAUUUGAGAGGAUUCAAUUUGAGUUGAUAUAUUUUCAACCGAUCAAAAUUUUGUUUCAAAUCCUCCAAGUGAUUAUUUCUUUUUUUUUUUAUUUAACAACCAAAUCGUCCAUAUAACAUUUAAUAUUUUUAUGAAGCAUGUCAUCAAAAAUAUUUUACAUUAAUCUUUGAUAUGUAGUUUUGAUAUUUUCAAACUAAAGGGUAUUAUGUUAUAACAAUAAAUACCCUUAGGAGUAUGAAAUCUAGUGAGUUAUUUAUCCUCAGGUGUUAUUCGAAUUUGAUUAUAGUUAGAAAAGCUAUCCAUAAACGACAAACCCUCAGACCCAAUAAUUGCAUUAAUCAUGAGUUUGGUGAUGGGUAGAGAAAAAUCAUCUUUGGAACAAGCACUGUUAAGAUCCCUAAAAUUUACGUAGAUGUGAAUUUGCCUGUUCUUCUUUCGUACAGACAUGAUAUUUGAAAUUCAUGUGAAAGACUUAAAUUCAUGAAUAAAUCCAUCAUCAGUGAAUUUAUUGAUUUCAACUUCGAUCAAAUAGACCAAAUCGGGUCUAAAUCACCAUUGUACUUACAUUACAGGUCGAACUCCCUUUUUAAUAGGUAAAUGGUGGACUGCUACUUUUGAAUUUAGACCUAACAUUUCUUUAUAAGUUCAUGUAAAAAUAUCUUGAUACUCUUGCAAGAACUCAACAUAUGUCUUCUCUUCAUCAGAAUUCAAUAAAGCACUUACCUAUAUAGGAUAUGGGUCCUGUGAAGUGCCAAAAUUGAUUUUUUAAGUCAUCUACAGUGGCCUUAACGCCUUGUUCAAAUUCAGGUGAAGCAUCUUCAACAUCUUCUUCUUCUCCAAGGGAAUUAUUAUCAAAUAUGGUUAUAUGGUUGUAUGAAACAAUACUUUCUUCAUCAUCUUCCUUUGAUCUUGUUUCUACAAUAGUAUGCUCUCUAACCUUUAGUUCAGUCCCAUAAAUUAUUAUAAGAUUUGUACAUCUCCUCAUUCUUGAGAGAAUAAUGUUACCAAACUUAUAAAUGUUAUGGGGACAAUCAAAAGAUUCUUCAAAUUCUUUCAGUGAUUUUGUCAUUCUCCAUUUAUUCUUAUGAGAAUUUUGAGACUUUUAUUUUCUUUGUGGUCCUAGUCUUUUGAAGACGAAUACUCACAGAGCCUUAUCCCUAUUUUUAUGAAAAACGUGUGACUUAUUGACUAUUUUAGAAGAUUCAUCUCUUAUAGCAAUAAAUUGACUACCAGCUCUAUUGAUUUUGAUGCGAAUUGGUACAGGUGAAAAAUAGUAAAGAUCAGAUUUAGAAUUCUUAACAGCAUAUCCUUUCCCUUUCAACAUCUUUUGAGUAAGGUUUAACCCAUAAGUCACAUCGCUAGUGGCUUGAGGAGGUUUCAAUACCAGAGAUUUCUUGAAAUCAUACCCAAUUUUGGUAAGAAGUUUAUAAGCAAUAUAAUCAAAAGCUUCAUUAAUUCUUGACGUCAGUAGCAUAUCUUGCUUGAUGUCAAACUCUUUAUUAAGAUGAUCAAACCCUUUGAUUAAAGGCGAUGGUAUAUUCGUAGCAUCAAGUUUAGCCACAGGAAGAGUUAAUCCUUUCAGAGUUUUGUGUGGAAUUGAAGAUGGUUGUCCUUGUCCCAAUCUUGACUUGGGAGGGUAUCCGAAGACAACUGAUUUAUUUUUUAACAAUGAGGCAUCAAUUUUUUUAUGAACUACCUCUUUUGAUUUUGGAAUCACCACUUUCUUCGUUUUGCACUUGAUGAUUCGAGAUCUUGGAUUUUAACCAUAGAUGGAGAUUGUUUAAACUCAUUCUUUAUGUUAUACUGAUUUAUUUUUUAACAAUGAGGCAUCAAUUUCUUUCUGAACUACCUCUUUUGAUUUUGGAAUCACCACUUUCUUCCUUUUGCACUUGAUGAUUCGAGAUCUUGGAUUUUAACCACAGAUGGAGAUUGUUUAAACUCAUUCUUUAUGUUAUAUUUUUGGAUAUAAAAUUUAGCAUUAGCGAUAUGCAUUUCUACUUCAGUGUAAAGAUUAUAAUCAGUUUUCACACUUUUUACCACUCCAUUUCGGUAAUACUUGAAAUAUUGGUGAAGAGUUGAAAGCACAACCCCAUUUUCAUGAAUCCAGGGUCUUCCCAGUAGCAUAUUAUUUAUUGUUUUAGUAUCUAUUACAUACAGUUGUGCUUUAGACAAUAUAUCAUCGAUAACUAUCUCUAAAUUUAACGAUCCAAUAGCUCUUUGCCCUCCUUGAUUAAGGUCUUGUAUUAUUAGUCAGCUUAUUGGAAAGUUUAUCAAUGGAGAUGCCAAAUUCCUUUAGAGUUUUUAAGACAAGGCUAUUGACAGCAGAACCUCUCUCUAUCAAAAUUUUAUUCACAUUUUAUUUUUUAGCAUAAACAGUUACAAACAAAGGACGGUUAUGUGAUGUUGACCCAAAAAACAAGUUGAUAGGGUGUUAAUUGUUAGUAAUUUUAUUGCUAUUUUUCCCCUUUGUCCUUGCCAAAUAUUAUUUUAAUUGUUAACAUAUACUUAUUUUUGGUAUUUGGACCAAUCUACAGGAAGUGGAACUGACAAAUGCUAAAAAGGAGAUUUUAUUGAGAAAAAUCCUUCACAUGCUAGAGCCUCCAGCGGAUAUACAAGUUGGGCCCACAUGGUGUUACAAAUUCGGUUGCUGAUGGGGAGCUCUUAUUAUUGGGAGUUGACUUGUACGUGUAGGAGUCCUCCUACCAAGAGGAAACAAGAAAAAAGGAAUUCGGCAGAGGCCCAUCUUUUGUACUUAGCUUUCUCAAUUCGGUAGGGACCAUGGACUAGAGGUUUUCAUUAGUGAUUGGACUUUAAAAGGGAAGAAACGUAUAGAGGCUUGGGGAUUAUUAUGAUUAGCGUAGCUUUAGUUUUAGUGGUUAGCUAGCGUUUCCUUUUCAUGCGCACGAGGUGCUCGACAAUAUUUUUCAACGGGAAAAAAAAACAUCUUUUACUCUUGCUUUCUAGUGAAAAACUUGAUGCCUUUGCAAUCAAUUAAUUUGCGUGGAGAUUUAAUUAUGCGGCGUGGCUAAGCCUUUUAUCUAGUCAAGGAUCAACUCGACGGCGCAGUCCCAAAUAUCUGUGAGAUCUAAUUAGUUUUCACGCGUUUCUUAAUUUGUUAAUAUUUGCAUGUUGCCUAUUUGAAUUUCCACGGGAUUAUUUUGUUAAUUGGAUAUCAAGAGCCCGAUGUUCAAUGUGACUUAUUAAUUUCCUGCCAAAUUAGUCAAUUAAAUCCGUAAUUGUUUGAUUGAUUAAUAUUAGUAGCAACUGACAUGUUUACACACUAGAAGAACGUGCAAUCUAAUUUAAAUAACCCUCGUAGCGUGUUAUUGAUUGGGAUUAGAUUUUUCUAGUUAUUAAUGCAAUUGGGAAAUUAAUUCAUACAGUUGUACCUAGGAGUAUUUUCUGGUUAGGAGUAAUCAUUGGUCGUACCUUGGUUAUCAAUAAAUUAAGGAAAAAUUGGUCGUUAGAAUUCGUCGGCGACUAUAACUAGCCUAUUAAUAAAUUAAGUGAACCUCCCUUGCAUCAAUGAUCGGGUAAGUGGACUGUGUCUGAGUAGUUGUAUUCUUAACUAAAAUUUAUCUAUUCUUGAUUUAAUUCCUGCCUAUAUUCGUGCUAAUUAAUUAUUUAUUUUUAGUGAAUUGCUUAAUUAUUUUUAGUUUUACUCCAAUAAAAUUCCUCUUUACCAAUUGGAAUCUCAAAAAGACAAAUAUUCUCAGUCCCUGAAGAGACGACCCUACUUGCCAUUGUCUACUAUUUAGUAAGUUUUGUCAACUAAUUAAUUUUGGUAUAUCGGAUUAAGCAAAUUUUUCGGGAACAGGGUGAAUUAAGUAACCUAUUGCACAUCUAGAGUCCCGGCUCUAAUAUCUAGGAUUCAUUAUUGACUGCUUUUAGUGGUAUUUAGGUUAUUAUUAUUAUUAUUGCACAGUCUCGACACCUGUCAAUUUUUGGCGUCGCUGCCAGGGACUGGCGUUAAUUAUUUGUUUUUUUAAGUUCAAUUUUGUUCUAAUUUUCUGGUAUUUUUUCUAAUUUAUGCAUCAUUCUUCUCGUAUAAGUGAAUUAAUUUUCGACCCUGAAGUAGAGAAGAUCGCGCGUAGAACGAGAAAAGAAACCAGACAAUUCAGAGAAGAGCACUCAAGUACUACAUCUCAGAGACUUGAGCCGGAAGUUGAACCGGCAAAUUCGUUUGGUAACACUUCGAGUGACUCGGAUCAAGAGAAACUCACCAUGGCAAAUGCACAAACAUUAAGGGAGUUGGCUGCUUCUAAUUUAAAUCAACAGCCUUUAUGCAUUGCUUUCCCAAGUUUGAAUGAUGACACCCUCUUUGAACUAAAAUCUGGUCUAAUUCAUCUCUUGCCAUCUUUUCAUGGUUUACCAGGUAAGGAGCCCUACAAACAUUUACAAGAGUUUGAUGUUGUUUGCAACAGUAUGAAACCCCCGGGAAUCACAGAAAAGCUGAUAAAAAUGAGGGCCCUCCCCUUCUCUUUGAAGGAUUCAGCGAAAGAUUGGCUAUACUACCUACCACCAGGUAGUAUCACCACGUGGGACCAGUUGAAAAAAAAAUUCUUAGACAAAUAUUUUCCUGCGUCUCGGGCCGCCAGCUUAAGGAAAGAGAUAUGCGGUAUCAAACAACACCCAGGCGAGUCUCUCUAUGAGUACUGCGAGAGGUUUAAGAAGCUGUGUAUCAAAUGCCCUCAGCAUCAGAUAAGUGAGCAACUGCUCAUCCAAUAUUUCUAUGAGGGACUACUCUUCACGGACUGGAGCAUAAUCGAUGUUGCCAGUAAAGGGGCGCUAGUGAACAAGACCCCUCGAAAAUCUUGGGAGUUGAUUGAGGGGAUGGCUGAAAAUUCACAGCAGUUUGGUGGGCAGUGGCGAUGGCGAAGGCUCGCGGGGGUGGAAGAGCCGUUGGCGCGACUGGGGCCGCGCGGCUGCUAGAAUCUAGUUGCAUCAGUCUCUGUGGUCCUUGGGAUCUUUGAUUCGGCUGUUCCAUAGCUUGUCGAUCCUUUGUUGCAUCCCUGUAGGCAUUGUAAUUCCUGUUGAUUGAGUUGUUAUCUAGUUUUUGAGGGCACCUCUAGUAGUUCCUUUAUUUGGGAGUUAUUUGGGGUUGAGUUGGGAGUUAUUGGCCAAUUGAUUCCUAUUUUGCUUUCGUCCUGUUUCUGGUACUGUAUGGUUUUGAUUGGGGGGUGUCUCAGUGGUUUGGGUUGCCUGUUUGAAUUGGUUCUUACCUGUGUGUGCACCAGUGGUACUGGUUGUGUUGGGAAUCCGUGACUGAUUUGUUCUUGUCCAAUUGAAGCCAUUUUGAGCAAUUUUGGGGUGAACACAUUUUGUCAUUAAUUGUUGAUUGUUGGGGGACGUUUUUGGUAACACUUGAGUUGAUAGGGUGUUAAUUAUUGGUUAUUUUAUUAUUAAUCUCCCUUUUUAUUCUUGCCAAAUAUUGCUUAAUUGUUAAUAUUUACUCAUAUUUGGUAUCUGGACUUAAUUUCAGGAAUGAAGUAGAAAACUACCAAAAAGGAGGGAUUUUAUGGAGAAUAUGGAAACUUCUAAGGGCUUCAAUUCUUGGGCCCUUGAAUUGGUGGGGACCACAAGCUAGUGAAAGGCAUUUAGUCAUUUGAGCUCUUCAAAAGAAGCUACGUAUAUUUUAUUUUAUUUUAUUUUAUUUAUUUUAUUUAUCUCUUAUUUUUUUUUAUAUAGUUUAUGGCUUCUAACACUUCGUAUUUUGGUGAUAUACUGGAUUUUGUUUCCGGGAAAGGCAAUGUGACUAGUUUUUUUGCUAAGUCUGCAUAUGCAGAGGCACUAAACUCUAUUAGAGAAAGAAUGGCUGCUGCAACCUGUAAAAUUUGUUAUACCAGGGAUCAUUCAACCGGUAUGUGCCCCGAAUAUCAAGAUAAUCUGAGUGUCCCAUUCGAUAAUUAUGGAGAAUUUUCACCCUGGUCUCAAACGUGGUACGACCCUAAUCCAAACGGGUAUGAUCAAGGAUGGUGGGAUAACUCCAAUUAUAAUUAUACAACGGGACCAAUGAAUUUUCAGCAGUAUGAGUCUCAAGAAUCGUCAUCUAUGUCAGGUAUGUCUCUUGAAGAAAUAGUUGAACCAAUAGCUACUAACACAUACCAAUUCCAACAGGAGACACAAAUGAGGAAUGAGAUGAUGAAGGAUGCAAUGAGUUAUCUGGCAGAUCAACUAUGUCUAUUGACAUCCAGAAUAAAUCGAUGGGCUUCUCAAAUGGAAGAACUGCCCUCGAAAACCAUUGUUGACCUAGAAGAAAAUGAGAGUGCAAUUUGCUUGACUAGUGAUGAGGAGAUGCAAGAGUGUCAAAAUGAAAAAUCUACAGAUACAGUUGAAAAAGAAGCCGAAAAGGAAGAAAUGGAACCCCAACCGCAACCCAUUCAAGUGAAAGAAUCCAGUGAAGAAUCAUCAAAUGUGGUGACACCACCUCCAUUCCCUAACCCGCAUUUUUUCUAACUCUUACUCUAUGAUUUCUGUUAAUGAGAUUGAUUUUGUUAUACCGGAAGUUUUUGAGUCUCAUGGCAGAAAUAAGUUGAGAGUGGAGAUGGCGAAAUAUCUUGAACCGUUGAAUGCUCUUGAUGGAGGAAUGGAUGAAGAAUUGCGAUCAAUGCUUGAUUAUGUGGCGCCAUCAACUAGUCCAUGGAAGCCCGUGGUUCGUGUGCUCAAAGAUUACUCCAUCUAUGAGGGUUACCAGGAUCAUAUUGAAGAUGAAGCAUUGAAGCGAGCUACAAGAUUUUAUCCUCCAUGAACAAGACAUAACAAUGUCUAGCCAAAGACAUUAAAGAAAGGCGUUUUUUGGGAGGCAACCCAAAUAUUGAUUUUAUUAUUUUUAGUUGUUCAAUUCUUUCGUUCUGUUGUUUCUCAUUUGGAUAGUAGUUGGUCUUGAUAUUUUUCUCCACUGUGAUCAGGAAGUGAAAUCUUGGCGUGCCCACGCGGUGUUUAGGUCUCCUGAGAUCAGAGGACGAACACCAAUCUUGGCGUGCCCACGCGGUGUUUGGGUCUCCUGAGGUCAGUGAAUGUUUUGUAAUCUUGGCAUGCCCACGCGGUGUUUGACGACCCAAAACAUGAAAAAAAAAAAGUUUCAAAAUUUCACAUUGAGAAAAUUCAAAAAUUCAAAAGGCAUUUUUCUUUUUCUUCAAAAAUUCAAAUUUUGGAAUUUCAAAUUCAGGAAAAAAUUUGAAAAAAAAACAUUGAGAAAAAAAAACCCAAAAAGAAAAAAUUAAGAUUCAAAAAAAAAAAAAAACUAUUUUUUUUUCUCUCUUUUUCUUUUUCUCUUUUCUUUUUCUUUUUUCUUUUCUUCUUUUUUCUUUCUUUCUUCCUUCACCACCGCAGCAGCUACCCCACGCGACUCUCCUCCGCCUACCCCAGCGCACAGCCCAGGCCACGCGCUCCCUCCUUCCUGCAGCCCGUCGACGAAGCCCACCAGCCACCACCAGCAGGCCGCGGCUCCUUCCCCCUUGCGCGGCCACAGCUCGCGAACCACCUCUCCCACAGCGCGCGGCCUUCUCCCUUAUCUUUUGGCCGCGCGUCAUUGGCUCGCCCAAGGGCAGCCGCCGCCGCCGUUCCUCACAGUCAAGCAAUCGCAGGCCAAAGCCCACAACCCCAGCCGGCGCCGCCCGCAGCUCCUCGUGCGUGACAGCCGUGCGACGCCGCGCCUCCCUCAGCAACAGCUCCAAGCUCCAGCUCACUCGCAGACAGCCGCGCGAUUCUCAGCCAUUCACCUCGCGCGACCCCGAGCGCACAAUUCCGCGUGCCGCCAUCGAAGACCGCCGCGCCUCUCCCUCAGCCCGCCAUUGCGCCCCACCACUGUCCCGCUGUCUACGGUUGGGCACAAGGGAGGUACUUUUAAAAGAAAUUUUUAAUUUAAAUACGAGAAUGUCAAUUUCUAAAUUCUGGGGCUGUUUAGUGAUUGUUUGGAUUUCUUGGUGGAUUUGGUUGGCCGUCUGAUUAAAUUCUUCCUUGUGUGAUAACCAGUGGUACUGGUUGGGGUCUUUCGACCAUAGUUGUUGCUUAUAUUUGGUCAGAUGUCUGCUUGUUUGAAAGUUCACGUUCUUGUGAUUGAGUUGUUGCUCAAAUUCUGAUCUGCUGUUGCUAGAACUUUUGGUUGGUUGAGUUGUGCAAUUGACUGUCCAAUUGGAGACAGUUAUUGAGAUCUUAGGUGGGAUGGUGUCCAAUUGCUAAAAUUUGUUGCUUUGUUUCGUCACUCGCACUGCUCCUAGUUUGUUCGAGUGAAAUUGGUUGGAUGUUCUUUGCCCGUGGAGUGUAACUGUUACAUUGUUUGGGGCAGUUUUUUGGUAUUGAUUGAAUUGUUGGGCGUAAAUUGCUCAGGACUUUACAUUGCUAAUUUGGUGGGCCAUUUAUUGUGCAUUACCCUUUUGAAUUGGGAGAUACCUGUGCUUAUUGGGUUUUGACUACUUGAGAUUUCUGUUGCAUCUGGGGGAUAAAAUUUGAUGACUUUUGUGCCAGUUUAUUUGUUUGGAAAUUGUUGGGGGUAAUUUGGGAGUUACUUGUCAAUUGGGUCCCGUGUUACCCUCUACCAUUCAGUGGUACUGAUUGGUGUGUUUGGCUUUAUCACAUGUCUUGGGUUGGCCAUUUGAUUUCAAUUUUCCUUGUGCAUGCACCAGUGGUACUGGUGAGGGUAGUUUACAUAAUAUUUGUUACUCCUGUGUUAUUGGUUGCCUAAUCGACUACUGGGCAUUUGUGGUUGAAUUGUUUCUGUCCAACUUCUGAACUGUUGUUGCUGGAGUGCCAUUUUCUUGGGUCAAUUGCUGAUUUUAGCAAGUUGAAGUGGGUAAUUGACUGUCCAAUUGGAGACAGUUGUUACGAUAUUGGGUCCGAUUGUGUCUAAUUGCUGGAAGUUGUUGAUUUAUUAAGACACUAGCACAGUUCCUAGUUUGUUCGAGUUGCUGUUCUGUUGCAUUAUUGGGAGCUGUGCUCUAGUAUUGUGGCUACUUUCCUGCGUUUAUUUGUUGAAUUGGGAUAUGAAUGUGCCUAUUGCUCAUUUUGUUGCAUCUAAUUGACUUGCUUGGGGUAAUCUGCCCAUCAAUUUUAAUUACUCAAGUCUUUGGAGCAGUUGUUGCACAUUUGGACUACUUUGUUUCUAUAUCUGACUGAAUUGGGACCACAAGUGCUUAUCAAUUGCAUUUGCUAUAAGUAUUGGGGUAUUCGUAUAGAUUUUAGGAGCCUGCAUUGUGCAUUUUAUUGUUUGGGUUGCCUACUAGUUACCAUGGUGAAGCCACGAUCCUCCCCCAGGGGCCGAUGACUGGCUCCAACUUUCGAUGACAGUUGAGAGACUGGAGACUCGAGUGACCCACAUUGACAUCGACUUGCAUAACAUGGCGCAGAAUUUGGCAGCACUCCGCCCGACCCGCCCCUGUUUUGACAAUUUCAAGGAAGUACCGUUGCCCUUCUCUUUACUUUUGUUGUUGGUUUAUCACAUUGAGGGCAAUGUGUGAUUUAGGUGUGGGGGGAUCAGUUUGGGUGCUAGUAUUUUUAGUUUUUAGGUUCUAGAGGUUUUUCUUUUGUUUUAGUUUGAUAUUUAGUUCUUUUUUUUUCGUCUAUUUUAUUUUAUUAUUAUUAUUUUUUUUUCUUUCUCCUUUUUUCUAGUGGUCAGUCUUCAUAUGAAUACCAAGUUUGAUACUGGAUUGUUGUCUCUAAUUCUGCUAUUGCCAAGUCUUAUUAAUAAAAGGGUAUUAAGUUAAUGUGCUUGAGUUCAGGAAUAUCUCUUUGGUGAAUAUCGGUAAUUGCUUAACUUUUUCAAUUUUUGGUUAACUUUUCUAGGCAUAGGGAAUGAUUGUUGGCAUUUUUCAUGUGAAUUGGUUCAGUUAUUAAUUUUAGUUCUCCAUGUCUGGAAAUUUGAGGCUGGCUGCUGUUAAUCUUAUGUUGCUUUUAGAUAUCGUGUUAUAUGGUUGUAAAUAAGAGUUGACUGUACUCCGCUAGUGGUUACUACUGAGUAACCGGGGAUUUUCACCUAAAGUGUCGAUUCUCGCGUCAAAAGGUAGUAGUUGCUAUGAAUGCGUGGUCCUGUAGCGAUCGGAGCUGAGUAACCGGGCUCCUCCAUCUGAUAAAUGUUGGAGUUCGCGUCAAAAGGCUCUAAAUGGCUAGAGACUAAGUCUUUUGCUAUUCCCAAAAAAAAAAAGAAAAAAAACAAGUAAAGUUUGUGUUAGUAUUUAAAAAAAAAAAAAAGAAAGUCAGCUUGCCUAUUUGUGAUCUUAAUGUCGAGAUUUUGGUUAAUAGAUGGACCAUUUGCUGAUAAAUGUGAGCAACCAUUCCUUUUCCUUAGAUUAGUUUGCUUCAAAUUGAAGGAGUUGGUGGUUUAGAGGCUAAUCGGGGUGAUUUUUCUUGGAUGUUGACCUGUGAUGCUUGAUAUUUAUUUUUCUUGGACAUCUUGGCAAUACGGUAGUUGGAGUAACAGCCAUGGUCAACUUUUGGUGUUCAAUUGUUGUUCCCAUACUUGAGGGCAAACAUGAUUUAGGUGUGGGGGGAAUUGAUAGGGUGUUAAUUAUUGGUUAUUUUAUUAUUAAUCUCCCUUUUUAUCCUUGUCAAAUAUUGCUUAAUUGUUAAUAUUUACUCAUAUUUGGUAUCUGGAUUUAAUUUCAGGAAUGAAGUAGAAAACUACCAAAAAGGAGGGAUUUUAUGGAGAAUAUGGAAACUUCUAAGGGCUUCAAUUCUUGGGCCCUUGAAUUGGUGGGGACCACAAGCUAGUGAAAGGCAUUUAGUCAUUUGGGCUCUUCAAAAGAAGUUACAUAGAGAGACUUGGAGAAAGAAGUACUUUGGAGGCUUUGUCCAUAUGUGUGGGGACCACCUAGAUAGCUUUUAGUCAUCUUUCUUUUGUUGCUUUAAAAGGGGACAACGUACAGAAGCAAAGGACAUCUAGGGCUUUAGUUUUAGUUUUUUUAGUUUAGUUCUAGUUUCCUUUCUUUGGACUGGCCUCUGACACACGCCAGGUGUUCGACAAUAUUCCCCAACGGGAAGAUUUUCUCAUGAGGCGUGGUUAAGCUUUUCUAGUCAAGGGGACAACUGACGAUUUGGUUCGACAAUUACUGUGAGAUCGAAUCUGUUUUAAUUAUUUUCUUCAUUUAUUGGUAUUUAUAUGUUCCUUGAUUUUAAUUGCUAUGGCCUUGUGUAUGAUUGAUUAGUGCGCAAUAAUUAAUUAUUCAUAUAGGCUAUUUUUGCUAAAUAGGGGUAAUUGAAUCCGUAAUUGUUCGUUAUCUCUACCUCAGUAGCAACUGGCGUAAAUGGGUUUAUGUCAGGGGAGCAUAUGAUCUAAUUUAAACAAACCCUCGUAGCGUGUUUGUUGGUUAGGAUUGGGCCUUUCUAAUUAUUAAUGCAAUCUAGAAAUUAAAUCCUACGGUCGUACCUAGGGUUGUUUUUGGGUUAGAGAAAUAGCUAACGGUCGUACCUUAGCUAUCGAGAAAUUAAGGAAGGGUUGGUUGUUUAUCGCGUGCAUGACAACUAUAACUAAUCUAUUGCUAAAUGUUGGAAUUAUUUCUGCAUCAAUGAUCAGUGCAUGAACCAUUUCUGAUGUGUACCCUUGGCUAGAGUUUCCCCAAUCAUUUCUUUUAAUUAAUUAUUUUCUGCAGUUAAUUUAUUUAGUUAGCAUUUAAUCCAAAACCCCCCAUACUUUGGACUCUAGAAGAAACGAAUUAUCCCCAAUCCCUGUGGAUUCGACCCUACUCACCGCUAUAUACAAAAUCUGUAUCUUUAUUGAGUAGGUAUUUAUUAUUGUACAGGUUCGGCACCUGUCAAUUUUGGGGUGAACACAUUUUGUCAUUAAUUGUUGAUUGUUGGGGGACGUUUUUGGUAACACUUGAGUCUAUUUUGCUGAGUUCUGUUGAUAGAGCAGUUAUUUGGCACAUUUUACAGUGUUAUUUUGUCCUAAUUUUGGCUAUUCAUGGUGUUAAGAAUUGGAAUAUCACUCAUAUUUGAUGUUUGUGUGAAUUGUAGGUGGUCGGCAUUAAAAAUGACCUCUCAAGGCAAAUUUCUAGAAGACUCUUCGUCUCAGAGCAUGGCCACGCCAGAGAAGGUCGAUGUUACCGAAAAGCCGGACCCCGGUCCACGUGAACCGCAAGGAGCACGGGAUUAAAGCUCUAAAAGGCUAGCUUUUGUUUCAAUCAAUUGGGUCAGACAUGACUUGGCUCCUAGAGGCUUCAAUUAAAAAAGAAAAGAAAGGGCCAGACGUCGAGGGAAUGAGAAUGAGGAAACUAGGUCUACAUGGACCAGCUACACGGGAUAAAAACUCCAAUGAAGAGAAGAGCUCUGCUCCGCGUGGAUUUCCCCUGCGGCACUAUAUAAGACAACAAAAAAGGUGAUGCAGCGGAGAAUAUAGAUUAGCUUUGAUUUUCUUUUCGAGAGGGGUCAGGCGAUUGCAGACUUUUGUAGCUUUUCGGUUGUGACACUUGGACUCCUUGGCUUUUGUUUUGACUCUGCACAAUUUACGUUAGUUUUUGUUCGUACACUUGCGGCACCAAAGCAAAGACGAAGGCAGUGCCUUCUCUGUUGUUACUGCAAUUAAUUCCCCUUCCCCAAUUUUCGGCGAAUAAUUGAAUGAAUUCAAUUAAAUCACGCGGGAUUGACACGAUAAGGAGCGGCUAAUUUUCUCCUCUACCCAAAGGUUGACGCGAAGGCGCGGUCCAUAAUAUCUGUGAGAUCUAAUCGAAUUUUCAUUAUUUCUUUCAAUUUAUUGCUAUUCGUACGUUUCCUGAAUUAAUUGUUCAUGAGUAUUUUACUAAUUGAAUAUCAACGGCCGGGUAUUUGAUUUAAUUUAAUAGUCUACUGCCACGUUAAUUAAAUAGAAUCCGUAAUUGUUCAUUUAGUUAACACCUCGUGGCAACCACCAUAAUUGGCUUUAUGAUGGGAAAACGCAAGAUCUAAUUUAAAUAAACCCUCUUAGCGUAUUUAUUGGUUAGGGUUGGAUUCUUCUAGCUUUAAUGCAAUUGGGUAAUUAAAUUCUCACGGUCGUACCUAGGGUUGUUAUCUGGUUAGAGAAGCAGUCAAUGGUUGUACCUUGACUAUCGAAAAAGUAAGGAAGAACUGGUUGUCAGAGCUUAUUGAUAACUAUAACCAACCUAGUGAUGAAUGGAUGAAAUACCUUUGCAUUGAUGAGCAUCUGUCUUGAGUCCAUUGAAGUGCCGUUGGUUGAGUAAUUUCUGCGUCUUUUUGUUGAAUUGGAAGGCUAUUGUGACACUUCCAUUGCACUUUCGGAAUGCAUUGUUUCUGUAUUUGACUAAAUUCAGGCCACCAGUGCUUCUUGAUUGCAAUCACUGUGCUGUUGGGGUAUUUGUACAGCUUUGAGUACCUGAAUUGUGUUUGUGUUGGUUGGAGUACCAUUUAUAGAGAAUGGUGAGACCUAAAUCCUCCUCUAGGUCUAGGACACCUAGAACUUCUCAGCCUCCUCCCACCCUAGGGGCUAACGAUUGGCUCCAACUCCGAAUGCAAGUUAAGAGACCGGAGAUUCGAGUGACCCACAUUGACAUCAACUUGCAUACCAUGGUGCAGAAUUUGGCAACAAUUAUGCACCAUGCGGGUCUUGUUCCUCAGUUUCCGUCUGACCCACCCCUGUUUUGACGACUUCAGGGAAGCACCGGUGCUCUUUUGCUUACUUUUGCUAUUAAAUUAUCACAUUGAGGGCAAUGUGUGAUUUAGGUAUGGGGGGGAUCAGUUGUGGUACUAGUAUUUCCAGUUUUUGAUUUUUAAGUGUUUUUCCUUUGUUUUUAGUUUGAUAUUUUUCUCUUUUUCGUUUAUUUCUUUUAUUCGUGAUCAGCUCUUAUUUGAAUACCAAGUUUUGAUGUUGGAUUGUUGCCUCUAAUUCUGCUCUUGCCAAGUUUUAAUAAUAAAAGGGUAUCAAGUUAAUAUGGUUGAAUUCAGGAACAUCUCUUUGGUGAAUAUCAAUAAUUGCUUAACUUUUCCAAGUUUUGGUUAACUUUUCUAGGCAUAGGGAAUGAUUGUUGGCAUUUUUCAUGUAAAUUGGUCCAAUUAUUAAUUUUAGUUCUCUAUGUUUGGAAAUUUGAGGCUGACUGCUGUUAUUUUUAGUUAUUGUGUUAUAUGAUUGUAAAUAAUAGAUAACUGUACUCCAUUAGUUGUUACUACUGAGUAACCGGGGAUUUUCACCUAAAGUGUCGAUUCUCAUGUCAAAAGGUAGCAGUUACUAUGAGUGCGUGGUCCCGUAGCGAUUGGAGCUAAGUAACCGGGCUCCUCCAUCUGUCAAAUGUUGGAGUUCGCAUCAAAACGCUCUAAGGGUUAUAAACUAAGUCUUUUGUUAUUCAAAAAAAAAAAAGAAAAAAAGAAGCAGAAGAAAACAAAAGAAGCAGAUUGUGUUAGUAUAUGAAAAAGUCAGCUUGCCGAUUUGUGAUCUUAAUAUCGAGAUUUUGGUUAAUAGUUGGACCGUUUGCUGAUAAAUAUGAGCAACCAUUCCUUUUUCUUAGAUUAGUUUGCUUUAAAUUGGAAGAGUUGGUGGUUGGGAAGCUAAUCGGGGUAAUUUUUCUUUGAUCUUGACCUGUGAUGCUUGAUAUAUGUUUUUCUGGAUAUCUUGGCAAUACGGUAGUUGGAGCAAUAGCCAUUGUCAAAUUUUGGUGUUCAAUUUCUGCUCUCAUGCUUGAGGGCAAGUAUGGUUUAGGUGUGGGGGGAAUUGAUAGGGUGUUAAUUGUUAAUAAUUUUAUUGCUAUUUUUCCCCUUUGUCCUUGCCAAAUAUUAUUUUAAUUGUUAACAUAUACUUAUUUUUGGUAUUUGGACCAAUCUACAGGAAGUGGAACUGACAAAUGCUAAAAAGGAGAUUUUAUUGAGAAAAAUCCUUCACAUGCUAGAGCCUCCAGCGGAUAUACAAGUUGGGCCCACAUGGUGUUACAAAUUCGGUUGCUGAUGGGGAGCUCUUAUUAUUGGGAGUUGACUUGUACGUGUAGGAGUCCUCCUACCAAGAGGAAACAAGAAAAAAGGAAUUCGGCAGAGGCCCAUCUUUUGUACUUAGCUUUCUCAAUUCGGUAGGGACCAUGGACUAGAGGUUUUCAUUAGUGAUUGGACUUUAAAAGGGAAGAAACGUAUAGAGGCUUGGGGAUUAUUAUGAUUAGCGUAGCUUUAGUUUUAGUGGUUAGCUAGCGUUUCCUUUUCAUGCGCACGAGGUGCUCGACAAUAUUUUUCAACGGGAAAAAAAAACAUCUUUUACUCUUGCUUUCUAGUGAAAAACUUGAUGCCUUUGCAAUCAAUUAAUUUGCGUGGAGAUUUAAUUAUGCGGCGUGGCUAAGCCUUUCAUCUAGUUAAGGAUCAACUCGAUGGUACAGUCCCAAAUAUCUGUGAGAUCUAAUUAGUUUUCACGCGUUUCUUAAUUUGUUAAUAUUUGCACGUUGCCUAUUUGAAUUUUCAAGGGAUUAUUUUGUUAAUUGGAUGUCAAGGGCCCGAUGUUCAAUAUGGCUUAUUAAUCUCCUUCCAAAUUAGUCAAUUAAAUCCGUAAUUGUUUGAUUGAUUAAUAUUAGUGGCAACUGGCGUGUUUAUACACUAGGGGAACGUGCAAUCUAAUUUAAAUAACGCUCGUAGCGUGUUAUUGAUCGGGGUUAGGUUUUUCUAGUUAUUAAUGCAAUUGAAAAAUUAAUUCCUACGAUCGUACCUAGGAGUAUUUUCUGAUUAGGAAUAAUCAAUGGUCGUACCUUGAUUAUCAAUAAAUAAAAGAAAAAUUGGUCGUUAGAAUUCGUCGGCGACUAUAACUAGCCUAUUAAUAAAUUAAGUGAACCUCCCUUGCAUCAAUGAUCGAGUAAGUGGACUGUGUCUGAGUAGUUGUAUCAUUGGCUAGAAUUUAUCUAUUCUUGAUUUAAUUCCUGCCUAUAUUCGUGCAAGUUAAUUAUUUAUUUUUAGUGAAUUUUUUAAUUAUUUUUAGUUUUACUCCGAUAAAAUCCUCCUUUAUCAAUUGGAAUCUCAAAGAGACAAAUAUCCCCAGUCCUUGAGGAGAUGACUCUACUUGCCACUGUCUACUAUUUAGUAAGUUUUGUCAACUAAUUAAUUCUGAUAUAUCGGAUUAAGCAAACUUUUCGAGAAUAGGGUGAAUCAAGUAACCCAUUACACACCUAGAGUCCCUGCUCCAGUAUUUAGGAUUAAUUAUUGACUGUUUUUAGUGGUAUUUAUAUUUUUAUUAUUAUUAUUGCAUAGGCUCGACACCUGUCAAUUUUUGUGAUGUUGACCCAAACAACAAAGGACGGGUUAUGUGAUGUUGACCCAAAUAACAAGUCUUCACUAGUGAAUGUGAUAUUUGUGAUAUCCACCUCUUUAUUACCAGUGGGCACGUGAGUUAUCUCACAAGGAGAUUCGCGAGUAUCAUCCUUUGUUCUUCAAUAUCAUCAACUUGCGUUGUGUGACAUGAGACCAUAUCAAUAUCAAAGAAUCUUUUAGAUAUGAAUUCUUUUAAAAUGAUAGAAACUCGCGACUUUUGCUUGAAUACUUGAUUUUCUUGAAGAUUGUGAUUAUUAUUAUUUUUCUCUAUAUUCUUCUCUUUUCUCUUCCAGACCAUUCUACUUCUUGUUAAGGCCUUGUUUACCUUAUUAGAUGGACGAGAGUUUCAUCUUCAUCUUCGCGUGAUCAGAGUUCAUCCAUCAUCAUCUACGUCUGAUUGUAAUGACUUCUCAUCUUCAUAUUCAUAUUUUUGAAGAGCUGAAGGGGCGAUUUUUUGUUCAACUUCUAUAGGAUCAAAUGAUCCAAAUUGAAUGGUUGGCAAUAUAGGUAUCGUAAACUUUUCGACUUCCAUGGACUGUAGUGAAUCAACGGAGGUUUGAUUCAUACUUGCUUUGUUUUUUUCAAGAAAAUUUUUUUCUUGUCUUGCCAAAUCCAUCAUCUCAUCUUUAAAGACAAAGUAUUUUUGAAUGGGAUGUCCAACCAAGCAAUGAUACUUGAUUUGGAUCAUCCGUAUUACUAAUCUCGUCAAGUCAGUUCAUCUUGGAAGCAUGAUCAAGUUCAUGCUUAACAAAUUAUCAAAUAUACUAGGAACAUCAGAAUCAAGGAAAUUGUACUUCUUGUUUUGCAUCUCCUUGAGUGUUGGUUUUUUCUUUCCUUCGUCUUGAUGCAUACUGGUUUUCUUGUCUUCUCUUUUAGCAGUUCUGAGAAUAAUCUUGAAAGGUGUUAUACUUGCAGCUAUGGCCUCUUUCUCACUUUGAUUGGGGGCUUGCCUCCUUUCCUCACUUCUUGUUUCUCCUUAGCCUUGCGAGAAUCAGGAAUUGGCGGCUCUUGUCCAUCAAGGUUAAUUUCUAUCUUAUGAGUUUUUGGGGAUAAUUCAUCAAAUAUUUCUGGUUAUACCCCUUACAAGAUAUAUCUGAAUCCCCAAUGCAAGUCUUGAAUACACAUCUCAAUAGCGGAAGACUCGAAAAUUCGAUCCUUACAGUUUAGGCUUAGAUUUUUUCGAGCGAUUGAUAAAGUUAAUAACAUGUUCAUUCUUUCACUAGCACAUAUUUUAGAGUUCAAUUAUGCUGACAGUCCUUUUCGUGCUAUAGAAGCAAUUAAGGAAUUCCUACUCUAAUUGCUCCCAACUGUCAAUGCUGCUAGAUUCUAAAUCUGUGUACCAAUCAAACGUGUUACCCUUCAAUGAGUGAACAAAUUGCUUAACUAGCAAGUCACCAUUAGUGCCAGCAUUGUUACAAUUUUCGACAAAGUGCGCAAUAUGUUGUUUAGGGUUACCUUUGUCAUCAAAUUAUUGAAACUUUGAAAAUUGAAAUCCUACAAGCAUCUUCAAACAUUUACUCUUGUGGUGUAAGGUUUGAUAUAAUUGCUAUAUGACUUGGUAUUUCCACCAAUCUUGUCCUUGAUCGUACCUUUGAUAAACUCCUUUAAAUUAUCAACAUGAAUGGUACUAUCAGGAGAGAUUGAAAACUCCUUCAUUAUUCGUGACUUGGUAUCCUCUUUCUCUUUCUUCCUUGAUGAUGAGUUACCUUCAUAUUUUUUACCAUGGCCAUUAGUUUGGCUAUUUUGGCAUCUUGACUUUGCACGUGCCCUGCUAGCCCUUCGACAAUUUGGCAAGAUUUGAAAUUUGAUCUCUACGGUUGUGGUGUUAGUCAUCAUGAUGGGCAUUACCACAGAAGUAGCUAAAUUGCUUGAGCUAUCAGCAGAUUCAUCAUGGACUCCCUUCUUGUUGGGAAAAAUCUCAAAAUUUUUUCUUUCAACCACAGCAUUCGCCUUAACCCUAUCUACUAAUUUCUUAGCCUUGCUCCUUGUCAUAGGUGUAGUAUACUGCAUCUCCUGAGUUGUUGGGAUGCCAGCAACUGAGCCUUCAAGAGCAAAACUCAUCUUCUUGGACUCCAUUGAUUCUUGAAACAAGUAAGCUAUUCAAAGAAAAGAGAUGAAAAACAGAGAUGGUCCCACCAGACGUGUCAUAAAAUUUGUGAGCAUAAAUUUUGUUGCCUAAAAUAAAGACAAGAAAAUUUGCAUAAAUAUCAAAUUUAUUAAAUCAAAUAAUAAAUGGGUUAUAAUUUUUGAAAAUUCUUGAAUUAAAGAUAUUAAUCUUCUAAUUCUUCUCUUCAAAAACUUCAAUUGAAGGGUUGAAAAGACUUGUUUACCGAUCAAGAGGGUGUUUCCUACGAUUUUGACAUAGAAAACCGCUGAUUUGAUGAUGACGUUAAAUAGUUGAUGUUGGGUUUGGAUUUUAUUCCACCAAUCGUUCAUUUUGUUGGAUUUGAGUUUUAUACCACCAACUGUGGGAUAAAACCCAAUCCCAAUAAAAUGAACGGUUGGUGGGAUAAUACUCAAAUCCAAUAAAAUGAAUGAUUGGUGGGAUAAAAUCCAAACCCAACACUUGUAUCUUUAAAUCUUCAAUGUCGAUAGAAGGAGGAUUUAUUUUAACUUGAUUUGGAUUUGAAUUUAAGGGAAAAUGCUCUCGAGAGAAUUUGACAGAAUUUCUUCAAAAUUUAGAAAUUUCAAUGUGUUUUUGUACUAAGAGAAUACCUUUAUUUAUAGGCAAAAUAUGUAGAUUAUGUCUUCAAGAAAAUUCUCCAGAACCUUCUUGCGUUUGGGUAACUUGUACCUCAAGAAACUCAUUUAACUUAGGUUUAAAUAGUGGGCCUAUUCAAAUAAUCCAUUGUGAAUUAAUACAUCAAUUAAUCCACUUUAAUUUAAAUGGGUAACACAUUGAUUUGAUUUGAUUUAAUAGCCCAUAUAUCAUUGGUCUAUUUUGUCAAUCAAAACAUAAUAGACUGCUAUAAUUUAAUUUAAUGUAAUCAAGAUCAAUUUAAUUUAUUUAAUCUUGACUAAAUAAAUUUUCUUUGUCUACAGCAUGUACGUGUAAUUUUCCAAAUAAUGAUACUUUUCAAAGAGAGUUUUCAAAUAAUGAAAGUUCUAAAACAAGGCAUUCACCGAAUGCGUGAAUGUAUCUUUUUAAACAACGCAUUUAGUCAAUACGUUUUUAAGGAAAAAUGCCUAUACAAAUAAAAGAAUGAAUUCUAUAAAUGUGUCUUUUGAGGAAACAACACAUUUACUAAGUACGUUUUUUCACUCUUUGGGAAGAAGUUCAAAAAACACCACCAUUUGAAAGGUAAUUUUAGAAAAUCCCACUUUUUGAGAAUUUACUCAAGCUUGUACUUGACAAAAUGUGUUGGGAAAAUUGUGACGUCAGGUGAAUUGUAAAACUGUUGUGCCAUCGUAAUGUAUGUUUUGCACUAGAUUGAGUAAGAAUUAUAUCAAAAUAGUCGGCCACAAUAUAGGAAUGUGAAAACUUUGUGUUAAGUAAGUUGUAAUAUUUUUGUAUCAUCUAACGUAUAUUUGAAAACGAUUGAGAAUAUAAUAUAUGGAAACAACAGGUCACAAUGUUGAAAUGUCAAACCUCUUGUUUCAAACCAAAUACUUAUUAAACUCCUUCAUAUCGCUAACGAAUUUUGAUUCUGAAGUAAUAAUAGUUUUAUUUAAUUAUUUGCCUUUUUUGGAACAAUAUUAAAAUGUAGCCAUAAAUUUAAAUUCCAAAAUUGUUGAAUACUUGAGGAAUUCUAGAAAUGGCACUGAGAGUCAAAGUUCACCUUAUUCAAAAGUCACCAGCCAUCUCAGAGUGCAUGUUUCUAUUGAGUUUCAGGUUCAAUGUGUACCCACUUCCACUUUUGGCUGAUCAAUCAGGACUAAGGUUCCGUUUGAUAAAACUGAAUCUGAAUUCUGAAAUCUGAAUACUGAAACAAUUAAUUUGCUGAAUUUUAAGUUCUGAAAAGAAAUAUAUGAAUGUCUGAAUUUUAAUGUUAAAUCUAUUUCUACUGUUUGAUAAACAUUUAUAACUGAAUGCUUAAUAAGUUAAAUUUGACAAAUUUGCCCUUAAUCUUUUCAUCCAAAAAAGAAGUAGAACCUAUGAUUUAAUUAGGUAAAAAUGUUAGGUAUGAAAAUGACAAUAUUUAUUUUUAAAUCAAAUUAAUAUAAAAGAUGAAAUAUAUUAUAUGCGGAGUGGAGAAGAUGUAAAAAUCAUUCAAAAUGGAGAAAAAAGAAAUAGAAAAUCAUUAGAUAGAGAAUAUUAGAUUGUUUAAUUAGAUAAGAAUUUUGAACAUAAUUAACAAACAAUGGUAGAUUUGAUAGAUAAGAUAAGGUAAUUGAAGUAAUUCUAUUGAUUCUUAUCAGAAUUAAGUAUUCAGUUAGGAUUUUUGUGCUGAAAAAAAUACACACAAUUUCAGCACUACUUAACAAGUUCAGCAAAUAGAUUUUCAUUUAUCAAACAUUCAAAACAUCUAAAUGUCUAAAAAAAUUUAGAUUCAACACUUUUUUAUAUUAUUAAACAGACCCUAAGAGAAUAAAAUAACUUGCUUGCUGUUAGCGAUGGCAACGGGGCGGGGUUGGGGCGGGGGACCCCUCCCCCGUCCCCCGCCCCGUUGCCUAUUAGUUCCCCCUGUCCCCCGCCCCCCCCCCCGCUUCCCCCGCGGGGUUAAUAAAAUUUUAUUAUAAUUAAAUUUUAAUAAAUAAUCAAUUACUAAAAUAUCAACACAUCACCAAAUUAUUAUUCAUUGUAAUUUUACAAUUAAAACUCAUAAAAACAAUCAAACAAAAGUUAUUUGAAUACAAUCCAAUAUGAUGAAAUAAAUAUAACUAAAAUAGUUAAGUUUUCGCUUUUAGUACAAAUGCAAUCACUAAUUCAUUAUUGUGUUUGUGCUUUUCUUUUGAGAAAAAAGUGUUAUUCUAUUAAGUGUAAUUAGAAAUUUAGUAUAAAUGUAUUAGUAAAUUUAGUAUAACUAAUUAAUAAAUUUUAUUAGUAGACAUGUAUAAUUAUUCAUAUAAUUGAUAAUAUCAAUUAUAUUACAUAAACUACUAUACAUUAUAUAAUACAUCUAACUAAUAAUAUCAUUAUCAUAAGUUUAUAACUAAUUAACUUACAUAUUAUAUAUAAUUAUAUAUAUAUUUUUUUUAGGGUGGCGCGGCGGGGGAUGGGGCGGGGGUAUACUCCCCCGUCCCCCGCCCCGUUUCUAAGCGGGGGGAAAAAUUCCCCCCCCCGCCCCAACCCCCGCCCCGAGAGCCCCCCGUGGGCACCCGCCCCCAUUGCCAUCCCUACUUGCCGUUUUUAAAAAAGGAUUCAUUAUUUUUUCUUUGAGCAUUGGUAUCUCCACCCUCAAUGACACUAAUCUGGAUUCAAUAUGAGGAGUGUCCGUAGAGGCUGACUCUUACUCGAGAGUAAAGACUUGACCCAGAGCUUUUCAAGGCGUCAUCAUAUGUAGGAGUCAAACUUAUGAACUCUGUGCAUAGAUAAUUUAGCUCCAGUCUGUGGAAUGUCUUGAUGUUAGGUGAGUUGUAAUAUUUUGGUAUCAUCUAAUGAAAUUUUUAAAAGAUUGAGAAAUAAUAUAGAGCAAAACACCAAUUUAUUCCCUAAAUUAUUUUGCUAAAAUCAAAAUACUCCGUAAAUUUAUUUUGAGUCAGUUUAGUCCCCCAACUAUUUUUACAAAGCUGAAAUAGUCCUUAAACUUUAUUAUGAGCCAAUUUAGUCUCUCAACUAUUUUGUUUAAGUGAAAUAGUACCCCACCUUUAUUUAUUUGGCCAGUUUGGUCCUUGUUUGACUCAUCCACCCAAUUUAUCAACCUUGUGCACUAACAAUCAGGGGCAAAAUAAGAAAUUUAGUCAAUGCCCUUACUAAAAUGAUAGAAGAAUUAGAUAUCUGGCAAAAUUAAAAACAAAAUUGAAUCAUAUAGAGAACAAAAAAAUAUAGUGUUUCUUAUGGAGGAAAAAAAUGGAGCUGAUGCCUAAAAUCUCACAUGGAUCCAACUCAGUCCAUUGAAUGGAGAAAAGGGAAAAUAACACAACAAGAAUAUGUUAAAAGUUGGAAAAUGUGCUAUAAUUAUGAUUACUCCUUUAAGAAAUAAAGCUGAAAGAAGCUCAAUUUCUUUUUGUUUUCCAUAUUAUUCAAUUUCGUUGUCGAUUUUUCGAUAGAUGUAUGUUUUUUUUUUUGUUUUAAUAAGGGCUAUGAUUGGAUUUCCUAUUAUGCCAUUGGCUGUCGAUGCUACACUUGAUAAAUUAGAUGGAUCAUCCAAAUAAAGACAAAAUUGGCUAUGUAAACAUUAGUGAGGGACUAUUUCAGCUUAAGAAAAAUAGUUGAGGGACUAAAUUGGCUUAUAAUAAAAUUAGGGACUAUUUCAGCUUUGUAAAAAUAGUUGAGAGACUAAAUUGACUCAUAAAAUGUUUAGGGACUAUUUUGACAUUAAGGAAAUAGUUUUGGGACUAUAAACAUUAGGUCACAAUGUUGAAAUAUCAAAACCCAUGUUUUGGACCAAAACUCAUAGAACUUCUUCACGUCGCUAACGAAAUUUGAUUAUGAAGUAAUGCUAAUUUUAUUUAUUAUUUGUUUCCUUGCUGGUCUUCUGUCUUUUUGGUUAUUCCAAAAUUGUUGAAUAUUUAAACGAAUUCUAGAAAGGGCACUGAGAGUCAAAGUCUUAUUCAAACAGCCAGCUAUCUCAAAGUACAUAUUUUUUUAUUAUCAGGUUCAAUAUGUAUCUAUUGCAAUUUUUGAAUGACCAGCCAUGACUAAGAGAAUAAAAUAAUUCACUUGCUGUUUUUAGAUAUGAAUUCAUGACUGUCAGUAGUCUAUAAAUACACUUAUUGCUCACCACUCUUUGCACCGCAAAAUCUCUUCAAGAUCCAACAAACCCUCCUGUUCUUGGUCUUUGUCCAUUUGUGAAAAAACAAAUUAAAGCGUCAUGGCCCCUAUCACUUGUAGUGCUGAGAUGACCUCCCCAAUCCCUCCUGCAAGGUUGUUCAAGGCCGCCAUCCUUGAUGACCACCCUUAAUGCCACAGGCUAUUAAGAGUGUGGAAAUCCUUGAAGGAGAUGGUGGCGUUUGAACCAUUGAGUUGAGCACAUUUGGUGAAGGUUAGAUGUUAUAUUAAAUGUAGAACCCCAAAUUUAAGGAUCUAAUAAUAAUCAAUGCGUGCAGGGUUACAGAAUUGGAGGGAUAAAACAAAUACUCAAAAUAUACGUGGAAGAAAAGAAAAAUAAUAAAUUCAACUCACAAUAUUAUUGAAAUUUCAAACAAUGAAGAAAAUCAUACCACAAUGAAUUCAACUGGUUCUAAUAAUAAUCAAAGCAUACAAGGUUACAGAAUUAAAAGGAUAAAACAAACACUCAAAAUAUAUGUGGGAGAGAAGAAAAUAAUAAAUUCAACACACAAUAUUAUUGAAAUCUCAAACAAUGAAAAAAGUCACACCAUAAUAGAAAACCUUGCUAAUGCUUCUAGAUUCUUUCUCUUGAGAAACCAACCUAAAUAAUGUUCUAUUUAUAAUCUACCAAACUUGUUAGGAAAGAAACCACUUGCAUAAGAAAUUACCAAAUAAUACAGAAAUUCCUAAAUCACACAACUACUAAAAACAUAACUCAAAUAAAACUAAAAAAUAAAUAAAUAUUACUAGGCUUAGUUUAAUUUGUCAACAUUGCCUCCUUUAAACCAUACUAUCCAUUGAGAUAGGUUCAACACCAUCUCGAGCAAUAAUUUCUAUGCAAAUCUAUGUUGUAGUACACUUGACAUGAAACUCUAACUUGUUACCAGUUAUUAAUUUCAUUUUUACACGUAACAGUGGACACACUAUGUAUUGUGUAAACAACUUCUCAGCAAUUUCUUCUUGAUCAAAGAACUCACUUAUACAAACCCAUUCAUCACCAGAAUCACCAUAUUUACCACCAAUGUAAGUGCCUAAAAAUACAAAAUCAUAGAUUUCUUUCUCGCUAAAAUUAUCAUCACCAAAUAAUUCAAAAUAACCACUACUACAAUCAUCCAAAAUUUUCAUACUGUCAGUCAACUCUUUUGGAGUAAAAUAUUUUUCAACUCCGAUGACAUCCAUAUCUAUUAAAUCAAACAUUCUCCCAUCACUUUGAAGAGAGUCCGAACCAACGAAUUUUUCAACAACAAUUUCAUGUUCUCUUCUCUUAUCAAAUCAAAAUUUUUUUCUUCUUUUGUCAAAUUACCAUAUUAUUUUUUUCAACAAAUUCAUUACUUCUAAUUUCUCCAAACAAGGUACGCAAAUCAAAACUAUCAAUUGAUUCAAAAUUUUCGAUAUCACCCAUAUUAUCAACAAAUCUAUCAUUUUUAAAAUCCACAAACCAAUACCAAUAAAUAGACUUCGGUUUGAAAGCAUAAUUUCUCCCAAUCGUGUGCAAAACAUAGUAAAUAUCCUUCCAAAAUCUCUAAAGUAUUUUAAUUAGUACGACCAAUAAAGGUUUUAUAAACACUUUUUGCCAUUAUUUUACGCAUCACUUGAAAGAAUAAUUGUGCCUUUUUCUUAAAAACAUGUUUUGACAACUUACUUGCAUCAACCCAACAAAGAAUAUCAUCCAAAUUACAUUGUUUAACAUAUUUUUCCACUAUUAAAAUCCAACCAAAAUAUGUAUGUCCAUUUGUGCUUAUAGGAGUCAAUAUGAAAAAUUUUUCACCGUGAAUCAGAUCUUUAUAAUAUUCCAUUAUUUAACAAUUUGUAUACCUGGAUAAAUUUUUUUCCUCCAUCCUGUCAUGUUUUCUUGGCCUCCCUGGUUGACUAACCAAAUUAUUGUUGUAUGUAUACCCAUGCUCGUCAAACCUCAUUUGUGUACACUCGUAAGGAGUGGUUCUGAGCUUCUUGUGAAUGCUCAGUACCAAGAAGUAGAAGAGAGAAUGCAUAAGAGAGAAUUAACUUGGCUAUAGAAAUAGGAAACAAUUGAGGGAUUUUUUAAGAAAUUAAUUCUCCAGCUACCACUUUUGGAAAUUUUCUAUCAACAACUAGUUACCAAAACACUAGCACAUAAUAAGAAAUCAGGAUAAUUUCAGAAACCUCCCUUGAGGCUUUUAAUAACCUCAAGAAGCUCCCCUCAAUAUUUUAAAAUUACACGUACCUUCCCUAUUGGUGCAAAAGUACUCUACUACCCCUAAUAGGAUACUCAAAAGACUUUUUUUUAUGGGAAAAAUGAAGCUCAGAAAUCCAAGCAAAAUCAAAAAAAUCAAUUGAUUUUCUCUUUUAGCCUUUUACACUUUUGCCUUCUACCUUUGCUCACUUUCCCAUCCCAAUCUUCCUACACCCGCUUUCCCAAUCCCCUUUCCCCAACUUUUCUCCUCUACUUCAAGACCAAUUUUUGUCUAUCUAUCCUGGCUUGUGCUUUGUUCCAUUCCCUUCCCUUCUCCUUCUUUGAUUUCGCCUACAUCUCCCUUUCUCUUUGCAAAAGUGACUAGGCUCAUGUCUCUCUUUUUCCCCCCUAUUCUAAGUGUAGUGGGUUUGAUUAUUUUGCAUCUAUUUUAUUUGAUUUGGGUUGAUUAUGGGUGAUAGAACUUGGCGAUGUCAAAUAUCAAAAGUUUGAUAGAUGGAUAUUGGGCUUUAGACAAUGAUUUGCUGAAAAAAAUGGCUGCAAUGAGACAAAGAGGCAAGGGGAUUUGAGUGUGGGGUUGAUUGUUGAUAAAUUGUUGUUUUGGACAAAAUUUGAGGUUGAGUUUUAUUAAAUUUGAUAGCAAGUGGCGAGUUUUGUUCAGGUUGCGGGAAAUAAAUUAGAUUGUGGUUUCUUGGGCACCCACAGUUGUUGGAAUUGGUUUUGAUUCAAAUUAGGGUGGUUACUUGAUUUUCCUAAUAGUGUUGCUUAAAAGCACACGAUCAUCAAAAUUCCUUAUUUUUAUCUUUUGUUUUUUCUUGUAGAAAAGAUUUCACGACUUUCGUGAUAGUCUAAUUUGGAAGAAGGCAAUCAAGGGAUGCAAUCAACAUUUAGCAAAAGCUCUUGUUCUUUCCUUUGUAAUUUUUAGGGUAAAAAGGGUAGUUUAGGGUAUUUGAAGGAAAUGAUAGUCUAUUGGGUCUAUUUUCAAGCAUAAAUAGUGAACGUAAGGGAGGUUGGUGUAAUUUCUGAAACCUAAGGGAAAUUGUCUGAAAUUGUUCGAGACCUCAGAGGAGGUUUUCGAAAUUAUCCCUAAGAAAUCAAAUGCGAAACUUGAUUAGUACACGCACACACGACACCGCACCACGCCGCGCGUGUGUUGAGGAUUGGUGUCCGUAACCAACGACAAGCAGGUUUUCAAUUUUUUUUUCCUUUCCUGGAUUCUCCAGAGAUGGUGUCAGCUUCUAUUAUUGAUGAGCAGGAGGAAAUCCACAAUAUACAGUACACAUCACCCAUAUUCUUUUUAAUUGAACAAUGUAUGAAAUUAUGGUGAUUCGAAAUUAAAUUAUAUGUUUAUUGGGCACUGAAUCCAAAAUAAGAGUUGGAAAUGUAUUGUGACAACAAUUGUUAACAUAGGCCACAAAUGAUCAAAACAAAUAUUUAAGGUUUAAUAUGACAUUAUGGGUUCAGAAUAUAGUUACUUGUUAUGAAACAACUAAAAGUAUGGAUAUCCAUUUGUAUUUUCAAGAGGAUCAAUUCAUAAUUCAUUGCUCCCAAGAGGAUUAAUUCAUAAUACAUUGCUACAUUAUGUAAAGGAAUUGCAUUGGAUGAACGGUUUCAAUCCAUAAAAGCUAUUUAUGUAUUGGAUGAACCGUUUCAUAUGGCUAUUCAUGUUCUUGUAGUAAUGAGUGUUUAAUAGAAUUGAUGUACCUUUAAUUUUGUAGUACCUAUAUAUACAGGUACUUUGGCACCUCUUGGGUAUACUUUUUGAUUAGUUGGAAUAAUAAGAAAAUUAUUCUUCAUUUCUGUACUUCUUUCUCUAAUAUUUCAAUUCCUAUUAUAGUAGUUCAUUUUUUUUAGUUUUACAACACGUUAUUAGCAUGAGUCUCUACUUUUGAACAAAAAGGUGAAAACGGAGCCUCUACCUUAAAAAAAAGUGAAACACGAGAUUCUGCCAAAAUUUUGCCCGUAUUUUUCCGGCAACUUCUGUCCACUUAUUGAGAAAUGGAUGCCAAAUAUUUGGGAUUAAAUAAUGGUGAUGAUGAUAUUUGUCUCAUUGAUAGUGCUACUACGCACACUAUAUUGAAAAAUAAAAAAAAAAUUUCUUGUAUGAAAAUGGGAGAGACAAAUGUUAAUACCAUAACUGGUAGUGCAAAAUUGAUUGAACGCUCCGGAAUAGCCUCUCUAUUUCUUCAUGAAGGGACUAAAAUUGUCGUAAAUAAUGCACUACUGUCUCCCAAGUCUCGGAGAAAUUUAUUGAGUUUUAAAGAUAUCUGCGAAAAUGAAUACUAUAUAGGGAUAAUGACUGAGACAAAUGGAGAAUUUUUAUUAAUCACAAGUAUCAUUUCUGGGCAGAAAUGCGUAGUAGAAAAAUUACCUUCUUUUUCUUCUAGCUUAUAUUAUGCACAAAUUAGUGCAAUUGAAAUUUAUCACCUAGUAGACCAGAAGUCUACUCAUCCCAAUAAUUUUAUGAUUUGGCAUGAUCGUCUCGAAAAUACUGAAUCUAUAAUGAUGAGACGAAUAAUCAAGAAUUUACAUGGUCACUCAUUGAAAAAUUAAAAGAUAUUAAAAGCAAAUGAAUUCUCCUGUGUUGCUUGUUCCCACGGAAAAUUAAUUAUUAGACCAUCACCAGUUAAAGUUGGGACUGAAUUCCCUACAUUUCUAGAACGAAUUCAUAGUGAUAUAUGUGGACUCGUAGAUCCACCAUGUGGACCAUUUCGAUAUUUUAUGGUGCUAAUUGAUGCAUCAACUAGAUGGUCACAUGUAUUUUUAUUAUCUACUCGCAACUUGAUAUUUGCGAGAUUGCUUGCUCAAAUAAUUAAAUUGCGAGCACAAUUUUCAGACUAUCUAAUAAAGAAAAUUCAUUUAGAUAAUGCUGGUAAAUAUUCGUCACAUGCUUUUGACAAUUAUUGCAUAUCUAUUGGAAUAACUAUUGAACAUCUUGUAACUUAUGUUCACACACAAAAUGGUCUAGCCGAAUCAUUUAUUAAAUGGUUACAAUUAAUUGCUAGACCAUUGUUGAUGAGGUCUAAACUUCCUUCAUCUGCUUGGGAAUAUGCUAUAUUAUAUACAGCAAUACUUGUGAGAAUUAGACCGACAAGUUAUCAUACUUAUUUUCCUCUAUAAUUAACUUUUGGUUAUAAGUCAAAUAUUUCUCAUUUACGAAUAUUUGGUUGUUCGGUUUAUGUUCGAAUUGCACGGCCCCAAUGUCGUAAAUUGGGUCCACAAAGAAGAUUGGGGAUAUAUGUCGGAUAUAAAAUCACCUUUAAUUAUUAAGUAUAUGGAACCAUUGACAGGUGAUUUAUUUACUGCAAGAUUUGCAGAUUGUCAUUCUAAUGAAUCACAUUUUUCGACAUUAGGGGGAGAUAAAAAUCAAUCGAAAAAGAAAAUCACUUGAAAAAUAUCAUUCAAUUUUCUCGAUUCUCGUACCAAAGAAUGUAAACUAGAAGUUCAAAGGAUUAUACAUUUGCAAAAAAUUACAAAUCAACUACUGGACGUAUUUAAUGACUCCAGAAGAGUUAUUAAAUCACAUAUUUUUAUUGAAAAUACUCCGAUUAAAAUUAAUGUCCUUGAAGGACAAAUUACAAGUGUUAAUGAGUGUAAAGUGCGCCUGAAGCGUGGGAGACCUCUUGGUUCUAAAGAUAAAAAUUCUCGAAAGAAAAGAGAAAUUGAUGAAUCAACAAUUAGUGACAAAAUUCAACCUCCUGAAGAAGUCGCUCCUAAAGAGCCAAUUCUUGAAGAUAAUGAAAUUAUAGAAAAUUCAAUAAAUUUUGUCGCUUCAGGAAAAAGUUGGAACAAAAAAAAAUUAUUAAUAGUAUUUUUGCAUAUAAUGUAGCACUUGUUAUUAUGGUAGGUAAUGAAGAUCGUGAGCAUAGAUCGGUUGAUGAAUGUCGACGUAGAAAUGAUUGGCCAAAAUGGAAAGAUGCGAUUCAAUCUGAAUUGGACUUACUAGCUACAAGAAAAGUUUUUGGGCCUGUAGUCCAAACACCUGAAGGUGUAAAGUCAGUAGGAUAUAAAUGGGCAUUUGUGAGAAAAAGAAAUGAGAAAAAUGAAAUCGUGAGGUAUAAAGCAAGACUUGCAACCCAAGGAUUUUCACAAAGGCCUGGAUUUGAUUAUGAUUACACGUAUUCACCUGUAGUGGAUGCUAUCACAUUUAGAUAUCUUGUGAGUUUUGCAGGACAUGAAAAAUCAGAUAUGCAUCUAAUGGACGUCGUUACUGUAUAUUUAUAUGAAAAUUUUGAAAAUGAUAUUUAAACGAGAAUCCCUGAAGGAUUCAACAUGCCUGAAGCAUGCAAAUCAAAUUUUAAAGAUAUUUAUACUAUUAAAUUACAAAGGUAUUUGUAUGGGUUCAAACAAUCUGGACGUAUGUGGUACCGCCUCAAUGAAUGUUUAACUAAAGAAGGCUAUACCAAUAAUCUAAUACAUCCAUGUGUCUUUAUCAAGAAAAAUGGACUAAUUUUAUGAUAAUUGUUGUCUAUGUUGAUAAUCUUAAUCUGAUUGGAACUCUUGAAGAGAUUCAAAAUAGUGUUGAAUAUUUGAAGAAGAAGUUUGAAAUCAAAGAUUUUGGAAAAACAAAAUUCUACAUUGAUUUACAAAUUGAGUGAUAGGUUGCAAUUUUAUCAUUUAUUUUAUUAUUAAUUUUCCCUAUUACUUAACCCAAUGUGAAUUAAUUAUUAGAUUCUACUCACUUUUAGUAUUUUACAUAUAUUUCAGGGAGUAGAACGAAAAUACCAUAAUAAGUGCCGAUUUGACAGUUAUCAGGAAAGAGUUCAAGUAGCAGGCAUCCAGGGCAUUUUUGGAACAAGGAGAUACAAGUCCUUUUUGGUAAUUCGCAGAGCGCAGCAUUAAAAGGAGGAACGAAGGGCUGAAGUAGGGAGUCUUCUUCCCCCUGGGAGGAACCGCCGCACAGCAGAGGGCUGUCUGGUCCUCUUAGUUUUUCCGUUUCUUUAGUUUUAGCUUCGGAUUUUGACUUUUCUUCUCGUAGGAAUUUUGGGUAGCCUUGAGCUUAGCAACUUUUGUUGACCCUUUUUUGGCCUUUUAGCUAGUUUGUUCUUACGCAUGGAAGAUGGCUGAAUAGCUGAGGCUUGUUCUUUGUUUUUCUUUGACUUUUCCUUUUGGUUUGCUUCCUGCGGACGCCCAGACCGAAGGAAAACUAUGAAGUCCCUUUUGUAGCUUUCUCUCUUUAUUAAAUAGACGAAUUGAAUUCCCUCAACUUGCGAAUUGAUGGCCGCAGCUUUUGCUUCAAUUUCUUGUGGGUUUAGUUCAUUAAUUAUGAACUAAUUCUACAAUUCUAGUCAAGGGGACAACUGACGAUUUGGUUCGACAAUUACUGUGAGAUCGAAUCUGUUUUAAUUAUUUUCUUCAUUUAUUGGUAUUUAUAUGUUCCUUGAUUUUAAUUGCUAUGGCCUUGUGUAUGAUUGAUUAGUGCGCAAUAAUUAAUUAUUCAUAUAGGCUAUUUUGCUAAAUAGAGGUAAUUGAAUCCGUAAUUGUUCGUUAUCUCUAUCUUAGUAGCAACUGGCGUAAUUGGGUUUAUGUCAGGGGAGCAUAUGAUCUAGCUUAAACAAACCCUCGUAGCGUGUUUGUUGGUUAGGAUUGGGCCUUUCUAAUUAUUAAUGCAAUCUAGAAAUUAAAUCUUACGGUCGUACCUAGGGUUGUUUUUGGGUUAGAGAAAUAGCUAACGGUCGUACCUUAGCUAUCGAUAAAUUAAGGAAGGGUUGGUUGUUUAUCGCGUGCAUGACAACUAUAACCAAUCUAUUAAUAAAUGUUGGGAUUAUUUUUGCAUCAAUGAUCAGUGCAUGAACCAUUUCUGAAGUAUACCCUUGGCUAGAGUUUCUCUUAGUUAUUUCUUUUAAUUAAUUAUUUUCUGCAGUUAAUUUAUUUAGUUAGCAUUUAAUCCAAAACCCCCCAUACUUUGGACUCUAAAAGAAACAAUUACUCCCAGUCCCUGUGGAUUCGACCCUGCUCACCGCUAUCUACAGAAAUCACUUUUAGUUUGAGCAGGUAUUUAUUAUUGCACAGGCUUCGACGACCUGUCAAUCUUUGGCGCCGUUGCCGGGGACUGGUGCCAGAUUAAAUUGUUUCUUUUUGAGUUUAUCUUGUUUUCAUUUUUUUAAUUUAUUUUUCUCUUAUUUUUUAUUAUUAUUAUUAUUUUUUUUAUGGCUGCUAACAUUCCAUAUUUUGAUGAUAGACUGGAUUUUGUUCCUGAAUGGGGUUAUGAGACUCAUGUUUUUCCUAACGAUCAAUGGGCUGUUGCAAAUUGUGGAACUUAUUUUGACUCAAGUUAUUCAACUGACACAUGCCCCGUAUUUCAAGAUAAUUUAAGUUCUCCACUUGAUACUUUUGGAGAUUUUUCACCCCAAUAUCAAACGUGGUAUGACCCUUAUUCAAACGGGUAUGAUCAAGGAUGGUGGGAUAAUUCCAAUUUUGAUUAUGCGACCGGGCCAAUGGAUUUUCAACAGCAAGAGUCUCAGCAAUCAUCCUCCGUGUCAGGUAUGUCUCUUGAAGAAAUGAUAGGUUUACUAAUUGCUAAUUCAAAUCGAUUUCAUCAGGAGACACAAGCGAGCCUAAAUCGAUUUCAUCAGAGGACACAAGCGAGCUGUCGCGACCUGGCGGAUCAACUGCGUCAAUUGACAGCCAGGAUGCAGCGAUUAGAGGCUCACCUUGAAGAAUUGCCCUCGCAAACCAAUAUCAAUCUUGAGGAAGAUGAGAGUGCAAUUGUCCGGGCAAAUGACAUGGAACUGCAAGAGUUUCAAGAAAACGGAUUUAAAGAUGCAGUUGAAAAGGAAGCUGAAGUGCAAGAAAUGAGACUCCAAGAUCAACUCGUUCAAGUGAAUGAAUCCAGUGAACAAUCUCCAAAUGCGGUGACAUCUUCUCCACUCCUUAAUCAAUAUUUUCCUGGCUCCUAUUCUUCAACUCCUGUUACUGAAAUUGAUUUUAUUAUACCAGAAAAUUUAAAAUUUCAUGACAGGAAUAAGUUAAGAGUGGAGAUGGCAAAAUAUCUUGAACCAAUGAAUGCGUGUGAUGGAGGAGUGAGUGGAGAAUGCAGAUCAUUGUUGACUUGUUUAGCGCCAUUUACUAGUCCAUGGAAGCCCGUAACUCGUGUGCCCAAGAAUUACUCCAUCUAUGAGGGUUACCAGGAUCACGUUGAAGAUGAAGCAUUGAAGCGAGCCACAAGAUUUUAUCCUCCAUGAGCAAAACAUGAUAAUGUCUAGCCAAAGACAUUAAAGAAAGGCGCUCAUUGGGAGGCAACCCAAUUUCUUUUAGUUGUUUGUUUGAUUUUAUUUGUUAGUUUAAAUCUGUCUUCCUUGAAUUUGACUGAUUUUGGGUGUUAAUUUUCGUUUUUACUGAUUUGUAGGUGACCUUCAGUCAUGACGCGCCCGCGUGGUGACGUGCAGGAAGCUCACGAUCAGAAACUUCUGGGAGCUCUCUUACCCUCAUGACGUGCCCGCGUCAAGUCACCUGGAGAGUUCCAGAUUCCGUGCCUUCAUGGUGUGCCCACGUCACGUUCACGGGAGAGAUAAGUAUUUAAAAAAAAAAUUCAAAAACGAUUGUUGAUUGUUGGUUAUCUCUGCUUUUGAAUCUCGAAAAUAAAAUUUGCUAAUGAAAAUAAAUUUCAAAAAAAUAAAAAAAAAUUUUUUAAAAAAAAAAAUUUAAAUUUUUGUUUCACGGUAGCUUAGAUUUUCAAAUCCUAAAAAAAAAAAAAAACACAGAAACUCUUUCUUAUCAACGUAGCUUUAGUGUCAAAUAUUUUAAAAAAAAAAAAGUCUCAAAUGAAAAAAAAAAAGGGCUUUUCUUUUUCUUUCUUUUCUUUCUUUCUUCUUCUUUCUCUUUUCUGUCUUCCUUCUCCCCUGUUUCUUCUUCCUCUCUGUUGACCGAAGCCCUCUGUCCGCCGCCGCUGCUGAAGCGCCCUCAGCCGUCGCGCAGCAGCUCCUCACUCGAAGACGCCGCGGCCACAGCACCUCUGCACGCGGCCUCCACCUCUCCAUCGCGCGCCGUCAAGAGCUCCGCCGACCCACGACGCGCGAGGCACCAGCUCGCGCGCCUCCCCCACCUAGCAACUGCUGGCCGACCAGCCCCACCACCAGCCCGCGCCGCACCUGCUGGCCGACCUAUCAACUCCUAAGCUCGCGAACCUCCUCAGCUCAGCUCCACCAGCGAGCUGCUCCUCGCUCACUCCAUCGCGUGAAGACCAGGCGAGCACGGCCCGCAGCCUCUCACCGCCACUGCGCACCUCUGACCAGCUCGCAGCACCUCUCUCUGCCCUCCGUGCGCUGCCCGCGCGUGGCACCAGCGCCUCCACAGCUCGUCGACGAAGCCCAAGCUGACAGACCACGCCGCUCGUCCACUUCCACCACUCGCGACGCACAGAUCAGCGCUGCCGUUGGUUGCCCAACCUCCCUGGUGCCAGGUUUUUCUUACUAAUUUUGUGGUCUACGAUUCCAAUUUCUUGAUGAUGGGAUUUUUGAUGAUUACGAUUUCAUUGAGUAAAUUUGAUUGGCUUGCAUCUGUGUUACUGGAGCCCGUGGGUUGGGUUAUGACCUGCAACUGAUUUGCCUAGUCUAAUAUAAUUGUCAUUUGUUUGGGCUCUUGAAGUACUGUCUAGUGUUGUUUGUAUUUCUUAGUGAAUUGAGUUUGCCGUUUGAUUUCAUUCUUCCCUGUGCGUACACCAGUGGUACUGGUUGUGGUAGUUGCCUAACAUUUAUUCAUUCUCAUUGGUGUGGCUGUUGGGAUUGAAAGCUCAGAACUUGUGACUAAGUUGUUAUUGCCUAAAUGCUGACCUGCUAUUACUAGACUUGCUGAUUUCUUGGGAGCAUUUGUUGGGAUUUUGGGUGGAUAUUAGCAAGUGGUAUAUUGCUUGAUUUUUUUUACCUGUGCCUUGCUUGGAGUUUCUAGUGCAUGUUUGGGGCUGCCUUGGGAGUUAUUUGCCACAAUUGAUUGCCGUUUUGGUUUCUUCUGUUUCUGGUACUGCUUGUGCUGAUGGAUUUAUCAGUGUUUUGGGCGGCUUAUUUGAAUUGCUUCUUCCCUGUGUGUUUGGUCAGCUGUUUGCUUGAAAACCCAAACCCUUGUGCUUAUAUUUGCUCCCAGUUGAGUUAUGUGUUGGACUUUCCAAUUGGUGACAACUUUUGGGCUUUAGGGGUGAGUUCAUUUUGUCAUUAUUUGCUACCUUGUUGGGGUCAUUUUUGGUUUCACCUGAGUCUAUUGUCCUGCCUUCUGUUUUGAGUCCAUUGGAGUGACGUGAGUUGAGUAAUUUCUGCUUUUGUUUGUUGAUUUGGAAGGCUACUGUGCCACUUUCAUUGCUUAUUGCUUAGUGAUUAUGUCUAAUUAACAAUGUGCAUAGCAUGGCGCAGAAUUUGGCAGCAUUCAUGUAGCAUGCCGGUCUUAUACCUCAAUUGGGUACCUCUAUUUGGUUGGCUGCGUUCUUAUUGUCCAAUAUCUAUGCUGUUUUCAAUGGAAUUGCUGAUCUUGGGUUAAGACUUUAGCUGGCCAACUGGAGCCAUUUGUUGAGAUUUUGGGUGAACUGCAAUACUGCACUCGUUUGUUCAAUUGGGAGGUUUCUUUUGGUAUUCUGGUUGAGUUAUUUCUAAAGUUGCCUGAUGAAUUGAGAGACAUAGAUGGCUAUUGCUCUGCCCUGAUAUUGCUUGGUUGCCAGUGCGCAUUCUCUAUGCCAAGUGGCAAGGAUGUCUCAGAACUCGGCUUCCCUCCACUGUUCCCUCCUAUCCCUUAGCUGUUCAGCAGGGAAGUCUCGUUAUCCUCUUCGCUUUAAUUAUUUUAUUACCUCCAUUGAGGACAAUGUAGGAUUUAGGUGUGGGGGGAGCAGUUAUGGUGCUAGUGUCUUUCGUUCAUUUUCUUUUUCUUCUUUUUAGUGAUUGGCUCGUAAGUGCAUGCCAAGGUUUGAUGUUGGAUUAUUGCCUCUAUUUCUACUUUUGCCAAGUUUUAAUAAUAAAAGGGUAUCAAGUUAAUGUGGUUGAAUCCAAAAACAUCUCUUUGGUGAAUAUCAAUAAUUGUUUUACUCUUAUAAUUUUUUGGUUAACUUUCCUAGGCAUAGGGAAUGAUUAUUGGCAUUUUUAGUGAAUUGGUCCGGUUAUUAACCUUAGUUCUCCAUGUUUGAAAAUGAGGCUAGCUGAUGCAAGUUUUCUUUUGGUUCUUGUGUUAUAUUGAGUUUUUGUGAUUUUUAGCUCUGAAUAAACUUGACUGUACUCCGCUAUUAGUUACUACUGAGUAACCGGGGAUCUGCACCUAAAAGUGUUGAUUCUCGCGUCAAAAGAUAGUAGUUCCUAUGAGUACGUGGUCACGUGGCGAUAGAAGCUGAGUAACCGGGCUCCUUCAUCUGGCCAAUGUUGGAAUUCGCGUCAAAAGGCUCUAAUGGCUAGCGACUAAGUCUUUUGUUACUAUUGAAAAAAAACGAGAAAGAAGAAGAAGAAAAAAAAAAGAAAAAAAAGAGAAAAGUAGAAAAAUGUGAAAGAAAAAGUGAAUGCUGUGUUAGUGUAUAAUAAAAGUCAGCUUGCCGAUUUAUGGAUUUAAUGUUGAGAUUUUGGUUAAUAGUUGGACCAUUUGCUGAUAACUGUUAUGCGUCAUUCCUUUUUCUUAGAUUGGUUAACAUGAAAUUAGAGGAAUUUAUGGUUUAGAAGCUAACCGGAGUGAUGUUUCUUGGACUAGACCAUUGAUGCUUGAUUAUUAUAUUUUCUUGGUAUCUUGGCAAUAUGGUAGAUGGAGUAAUAGCCAUUGGCAAGUGUUGGUGUUUAUUUGCUGUUCUCAUGCUUGAGGACAAGCAUGGUUUAGGUGUGGGGGGAAUUGAUAGGUUGCAAUUUUAUCAUUUAUUUUAUUAUUAAUUUUCCCUAUUACUUAACCCAAUGUGAAUUAAUUAUUAGAUUCUACUCACUUUUAGUAUUUUACAUAUAUUUCAGGGAGUAGAACGAAAAUACCAUAAUAAGUGUCCGAUUUGACAGUUAUCAGGAAAGAGUUCAAGUAGCAGGCAUCCAGGGCAUUUUUGGAACAAGGAGAUACAAGUCCUUUUUGGUAAUUCGCAGAGCAGCAGCAUUAAAAGGAGGAACGAAGGGCUGAAGUAGGGUCUUCUUCCGCCUGGGAGGAACCGCCGCACAGCAGAGGGCUGUCUGGUCCUCUUAGUUUUUCCGUUUCUUUAGUUUUAGCUUAGGAUUUUGACUUUUCUUCUCGUAGGAAUUUUGGGUAGCCUUUAGCUUAGCAACUUUUGUUGACCCUUUUUUGGCCUUUUAGCUAGUUUGUUCUUACGCAUGGAAGAUGGCUGAAUAGCUGAGGCUUGUUCUUUGUUUUUCUUUGACUUUUCCUUUUGGUUUGCUUCCUGCGGACGCCCAGACCGAAGGAAAACUAUGAAGUCCCUUUUGUAGCUUUCUCUCUUUAUUAAAUAGACGAAUUGAAUUCCUUCAACUUGCGAAUUGAUGGCCGCAGCUUUUGCUUCAAUUUCUUGUGGGUUUAGUUCAUUAAUUAUGAACUAAUUCUACAAUUCUAGUCAAGGGGACAACUGACGAUUUGGUUCGACAAUUACUGUGAGAUCGAAUCUGUUUUAAUUAUUUUCUUCAUUUAUUGGUAUUUAUAUGUUCCUUGAUUUUAAUUGCUAUGGCCUUGUGUAUGAUUGAUUAGUGCGCAAUAAUUAAUUAUUCAUAUAGGCUAUUUUUUGCUAAAUAGGGGUAAUUGAACCCGUAAUUGUUCGUUAUCUCUACCUCAGUAGCAACUGGCGUAAUUGGGUUUAUGUCAGGGGAGCAUAUGAUCUAGCUUAAACAAACCCUCGUAGCGUGUUUGUUGGUUAGGAUUGGGCCUUUCUAAUUAUUAAUGCAAUCUAGAAAUUAAAUCUUACGGUCGUACCUAGGGUUGUUUUUGGGUUAGAGAAAUAGCUAACGGUCGUACCUUAGCUAUCGAUAAAUUAAGGAAGGGUUGGUUGUUUAUCGCGUGCAGGACAACUAUAACCAAUCUAUUAAUAAAUGUUGGGAUUAUUUUUGCAUCAAUGAUCAGUGCAUGAACCAUUUCUGAAGUAUACCCUUGGCUAGAGUUUCUCUUAGUUAUUUCUUUUAAUUAAUUAUUUUCUGCAGUUAAUUUAUUUAGUUAGCAUUUAAUCCAAAACCCCCCAUACUUUGGACUCUAAAAGAAACAAUUACUCCCAGUCCCUGUGGAUUCGACCCUGCUCACCGCUAUCUACAGAAUUAAUUUUAGUUUGAGCAGGUUUUAUUAUUGUACAGGCUUCGACAACCUGUCAUUGAGCAUUUGAAAAGUGAAAUUUUUGUCCACCAAACUGCUUAUACCCGGAAGGUAUUAAAGUAGUUUUAUAUGGAUAAGGCAUAUACAUUAAGUACCCCAAUGGUCAGAUCAUUAGAUCCUAAUAAGGACCCUUUUAGACCGCGAGAGGAAGUUGAAGAGAUACUUGGUCCUAAAGUACCAUAUCUCAGUGCAAUUAGUGCACUAAUGUAUCUUGCUAAUUGUACAAGACCUGAUAUAUCAUUUGCAAUAAAUUUAUUAGCAAGAUUUAGUUCUCGCUCACAAGACGACAUUGGAAUAGUAUUAAACAUAUUUUUUGUUAUCUCCAAGGAUCAAUUGAUCUUGGCUUAUUUUAUUCAAAUAAAUCUAAACUUGAAUUGUUUGGUUAUGUUGAUGCUGGAUAUUUAUUUGGCCCACAUAAAGUAAGAUCUCAGACUGGUUAUCUAUUUACAUAUGGAGGUACAACCAUUUCUUGGCGAUCUACAAAGCAAUCAUUAGCUGCCAUUUCAUCGAAUCAUGCUGAAAUAAUAGCAAUUCAUGAAAUUAGUUGAGAAUGUGUUUGGUUAAAAUCAAUGACCCACUAUAUCCGGAAAAGUUGUGGGUUAUCCUCCGAAAAAGAAAAUCCUUCAACUAUAUUAUAUAAAGAUAAUGCAGCUUGUAUAACUCAAUUGAAAGGAUGAUAUAUUAAAAGAGAUAGAACGAAAUAUAUUUCACCAAAAUUCUUUUUUACUCAUGAUUUACAAAAGAAUGGUGAAAUUGAUGUGCAACAAAUCUGAUCAGAUAAUAAUUUGACAGAUUUAUUUACCAAUGCAUUGCCAACUGCAAUAUUUAAGAAAUUGGUGAAGAAUAUUGGAAUGCGACGACUAUAAGAUCUCAAAUGAUAUUUGCAUCCGGGGGAACAAUCAAUACACAAGAAUAGUGUACUCUUUUUCCUUCAUUAAGGUUUUUAUCCCGUUGGAUUUUUUCCUAGUAAGGUUUUAAUGAGACACAUUCUUUGUGUAAUGGACAUCCAAUGGGGAGUGUUAUGAAACAACUAAAAAUGUGGAUGCCCAUUUGUAUUCUCAAGAAGAUCAAUUCAUAAUUCAUUGCUUCCAAAAGGAUUAAUUCAUAAUUCAUUGCUACAUUAUAUAAAGGAAUUACAUUGGAUGAACGGUUUCAAUCCAUAAGAGCUAUUCAUGUAUUGGAUGAACCAUUUCAUAUGGUUAUUUAUGUUCUUGUAGUAAUGAGUGUUUAAUAGAAUUGAUGUACCUUUAAUUUUGUAGUACCUAUAUAUAGAGGUACCUUGGCACCUCUUGGAUGUACUUUUUGAUUAGUUGGAAUAAUAAAAAAAUCAUUCUCCAUUUCUGUACUUUUUUUUCUAAUAUUUUAAUUCCUAUUAUAGUAGUUCAUUUUUUUUUUAGUUUUACAACAUUACUCAAAGAAGAGGGUUAUUGGACUAUAUGUUUAUUGACCUCUACUAGGGAUGACAAUGGGGGCGGGUGACGGCAAUGGGGGCGGGUGACCGCGGGCACCCGUCCCGCGGGGGGCUAAUGGGGAGAGGGAUGGGGCCGGGGCGGGGGGUAGGGGAGUGUACCCCCGCCCCAUCCCCCGUCCCGCUACCCGCUUUAAAAAAAUAAAUAUAUAAAAUAUAUAUAGGUAUAUAAUUAUAUAUAUAAUAUAUAAUUUAAUUGGUUACAAACUUAUGAUAAUAAUAUUAUUAGUUAUAUGUAUUAUAUGAUGUCUAUUAGUAUAAAUAAUAUAAUUGAUAUUAUUAAUUAUACUAAUAAUUAUAUAUGUGUACUCAUACAAAUUAUUAAUUGGUUAUACUAAAUUUACUAAUACAUUUAUACUAAAUCCCUAAUUACACUUAAUACAAUAACAUUAUUUUCAUAAAAAAAACACAACCACAAUAAUGAAUUAGUGAUUGUAUUUGUACCAAAAGUGAAAAUUUGAUUACUUUAGUUAUAUUUUUUUCAUCAUGUUGGAUUGUAUUCAAAUAAUUUUUGUUUGAUUGUUUUUAUAAGUUUCAAUUGUAAAAUUGCAAUGAAUAAUAAUUUGAUGAUGUGUUGAUAUUUUAGUACUUGAUUAUUUGCUAAAAUUUAAUCAUAAUAAAAUUAUAUAACAAAUUUUUAUUAGCUCAGCGGGAGCACCCGCCGGAGAAGCGGGGCAGGGUGGGGACGGGGCGAGGGAAGCGGGGGAUGGGGGAGGGGUCCCCCGCCCCAACCCUCUUCCCCAUCUCCCGCCCCGUUGCCAUCCCUAACCUCUACUAACUUAUUUAAGGUCAUUUUAUAUCACUAUCCAAAGAAGAAUUAAGGUCAUUUUAUAUCACUAUCCAAAGAACAAUUCUUGGGCGUUAACAUUUUUCUUACAUGCCAAGACUAUUAAUGAAAGUUGACCCAAAUCUCUCUCUCUCUUUCUCUCAAUUCUUAGGACUGAUGCCAAUUCUUACCAUUUAGAAAGAAAAAUUAGAUUGUUUAUAUAUAUGAUGAGUUCCCUCUAAGUCAUGGUUAAGAAAAAUUCUUAGUUAGACGCAGUUUUAUGAAAUGUGAAUUUCCUUUUCUUUGUCUUUAUUCGUUAGUAUUAUUGGGGUUAUUGUAUUAUGAUUGCAAUGCACAGAUACAUGGAUUUUUGACAUUUUUUUCUCAUUUUUUCUUUUUAAUUGACUCUGACUAUGUCUCAAACUCGAGACAUCAAACCUGGAGAAGACUUUUGUCCAAAAUGCUUGUAAAAAUUCAGAAGAAUAAUGUUGGACCUUAUUAUUUAAUAAUGGUGCAAUUAUGAGAGUCAUUCCUGGUUUAAUUAUCAACAUCAUGUCAUUAUUAUUUUUUUGUUUCAUAGAAAAAUAAAGUAUUCUCCGACUCGACAUUAUCAUAUUAUUUUCAAUUGGCAGCUUUAAGUGAGAAAGGCCGGUGAAAAUUUUGGGCAUUACUAGUUUAUUUAGGCCUCACGCGCUCCGUGAAGGUGCCGACGUCAUCUUCGUUUUAAUGGAAAAAUUUGAGCGCGCUUUGAUCAUAAGGAAUUCACAAUCAUCGGGCCAACAAAGAAAGCACUAAAUGGUUAAAACAAACCAUGCAAAUUUGCUCAGCACUUAAACAAUAGACUCCUAAACCGACCAUUUUACUGUCUUGCCAAAAAAGGGCAUUAAAGUAAAAACAACCCAUGCCUAACACAACUAACAAACUUCAGCACCUUCACUUCACUGCCACGUCAUCAACAACAUCUGUAAAUUUCCAAGGAAGUCCACGCACUAAAGGUGCCAUGGGGGACCUCAGGUUAGUGUUCUUAACAUCAACUCCUGUCUUUAUAUUCUUAGGAAAUAUUGAAAUUAAACAUUAUAACUAAUCCUGAUUUCCUUAUGCUGUAUUUGUACACAAUUUGGCAACUUGAUAAAAAGUUUGUUCCAAUUUAUUCCAAUUUAAUUUGUCAGCUAGUCGAAUCUAAUUUGAAUAGUAUUUAACUUUGAAAUUUGAUAAAAAGUUUGUUCAAACUUGGUUUACUAAAUAAACAAGUUAAGUUUGAACAAAAUUUCAAACUUAUUAAAAUAAUUAAAUACGUUUGAAUACUAGGGUAUUCAAUUUAAUUAGACUCGUUUGCACCCAUAAUUAAAGCAUGCACUUUUUUAUAAAUUUAGGAAUCAACAUUAUCUAUUUGAUAGCUAGCUAAUGGCCCAAAAAGUUAAUUGCCUUAAAUUCUUUUAGCAGCCAUAAAGUAUAGUUGGAGGGAUUCCCUUGAAAUUGAUUAGAUUCUUCUAUGUGACUGUGACGUAUUACUAGUCCUACCCAAAAAAAAAUGGUAUUACUAGUCCUUUUUUCUUUUUGUGGCGUGCCACCGCCGUAGGGGGCGGGGAGGGCAGUCAGUGCGAGAAUUCUAGAUGGGGUAGAAGUAGCCAAAGUUCACCUUAUUCAAAGUAAACAACCGACAAUCUCAGUUGUCGACUUUCCUGUCGAUUGCGUAUAUAUUACUAUCUUUUACCAUGACUUUAGAGGAUACCUAAUUUUGCUUGCUAUUAAAUAAUAAUUCCUGGCACCACAUAAUUCUUUCAAGAACUACCAAAACCUUCUUGAAAUCCCUCUUUUUCCUUUUAGUUCAUUUCCAAGAAACAAAUUGAACCAUCAUGGCCCCUGUCACUUCCAGUUAUGAGGUCACCUCCUCAAUCCCUCCUGCAAGGUUGUUCAAGGCCACCAUCCUUGAAGAGAAGCAUCUUCACAAGAUCUUGCCACAGGGCGUUAAGAGUGUCGAAAUCCUUGAAGGAGAUGGUGGAGUUGGCACAAUUAAGUUGACCACAUUUGUUGAAGGUAAGAUAUCAAUACAAAGUGAUUAUUUUCACACAUUUGAAGUCCUCAAAAUGUUCUUUUUUUUUUUUAACAUUUUAUUUGUGGGGGUAAGUAUGUAUGUAAGCCCUAAUAACCUUUUUUUUUUUGUUGGGUUAAAUAUUUAGGUGGCGAGCUUAAGACUGCCAAACAGAGAGUUGAUGGAAUUGACAAAGAAAAAUUUACAUACAGUUAUACUGUACUUGAAGCUGAUGGAUUUAACGAUGUAAUCGAGAAAAUCUGUUGUGUCAUCAAAUUUGAACCCUCUGCUGAUGGAGGUUCAAUCUGCAAAACCACUAAUACAUACUACCCCAAAGGUGGUGCUCAGAUCAGUGAGGAACACCUCAAGGGAGGAAAAGAGAAGGGUUUGGGAAUGGUUAAGGCUGUUGAGGCUUACCUCCACGCAAAUCCUACUGCCUACAACUAAUUAAAAUGAAUGCUACUGAAGGACUCUUCGACAUAUUUUCUUCAAGAUUGAAGUAUAAACUGAGGGUGUCUGUUUCCUUUUUUGCUUGGUUUGCUUAAGCUGUUUGGUUAAGUUAUUCGCAGCAAGAGAAUAAAAUAAUUCACUUGCUGUUUUUAGAUAUGAAUUCAUGACUGUCAGUAGUCUAUAAAUACACUUAUUGCUCACCGCUCUUUGCACCGCAAAAUCUUUUCAAGAUCCAUCAAACCCUCCUGUUCUUGAUCUUUCUCCAUUUGUGAAAAAACAAAUUAAAGCAUCAUGGCCCCGAUCACUUGUAGUGCUGAGAUGACCUCCCCAAUGCCUCCUGCAAGGUUGUUCGAGGCCGCCAUCCUUGAUGACCACCUUCUUCCCAAGAUCAUGCCACAGGCUAUUAAGAGUGUGGAAAUCCUUGAAGGAGAUGGUGGAGUUUGAACCAUUAAUUUGAGCACAUUUGGUGAAGGUUAGAUGUUAUAUUAAAUGUAGAACCCCAAAUUUAAGGAUCGAAUAAUAAUCAACGCAUGUGGGGUUAUAGAAUUGAAGGGAUAAAACAAAUACUCAAAAUAUACGUGAAAGAAAAGAAAAUAAUAAAUUCAACUUACAAUAUUAUUAAAUUUUCAAACAAUGGAAAAAAUCAUACCACAAUAAAUUCAGCUGGUUCUAAUAAUAAUCAAAGCAUACAAGGUUACAGAAUUAAAAGGAUAAAACAAACGCUCAAAAUAUAUGUGGGAGAGAAGAAAAUAAUCAAUUCAACACACAAUAUUAUUGAAAUCUCAAACAAUGAAAAAAGUCACACCAUAAUAGAAAACCUUGCUUAUUCUUCUAGAUUCUUUCUCUUGAGAGACCAACCUAAAUAAUGUCCUAUUUAUAAUCUACCAAACUUGUUAAGAAAGAAACCACUUGCAUAAGAAAUUACGAAAUAAAUUAGAAAUUCCUAAAUCACACAACUACUAAAAACAUAACUCAAAUAAAACUAAAAAAUAAAUAAAUAUUUCUAGGCUUAGUUUAAUUUGUCAACAUUGCCUCCCUUAAACCAAAUUAUUCAUUGAGAUAGGUUCAACACCAUCUCGAGCAAUAAUUUCUAUGCAAAUCUAUGUUGUAGUACAUUUGACAUGAAACUCUAACUUGUUACCAGUUAUUAAUUUCAUUUUUACACGUAACAAUGGACGCACUAUAUAUUUUGUAAAAAAUUUCUCAGCAAUUUCUUCUUGAUCAAAGUACUCAUUUAUACAAACCCAUUCGUCACCAGAAUCACCAUAUUUACCACCAAUGUAAGUGCCUAAAAUUAAAAAAUCAUAGGUUGCUUUCUCGCUAAAGUUAUCAUCACCAAAUAAUUCAAAAUAACCACUACUACAAUUAUCCAAAAUUUUCAUACUGUCAGUCAACUCUUUUGGAGUAAAAUAUUUUUCAACUCCGAUGACAUCCAUAUCUAUCAAAUCAAACAUUCUCCCAUCACUUUGAAGAGAGUCCGAACCAACAAAUUUUUCAACAACAAUUUCAUGUUCUCUUCUUUUAUCAAAUCAAAAUUUUCUUCUUCUUUUGUCAAAUUACCAUAUUAUUUUUUUCAACAAAUUCAUUACUUCUAAUUUCUCCAAACAAGGUAUGCAAAUCAAAACUAUCAAUUGAUUCAAAAUUUUCGAUAUCACCCAUAUUAUGAACAAAUCUAUCAUUUUUAAAAUCCACAAACCAAUACCAACAACUAGACUUCAGUUUGAAAGCAUAAUUUCUCUCAAUCAUGUGCAAAACAUAGUAAAUAUCCUUCCAAAAUCUCUAAAGUAUUUUAGUAUGACCAAUAAAGGUUCUAUAAAUACUUUCUGCCAUUAUUUUACGCAUCACUUGAAAGAAUAAUUGUGCCUUUUUCUUAAAAACAUGUUUUGACAACUUACUUGCAUCAACCCAACAAAGAAUAUCAUCCAAAUUGCAUUGCUUGACAUAUUUUUCCACUGUUAAAAUCCAAUUAAAAUAUGUAUGUCUAUUUGUGCUUAUAGGAGUCAAUAUGAAAAAUUUUUCACCGUCAAUUAGAUCUUUAUAAUAUUCCAUUAUUUAACAAUUUCUAUACCUGAAUAAAUUUUUUUCCUCCAUCCUGUCAUGUUUUCUUGGCCUCCCUGGUUGACUAACCAAAUUAUUGUUGUAUGUAUACCCAUGCUCGUCAAACCUCAUUCGUGUACACUCGUAAGGAGUGGUUCUGAGCUUAUUGUGAAUGCUUAGUACCAAGAAGUAGAAGAGAGAAUGCAUAAGAGAGAAUUAACUUGGCUAAAGAAUUAGGAAACAAUUGAGGGAUUUUUUAAGAAAUUAAUUCUCCAACCGCCACUUUUGGAUCUUUUCUAUCUACAACUAGUUACCAAAACACUAGCACAUAGUAAGAAAUCGGGAUAAUUUCAGAAACCUCCCUUGAGGCUUUUAAUAAUCUCAAGAAGCUCCCCUCAAUAUUUUAAAAUUACACGUACCUUCCCUAUUGGAGCAAAAGUACUCUACUACCCCUAAUAGGAUACUCAAAAGACUUUUUUUAUGGGAAAAAAGAACCUCAGAAAUCCAAGCGAAAGCAAAAAAAUCAAUUUAUUUUCUCUUUUAGCCUUUAACGCUUUUGCCUUCUACCUUUGCUCACUUUCCCAUGCCAAUCUUCCUAUAACCACUUUCCCAAUCCCCUUUCCCCAACUUUUCUCCUCUACUUCAAGACUAAUUUUUGUCCAUCAAUCCUGGCUUGUGCUUUGUUCCAUUCCCUUCCCUUCUCCUUCUUUGAUUUCCCCUACAUCGCCCUUUCUCUUUGCAAAAGUGACUAGGCUCAUCUCUCUCUUUUUUCCCCUUAUUCUAAGUGUAGUGGGUUUGAUUAUUUUGCAUCUAUUUUAUUUGGUUUUGGUUGAUUAUGGGUGAUAAAACUUGGUGAUGUCAAAUAUCAAAAGUUUGAUAGAUGGAUAUUGGGCUUUAGACAAUGAUUUGCUAGAAAAAAAUGGCUGCAAUGAGAGGAAAAGGCAAGGGGAUUUGAAUGUGGGGUUGAUUGUUGAUGAAUUGUUGUUUUGGACAAAAUUUGAGGUUGAGUUUUGUCAAAUUUGGUAGCAAGUGGCGAGAUUUGUUCAGGUUUCGGGAAAUAAAUUGGAUUGUGGUUUCUUGGGCACCCACAGUUGUUGGAAUUGGUUUUGAUUCAAAUAAAGGUGGUUACUUGAUUUUCCUAAUAGUGUUGCUUAAGAGCACACGAUCAUCAAAAUUCCUUAUUUUUAUCUUUUUUUUUUUGUAGAAAAGAUUUCAUGACUUUCGUGAUAGUCUAAUUUGGAAGAAGGCAAUCAAGGGAUGCAAUCAACAUUUAGCAAAAGCUCUUGUUCUUUUCUUUCUAUUUUUUAGGGUAAAAAGGGUAGUUUAGGGUAUUUGAAGGAAAUGAUAGUCUAUUGGGUCUAUUUUGAAGCAUAAAUAGUGAACGUAAGGGAGGUUGGUGUAAUUUCUGAAACCUAAGGGGAAUUGUCUAAAUUGUCCGAGACCUCAGAGAAGGUUUUCGAAAUUAUCCCUAAGAAAUCAAAUGCGAAACUUGAUUAGUACACACACACACGACACUGCACCACGGCACGCGUGUGUUGAGAACUGAUGUCCGUAACCAACGACAAGCAGGUUUUCAAUUUUUUUUUCCUUUCCUGGAUUCUCCAGAGAUGGUGUCAGCUUCUAUUAUUGAUGAGCAGGAGGAAAUCCACAAUAUACAGUACACAUCACCCAUAUUCUUUUUAAUUGAACAAUGUAUGAAAUUAUGGUGAUUCGAAAUUAAAUUAUAUGUUUAUUGGGCAACGAAUCCAAAAUAAGAAUUGGAAAUGUAUUGUGGCAACAAUUGUUAACUUAGGCUACAAAUGAUCAAAAUAAAUAUUUAAGAUUUAAUAUGACAUUAUGGGUUCAAAAUAUAGUUACUUGUUAUGAAACAACUAAAAGUGUGGAUGUCCAUUUGUAUUCUCAAGAGGAUCAAUUCAUAAUUCAUUGCUCCCAAGAGGAUUAAUUCAUAAUUCAUUGCUACAUUAUGUGAAGGAAUUACAUUAGAUGAACGGUUUCAAUCCAUAAGAGCUAUUCAUGUAUUGGAUGAACCGUUUCACAUGGCUAUUCAUGUUCUUGUAGUAAUAAGUAUUUAAUAGAAUUGAUGUAUGUUUAAUUUUGUAGUACCUAUAUAUAGAGGUACCUUGGCACCUCUUGGCUGUCCUUUUUGAUUAAUUUGAAUAAUAAGAAAAUCAUUCUCUAUUUCUAUACUUCUUUCUCUAAUAUUUCAAUUCUUAUUAUAGUAGUUCAUUAUUUUUUUAGUUUUACAACACGUUAUCAGCACGAGUCUCUAUUUUUGAAUAAAAAACUGAAAAUGGAGCCUAUACCUUAAAAAAAGCAAAAAAUGUGAUUCUGCUGAAAUUCUGCAUGUAUUUUUCCGGCAACUUCUAUCUACUUAUUGAGAAAUGGAUGCCAAAUAUUUGGGAUUAAAUAAUGGUGAUGAUGACAUUUGUCUCAUUGAUUGUACUACUACGCACACUAUAUUGAAAAAAAAAAUUCUUGUAUGAAAAUGGGAGAGACAAAUGUUAAUACCAUAAGUGGUAGUGCAAAAUUGAUUGAAAGUUCUGGAAGAGCCACUCUAUUUCUUCCUGAAAGGACUAAAAUUGUCGUAAAUAAUGCACUACUAUCUCUCAAGUCUUGAAGAAAUUUAUUCAGUUUUAAAGAUAUCUGCGAAAAAUGGAUAUCAUAUCGGGACAAUAAAUGAGACAAAUGGAGAAUUUUUAUUAAUCACAAAUAUCAUUUCUGAGCAGAAAUACGUAGUAGAAAAAUUACCUUCUUUUUCUUCUGGCUUAUAUUAUGCACAAAUUAGUGCAAUUGAAAUUUAUCACCUAGGAGACCAGAAUUCUACUCAUCCCAAUAAUUUUAUGAUUUGGUAUGAUUGUCUCGAAAAUCCUAGAUAUAUAAUGAUGAGGCAAAUAAUUGAGAAUUCACAUGGUCACUCAUUGAAAAAUCAAAAGAUAUUAAAAGCAAAUAAAUUCUCUUGUGUUGCUUGUUCCCACGGAAAAUUAAUUAUUAGACCAUCACCAGUAAAAGUUGGGACUGAAUCCUCUACAUUUCUAGAACGAAUUCAUGAUGAUAUAUGUGGACUUGUAGAUCCACCAUGUGGACCAUUUCGAUAUUUUAUGGUGCUAAUUAAUGCAUUAACUAGAUGAUCACAUGUAUGUUUAUUAUCUACUCGCAACUUGGCGUUUGCGAGAUUGUUUGCUCAAAUAAUUAAAUUGCGAGCACAAUUUUCAAACUAUCCAAUAAAGAAAAUUCAUCUAGAUAAUGCUGGUGAAUAUUCGUCACAUGCUUUUGACGAUUAUUGCAUGUCCAUUGGAAUAACUGUUGAACAUCCUGUAACUUAUGUUCACAUUCAAAAUGGUUUAGCCGAAUCAUUUAUUAAAUGGCUAUAAUUAAUUACUAGACCAUUGUUGAUGAGAUCUAAACUUCCUUCAUUUGCUUGGGAACAUGCUAUAUUACAUGUAGCAAUACUUGUGAGAAUUAGAUCGACAAGUUAUCAUACUUAUUUUCCCCUAUAAUUAACUUUUGUUUUUGAGUCCAAUAUUUCUCAUUUACGAAUAUUUGGUUGUUCGAUUUAUGUUCUAAUUAUACCGUCCCAACAUCGUAAAUUAGACCCGCAAAGAAGAUUGGGGAUAUAUGUUGAGUAUGAAUCACCUUUAAUUAUUAAGUAUAUGGAACCAUUGACAGGUGAUUUAUUUACUGCGAGAUUUGCAGAUUGUCAUUUUGAUGAAUCACAUUUUUCGACAUUAGGGGGAGAUAAAAAUCAACCGAAAAAGAAAAUCACUUGAAAAAUAUCUUUGAAUUUCCUCGAUUCUCAUACCAAAGAAUGUGAACUAGAAGUUCAAAAGAUUAUACAUUUGCAAAAAAUUACAAAUCAAUUACCGGACGCAUUUAAUGACUCCAGAAAAGUUACUAAAUCACAUAUUCCUAUUGCAAAUGCUCCGAUUAAAUUAAUGUCUUUGAAGGACAAAUUACAAAUGUUAACGAGUCUAAAGCGUACCUAAAGCGUGGAAGACCUCUUGGUUCCAAAGAUAAAAAUUCUCGAAAGAAAAGAGGAGUAGAUGAAUCAACAAUUAGUGACAAAAUUCAACUUCCUGAAGAGGUCGCUCCUAAAGAGCCAAUUCUUGAAGAGAAUGAAAUUAUAGAAAAUUCAUUAAAUUUUGUCAUUUCAGGAAAAAGUUAGAAUCGAAAAGAAAUAAUUAUUGAUAGUAUUUUUGCAUAUAAUAUACCACUUGAUAUUAUGGUAGAGAAUAAGGAUCACGAGCCUAGAUAGGUUGAUGAAUGUCGACGUAGAAAUAAUUGGGCAAAAUGGAAAGAUGUGAUCCAAUCUGAAUUGAACUCACUGGUUAAAAGAAAAGUUUUUGGACCUGUAGUCCAAACACCUGAAGGUGUAAAGCCAGUAGGAUAUAAAUGGAUAUUUGUGAAAAAAAAAAUGAGAAAAAUGAAAUCGUGAGGUAUAAAGCAAGACUUCUAGCCCAAGAAUUUUCACAAAGGCUUGGAUUUGAUUAUGAUUACACGUAUUCACCUGUAGUGGAUGCUAUCACAUUUAGAUAUCUUGUGAGUUUUGCAGUACAUGAAAAAUCAGAUAUGCAUCUAAUGGACGUCGUUACUGCAUAUUUAUAUGAAAAUCUUGAUAAUGAUAUUUAUAUGAGAAUCCCCGAAGGAUUCAACAUGCCUGAAGCAUACAAAUCAAAUCCUAAAGAUAUUUAUUCUAUUAAAUUACAAAGAUUUUUGUAUGGGCUUAAACAAUCUGGACGUAUGUGGUACUGCCUCAAUGAAUGUUUAACUAAAGAAGGCCAUACCAAUGAUCCAAUAUAUCCAUGUGUCUUUAUCAAGAAAAAUGGAUCAAAUUUUGUGAUAAUUGUUAUAUAUGUUGAUGAUUUAAAUCUGAUUGAAACUCUUGAAGAGAUUAGUGUUGAAUAUUUGAAGAAGAAAUUUGAGAUCAAAGAUUUUGGAAAAACAAAAUUCUGCCUUAGUUUACAAAUUAAGCAUUUGAAAAGUGAAAUUUUUGUCCACUAAACUGCUUAUACCCCGGAAGGUAUUAUAGCAGUUUUAUAUGGAUAAGGCACAUACAUUAAGUACCCCAAUGGUCAGAUCAUUAGAUCCUAAUAAGGAUCCUUUUAGACUGCGAGAGGAAGAUGAAGAGAUACUUGGUCCUAAAGUACCAUAUCCCAAUACAAUUGGUGCACUAAUAUAUCUUACUAAUUGUAGAAGACCUGAUAUAUCAUUUGCAAUAAAUUUAUUAGCAAGAUUUAGUUCCUCGCCCACAAGACGACAUUAGAAUGGUAUUAAACAUAUUUUUCGUUAUCUCCAAGGAACAAUUGAUCUUGGUUUAUUUUAUUCAAAUAAAUCUAAGCUUGAAUUGCAUGAUUAUGCUAAUGCUGGAUAUUUAUCUGACCGGUAUAAAGCAAGAUCUCAGACUGGUUAUCUAUUUAUACAUGGAGGUACAGCCAUUUCUUUGCGAUCUACAAAGCAAUCGUUAGCCGCCACUUCAUCGAAUCAUGCUGAAAUAAUAGCAAUUCAUGAGGCUAGUCGAGAAUGUGUUUGGUUAAGAUCAAUGACCCACUAUAUCCGUAAGAGUUGUGGGUUAUCCUCCGAAAAAGAAAAUCCUCCAACUAUAUUAUAUGAAGAUAAUGUAGCUUAUAUAACUUAAUUGAAAGGAGAAUAUAUUAAAGGAGAUAGAACAAAACAUAUUUCACAAAAAUUCUUUUGUACUCAUGAUUUACAAAAGAAUGGUGAAAUUUAUGUGCAACAAAUCCGAUCAGAUAAUAAUUUGACAGAUUUAUUUACCAAUGCAUUGCCAACUGUAAUAUUUGAGAAAUUGAUGAAGAAUAUUGGAAUGCGACAAUUAUAAGAUCUCAAAUGAUAUUUGCAUCAGGGGAAGAAAUCAAUACACAAAAAUAGUGUACUAUUUUUCCAUCACUAGGGUUUUCGUCCCAUUGGAUUUUUUCCUAAUAAGGUUUUAAUGAGGCAUAUUCUUUAUGUAAUGGACAUCCAAUGGGGAGUGUUAUGAAACAACUAAAAGUGUGGAUGCCCAUUUGUAUUCUCAAGAAGAUCAAUUCAUAAUUCAUUGCUCCCAAGACGAUUAAUUCAUAAUUCAUUGCUACAUUAUGUAAAGGAAUUACAUUGGAUGAACGGUUUCAAUCCAUAAGAGUUAUUCAUGUAUUGGAUGAACCAUUUCAUAUGGCUAUUUAUGUUCUUGUAGUAAUGAGUGUUUAAUAGAAUUGAUGUACGUUUAAUUUUGUAGUACCUAUAUAUAGAGGUAUCUUGGCACCUCUUUAGUGUACUUUUUGAUUAGUUGGAAUAAUAAAAAAAUCAUUCUCCAUUUCUGUACUACUUUCUCUAAUAUUUCAAUUCCAAUUAUAGCAGUUCAUUUUUUUUUUUGGGUUUACAACAUUACUCAAAGAAGAGAGUUAUUGGACUAUAUGUUUAUUGACCUCUACUAACUUAUUUAAGGUCAUUUCAUAUCACUAUCCAAAGAAAAAUUCUUGGGCGUUAACAUUUUUCUUACAUGCCAAGACUAUUAAUGAAAGUUGACCCAAAUCUCUCUCUCUCUUUCUCUCAAUUCUUAGGACUGAUGCCAAUUCUUACCAUUUAGAAAGAAAAAUUAGAUUGUUUAUAUAUAUGAUGAGUUCCCUCUAAGUCAUGGUUAAGAAAAAUUCUUAGUUUUAUGAAAUGUGAAUUUCCUUUUCGUUGUCUUUAUUCAUUAGUAUUAUUGGGGUUAUUGUAUUAUGAUUGCAAUGCACAGAUACAUGGAUUUUUGACAUUUUUUUUCUCAUUUUUUCUUUUUAAUCGACUCUGACUAUGUCUCAAACUCGAGACAUCAAACCUGGACACGACUUUUGUCCAAAAUGCUUGUAAAAAAUCAGAAGAAUAAUUUUGGACCUUAUUAUUUAAUAAUGGUACGAUUAUGAGAGUCAUUCCAGGUUAAUUAUCAAACUUGUAACUUGAAAAUAAUGUCGACAUCAUGUCAUUAUUAUUUUCUAGUUUCAUAGAAAAAUGAAGUAUUCUCCAACUCGACAUUAUCAUAUUAUUCUCAAUUGGCAGCUCAUGUGAGAAAGACAAGAAAUUCACAAUCAACUGGCCAAGAGAGUGCCAACAAAGAAAGCACUAAAUGGCUUAAACAAAGCAUGCAAAUUUGCUUAGCACUUAAACAAUAGACACCUAAAUCAACCAUGUCACUGUCUUGCCAAAAAAGGGCAUUAAAGUAAAAACAACUCAUGCCUAACACAGGUAACAAACUUCAGCACCUUCACUUCACCGCCACGUCAUCAACAACAUUUGCAAAUUUCCAAGGAAGUCCACGCACUAAAGGUGCCCAUGCCCUUAGGGGACCUCAGGUUAGUGUUCUUAACAUCAACUCCUGUCUUUAUAUUCUUAGGAAAUAUUGAAAUUAAACAUUAUCACUAAUCCUGAUUUCCUUAUGCUAUAUUUGUACACAAUUUGGCAACAAGGUUGUCCUUUUUUGGGCCAAAUUGGACAAGUAAAAAAAAGAAAAUUAAAAGGUUUAUCUGCAAACUGUAGUUCGGCCUGCCUCUUUUUUUUUUUUUUUUGGGGAUAAGAUCGUCAUGUAUCAAUAUUUCUGUACUUAGCAUUGGCUUCUUCUCGCCUGAAGAACACACGAACCACCGGAUGAAAGUGGUGAAUGAAAGUGCACUUAACCCUUUUAAUUUUUCAAAACAAUGCUUUUAGAAAAAAUAAUAAAGACUUUUUUGAAUUUAAUUUUAGAGAAGAAGAAUUUUAAACUUUUUUGAAUUUAAUCUUACAGAAGAAGAAGUUUAAAAUGUACUUUAAUUUUCACAACUGAUGAUGAGAAUAGCAAAAUGUAUACGGACGGUGACAAAAGUGCCGUCUUAUCCUUUUGCUGACGGCCCGUUUUCCAAUGAGAGGAUGCCUCUGCUUCGUAUUUUAUCCAUAUUGAUAUAUAUUCUUUUCUGUCCCCCUAACUAUUAAAUGUGAAAGGUUGCCCACCAAAUUUGACGAAACCGUUUAUCCUAAUUGAUUAUUAUCCAUAGGGCAUAACUUUAAUAUUCUUCUUCCAACCCGUCCGUCAAUGACCACUAACCACCUCUAAUCUAUUCUCAAAUUUUAAUGAAAUUGCGCAAUUAGUUUUCAUUUCUCACUUUUAUUUCAAAUUUGGUCUCAAUUUAAUGUGAAUCCCAAUAAAUAAGACCGGAGUUGAAAUCAAAGAACGUAUUUCAAUCACCAUCGGAUAAAUUCUUCAUGUCUAGUUUUGUCCUUGAGAUGCAUAGAAAAUGUAAGCUGAUCUUGCAGUCUACGAGAAAAACGAAGUCUAAGAGAAUAAUUUUGUCAAAACUUGACAAUGGAAUGAACCGGUGGUCGCUGGUUGGCAGCUGCUAGAAGUCAUAGCAGUUUUAAAACAUAAUUGCAGCAAGUAAAAGAUUAAAACUACGUUGUGUACUGUUAACGACUUACAUUGACAAAAUGGUUAAGGACAGAGUUGAAAGAUGAAUCAAACUGUUCGACAUUCGAUUCGAAUUUGACUUGGUAAAAACUUAUUCCAAUUUGAUUUGUCAGCUAGUCAAAUCUAAUUUAAAUAGUAUUUAACUUUGAAACUUGAUAAAAAGUUUGUUCAAACUCAGUUUACUAAAUAAACAAGUCAAAUUUGAACAAAAUUUCAAACUCAUUAAAAUAAUUAAAUACGUUUGAAUACUAGGAUAUUCGAUUUAAUUAAAUGCGAUUGCACCCCUAAUUAAAGCAUGUACUUUUUUUAUAAAUUUAGGAAUCAACAUUAUACAUUUAAUAGCUAGCUAGAGGGUCAAAAAGUUAAUUGCCUUAAAAUUCUUUUAGCAGCCAUAAAGUAUAGUUGGAGGGAUUCCCUUGAAAUUGAUUAGAUUCUUCUAUGUGACUAAAGAAUUUCGGGUGUGACGUAUUACUAGUCCUACCCUAAAAAAAAUGGUAUUACUAGUCCUUUUUUUCUUUUUUAGCGUGCCCCCGCCGUGGAGUGUGGGGAGGGUGGUCUGUGCGAGAAUUCUAGAUGGGGUACAAGGUGCCAAAGUUCACCUUAUUCAAAGUAAACAACCUUCCAUCUCAGAUGUUGAAUUUCCUGGCAAUUGCGUAUAUAUUACAAUCUUUUACCAUGACUUUAGAGGACAGCUAAAUUUGCUUGCUAUUAAAUAAUAUUUUCGGUAGUCUAUAAAUACUCUUGGUCCUAACUGCUUCUUGCACCACAUAAUUCUUUCAAGAACUACCAAAACCUUCUUGAAAUCCCUCUUUUUCCUUUUAGUUCAUUUCCAAGAAACAAAUUGAACCAUCAUGGCCCCUGUCACUUCCAGUUAUGAGGUCACCUGCUCAAUCCCUCCUGCAAGGUUGUUCAAGGCCACCAUCCUUGAAGAGAAGCAUCUUCACAAGAUCUUGCCACAGGGCGUUAAGAGUGUCGAAAUCCUUGAAGGAGAUGGUGGAGUUGGCACAAUUAAGUUGACCACAUUUGUUGAAGGUAAGAUAUCAAUACAAAGUGAUUAUGUUCACAAAUUUGAAGUCUUCAAAUUGCUCACUUUUUUUUUCUUUUAUUUGGGAAAAGCUAAUGACUUUUUUUUUUUUUUUUGGUUGGGUUAAAUAUUUAGGUGGCGAGCUUAAGACUGCCAAACAGAAAGUUGAUGGAAUUGACAAAGAAAAAUUUACAUACAGUUAUACUGUACUUGAAGCUGAUGGAUUUAACGAUGUAAUCGAGAAAAUCUGUUGUGUCAUCAAAUUUGAACCCUCUGCUGAUGGAGGUUCAAUCUGCAAAACCACUAAUACAUACUACCCCAAAGGUGGUGCUCAGAUCAGUGAGGAACACGUCAAGGGAGGAAAAGAGAAGGGUUUGGGAAUGGUUAAGGCUGUUGAGGCUUACCUCCACGCAAAUCCUACUGCCUACAACUAAUUAUAAUGAAUGCUACUGAAGGACUCUUCGACAUAUUUUCUUCAAGAUUGAAGUAUAAACUGAGGGUGUCUGUUUCCUUUUUUGCUUGGUUUGCUUUAAGCUGUUUGGUUGAGUUAUUUGCAGCUAUGAUCAUAAUAUUUGAUCGAAGUGUGCUUUUCUUGCAACCUUUGUAUCGUUACAAGGAAUAAAAUCUUGUUUGGAGCUUUUACUUUGUUGUUUGCAAUGAAAUAAACUAUUUUGGGUUCAAUUUCAUAUAGAGUGAA